rnacentral:lncRNA from 1 species
UAGACUCACCUUAUGGCCCAAAGUCUUUCACUAACACGCACUGGGAUCAACUACGAUGAGAUAUGCUCUCGUAAUGGAUGUCAUUGAACUCCACUACUUUGUCAGUUUGGUAGUUUCCGAAUAACUGAACAAGCAGCCUAUGAAUGUGGUCAUAAUAACAUCUCUAUGGGAUCAGAGAUAUACAUGAAGAUCUUAAACGGACUUCAUUCAUCCGAAUCAAGUGGCUCCAAACCACAGGAGCAUGCGUUUGCUAAAUGUAUUGAAACGCACAUGGACUCUACUUGAUUUGGAAGGGAUAUGGUGAAUUAUGCCUUUGCGUGUUCAUUCUGGAUUUACAUGGACUCUUGAUGGAUCAAGAGAUGCCAAUAUGUAUCAACAUCCGAAGAAAAAGAUCUUGGGAAGACAUGGUCUCGAUAAGGCACUCGAUGACUGUAUUUAUGAUGAUUUUCCAUCAAUCGGUUUAGGCGCUCUAUAACUAGUGAGGCCUACAUAUACUCCCAUGAUUAGUCAAGGUCUUUGCUCUAAAGAGAGAUCUGUUGUUUUGUCUAAAGCAAGAUGACAAAUAUGUGUUAAGAGAUGGAGUUCCCAUCUAAGUACAAUUAGACGCAUCAAUGUACUCAACACAAUACGAAAGACUUGACAUCUCAUUCGCUAUGAAAAGUUGUAAAGCUAAGUGUAGCUAUGCGCCCACGCAACGCCAAUGUAAUGGCAGUAACUCCUUUUUCAAUACUUAAUGGUAUGAAAGGUUGAGGCUUAUUCUAUCCCUACAUAAGAAAGACACAUCAAAAGCGAAAUCAGAAUCUGCCAAGUUUUGUAGGUCAACUUCCACGGGACCUAUAGGAAAUCCCACUCACUGGAAAAUGGUGAAAUUGGUACCAUUGGAAAGGUCUAUGUGUCUACUUUCCAGAGACACCAACCAUUUGAUCAUACCUAUCAUAUUGAGUGAGUUAUGGCCGUUUUCGUAAAGUAGGUUGAAUCUGUCCGAGAAUCUGAUUUUGGCAAAACAGUCAACUUCGACGGGAUUUUGUGAACAGCUCCUGAUGAACCAGAAUGUGUGUAAUAUACGGUUGGAAAGCUAAAUGAGUCUAGUUUCCAAAACCGUUUACGGUUCGUUCAUAUGUAUUUCCUAGAGGAAGUUACGACUGUUCUAGUAAUUGAAGGUCAUGCUGCGCGGAAACCUGAUUUCCUGCACGAACUUAUGUUUUGAGUUCACAAGCGACCUUCUCCUCUAAGUGUAAAAGAUCAUUUGAGGACAAUACGGCAUGUUUUAGUUAAUCAUUGCCCAAUGCCACAUUUGAAGACAUGUUAAAAAACAUUGACAUGCUAAGUUGUUGAAACUUCCGUGAUUAGUAAGAAUCAGGAAGAGCCCUAUGAUUGAUGUAAAGAUCAGGGGGGGUGCGAACUUCAGGAGGAUUCUAGCACAUACAUACAUGUCACUAUCAAAUGUGAAGGGUGCGUUGUACUCUUUUUCUCCUACGAUCAAGGUUCAGUUUUUCUCCCACAGGGUUUUUGUGACUUGACGAGGUUUUUGACGAGGCAACAGAUCAGCACCAUCGGCAUAUCAGCGCACGGCACAAGGGGGAGUGUUCUAGGAUAUUCUCUAUGUGUGCCUUGGCCUUAUGCCAAUAGGAUAUGUAGUUAGACUAGAUCUAUGUAUUCAUAUCCUUACCAUAUUGGUAUUGUGUAAUUCCCUAUAUAAAGGGCUCCUAUCAAUGAAUAAGAUGAUGAUUCUCUUGCUAUCUCUUUGUCUCUACCAUUAAUCCUUCAUCAAUUUAUUAUUUUUCUCUAAAUAUAUAUUUCAUUUUUGUGAUAAUAAAAUAUGAGGUACCAUUAUGACAAAUUUCUCUUUUUAUUAUAUAAAAAGAAUAACGAAAACAAAAACUCAAGGGUAUAUUGAUCAUUUCAUGAAUAAAAAUGGUUGCCGUCAGUUUUUUUAAUGGAGCUAAAAAUUCUAUAUACCAAAUUUUGGUCGAGGUAAAAACGUUAGAUACUAUUUUGAAGUUUUCUGAAGAUGAGAUAUCAAAGCUUUGCUUCUUCAAAAUGUGAGACACUGUUUAGACCAUUUUUCCGACAAAAAAAAGGGGAUUUUUUUUGUCCCUCUCUUGAGGGUCUAAGGUCGACGGCGGUGGGAAUUUAGUCCUUGUCGUCGUUUUGGUUAGCAAAUGUAAAGGCGGUAGUUGUGGCGGUAACCCUCCUUCUUGAUCGUGUCUGGGGCCUUUUGGAUGUUUUUCGACAAAUGGUGGUGAUUGUUGUUCAGAGACAGUGGUAGGGUUGAAUCCUCUUAGCUCUCGGGUUUUGGCCGCUAGGUUUCACCGGUGACUAGAGGAAGGCGUUUGUGUUGGGUCUAAAGCCGGCUUGGGAUUGCGACUGAGGGUGGAGGAUGGGUUUCAUAUCCGAGUCUAGGAUCUGGGUCCGAAAGUAUGGGGAAAACAAAUAGGGAAGCAGGGUCAGUGCUUUGGUGGCAAUAGGUUUGGGCUCAUGAUACCGAGUGACAAAGUGACAACGUUUUUCUUCAGCGGAGCACUUGGCUGGAGGACUCAUCUGAUUCUCCCUAGGUUGGGCGUUUGCAUAGGUUUAGGGUUUAGGAUUUAGGUUGGGCAUUUGCAUGGGUUCAUCACUCUUUACUCUCUUGGUCUUGUCCUUGAUCAUUGGCGGUGUGCCGGUCGUGUAGGGGAGGGUAACCAUUUGUGGCGGCGCAACAAACAAGGCGGGUUGAGGUGGCGAUACAGUUGGGUUGCUUGUCGUCAGUGGUAAGUGCUGGGCUGGAAGUUGAAAGGCAAGGGAGGGACGUUACAACCGUUUCUUUAAUUAUGCGGCUUUGAUGACUUUAACUCCCUUCAACGGUUGUGAGUCAUGAAGUCCCAAACUUUAACUCCCCUUUUGUUGUUACGUCCAAGGUCUCUCCUUUGGGUUUUGGGGCUGUGGCCUCAAAUCAGAAACCUGUGAUCUGAAUUCAACUUUUGGUUGGGUUUAAGUCUUAGUCUAAGUUGCACGGACACGACGACACGGUAAAACUUAAAAACUGAGUUUCUGACAAGGCUUAGACAUGGCAAACAAAAUUAUAUAUUUAUAUAUUUUAAUAAAUAAAAAUAUACUAAAAUAUGAAAUAAGUUCAGUACAUUACCAAAUAAAGUUCUAAAUUCAAUCUAUUUCAUAACCAUAAGAAAUAAGUCAAGUGCAUAACUAAUAACAUUAAAAGCAGCAGACCUCUAGCACCUAAAACAUAACAUUAAAAAAAACAAACUUGAGCAGUAGCUUGUUUUUUUGUUUUCAAACAGGGCAAUCUCUAGCACAGUAACACCUAAAGACAAGAAGAUGAACUAAUAUAAUUAUCAUAUCCAUAAUCCAUCCAAACUUUUUUUUUUUUUAAGUCUGAAAUGCUGACGUGGCGUGUCGCAAUGCCGUGUCGGGGCCGGUCAACGUGUCUGAAAAGUCAACUUUUCAGACACGCCACGUGGCGUGUCGGACACGUAUUUUGCUGUGUCGAGCGGCGUGUCGGAGUGUCGGACACUCCAGGGGUGUGGAGUGUUUGUGCAACAUAGGUCUUAGUUCAGGUCUGGGGCUCAAGGGAAAUUAUGGUAUAGGUCAAUUAUGGGCAUGGUUUUUGGGCCAAAUAAGGUUGUGGGUUGUGAGCCAUUUUCCGGUUUAUUUAAUUUUCAUUUAUUGUCAUUUUUGUUUUCUUUUGACAAAGUACAUGACGAAAUAUUACCCGCUAUUCGAUGCAUUCACUUGUCAAAGGUCUGGUGCACCAAGUCGUUAUUGAUAUCUUUACCAAAUAGGGUGUCAUUCCACAUACAGUAAACCUUUAUAAAUUAAUAAGGUCGGGACUGAUAAAAUUUAUUAAUGGUAUUAAUUAAUCGUUAAAUUAAUAAAAUAUUAAUUUUUUGAUUAUGUAAUAACUUAUUAACUAUGUAACAAAAUAUUAUUUUAUUUUUUUUAGUAUGACUUAUUAUUUUUUUCAACAAAAAUAAUAUUGUUGUACAUUGUUCAAUAAUGUCUAUAUUGUCGAAUUUAUUACGUUAUAUUAUUCAAUAUGCUACUUUAUUCGAUGUACAACAUUUUCAACAUACAAUGUUAGUUCGGAAGUACUAUAUUAGUUCAUUGGAUGAACAUUAAAUAAACAAAACCACAGUCACAUAUCACAUCAGAAACACAAAAAUGACUUCUCAUCUAAAAAGAGUAAAAAAAAUCGACGAUAACAGAUGAAAUGCGUAAAACAUUGUGCGAGUACAUCAAAGAUAAUCCAUGUAGCACUCAUAAGCAUUUGUAACAGUGAAUUGUGGUUUGGUUGGUUAAGGUGCCUAACUGACAAUUUUGAGGUCAUGGGUUCAAACCUCAUUAACAUAUGUAGGGUGUGUGAGAUAUUAAUAAAAAUAAAUAAAAAAUUUAAAAAAAAAGAAGCAUUUUUGCAACAGUGAGUUUUAUAAAAGUUCGACUUGUAAGUGAGUUAAGAGACGAUAUCAAAUACGAUCAAGCAAUUAAUGUGACCUCAAUUUUCAAGAAGAAACAAGUCACAAUUGAGUCAUCAUUCAGCGGAUUAAUUGGGAAUUCCCAUAUUCCAAAAAAGAACCUAGAACAAAAAGUUAAUUCAUCUCACUCACUACGUACUUCCCCUCGGUGAUGCUGCUUUCAUCAGGCGGACGGGAAGUUAGGCAUACCCCCAAAUGUAUCAAAAAAUCCCACCACCCCAAGACUAAAGCAAAUUUCAGGAUGUAAGCAAAUUUUAGCACCCGGGUGUUUAAAGAGAAACCAAUCAUCGAUUAUCGAUCUUGCUUGAUCUAGCUACAACCAACAUAUCAAAAUUGAGAGGCACCCUAGAGCAGUGAAGCAACAAUACAUACAUUGCAUAGUAGAAAAAGUAUAACCUAACGGAAGAUGAUGAUAGAACACACAAAACGUUCUUUAAUUCUUUGAACAAGUCAUCACAAAACGUUUCUAAACAAGUGAGAAGAGUCCAUGAUAAGUCAGUAAUCCGUUGGAACUUGGAAAUUAGUGAGACAAAGUUAGCUGGAAAGCAAGAAACUGCUCUCAUCAAGUUAUUCACAAUUCCCGUAUCAAACUACAGAAAACAAGAGAUUAGAGAAAAAAAGACCAAAAAUUGAAAGAAUUGACCAAAGAAAACAAAAGCAAAUUUUUUUUUUAAGGUCCGGAGAAUCAUCCAAUUCUGAGACAGACCAGCUCGCUCAUUCUGUUGAUGAUGAUGCCUCUUUCAAUAUCUCAGAAUUCUCUUCCAUAUCAUCUCCCCCUAUCUUCUCUGAUUGCUCUUCAAAACUAGUACCUUUAGUAGGGCAAAUCGGAAUCGGAGUGGCCAAAUAAGUAGGGUUCUCAUUUCCGGCCAUUAUAACCAAAACCUUGUCUUUAAACACCUUCACCGACUCGCCACCUUGCUCCAAAUCUCCGUCGGCUCUGCUGCUGCCUUCUCCGUUUUGCUUCCGGAACGAGCAAGCCAAGAUUAACACAGCAGAAAUAACGAGAAUAGUCAUCGUCACUAGACCGCCUAGGAGGCAUGGAAUCGGAUAGUGCCAAGGUGAAGGUGACUGCGGCGGAGCCAUGUCCGGCGGUGCUUCCGUCGAUGGUUUUGAUAGUGAAACAGUAGCCGUUACUGUGGUUCUCAUGUUUAUGGAGACAGUGGGGAUCAAGGUUUUGUUUGAGAGGGAAAGCAGGUGAAGAAUGUGAGCUUGGGAAACACAGCAACGUUACUUAUACUGGUGGAAACAAAAAAGAAGAAGAAAAAAAACGUGUAUGAUCAAAUCAUAGAGAAACUGCGAGAGAGGUUUCCCCUAGUGGUUUCUUAAUCUAACCUUCACGUCACCGAUGGCGAUGAGCAAUAAUACCAUAUAACUUUUGGGGAAUAUUACCUUUGCCUUAUGAAGGCGAGGAGGGCAGAAGUUUGAUCGAGAAUAUCUUGUCACAUUAAUGGUUACGUGGUAGGCAAGACCACAUAAAAACUAGCUAUGACUUGGACCAGAGCUGUGACAACUGCCAAGACUAAGAUACGCCAGGAUACGAAAACGGGUUGGGUUGGAGUUACCUUAUGGUGUGGGUUGAACUUACCUUAUGGACUUACCAGAUCUGUCACAAUUAAUCUUGUUCAAUUUUUAAUUUGAAAAUAAAGUUGAAUGCAUUAAAUCAACUGUCAACAUUAGGAAAGAGACUAUCAAGUAUCAACACCAUGAUUAAGAAUAUUGACAGGUAAACAACUAAAUUCCAAAUUUCCAAUCAGGCGUCUUGGUUCAUUACAAUUGAUCAGCUCGCAAAUAGUAAGUCUAAAACAAACUAAAAUAACCUGGCCUCCUAAUAUGCAUUACAUCUAUAUUCUCAUCUCUCAAAACACGCAAUUCUGACUCAAGCGAAAUCGUAGAAGUGACACAAAAGACUAAUGAAGCUAUUUUGUACCAAGAAAAGACAAAAACAUUUAGGCCCAUAUUUGAUUGACCAAAACACAAGCCCUAACCCAAGCCCAAGUCAACCCAAUCCAAGCCAGCUCCAAAAUCUUCACUACCACACUGUCACACUGCCAUCGGAGAAAGGAUCCGCUCGAGGUGUUCACACGCCGGAGUGCCAAGAGACACUGCAGCCGCAAUUUGAGACCCAAAACCGAUCAAACACGGCCUUACUGACAGACCACGCCUCGUCUUGGCUCCGAUGUACCUGAAUUCACGUGCAAUGCCCAACUUGGCUGCCUCCUCGCCAUGUUAUUCUCGUAUGUAGUGUUAGUGAAACAACGUAAAUGUCUUCUUCUUUUCUUUUCUUUUUUUUUCAAAAAAUACAUAAAAAAACAGGGUGUGUGAAUAUAUAGCACCACGCCACCACCCUAAAUUUUCUGGUACGUAUAUGAAGUUCUCUAUAUUUGUGUCGUCCCAUAUUUUUGGUAUAUGAUCUAGCUAGUUUAUGCUGGUCAUGGACUCGGACUAUCCAAAAUCAUCUACGACAUUUUGUUGUGGGCCUUGUGGCCCAAUCCCCUAGUACGUUUCAUGUGCGGCAUCCAUGAAUUCUCGAAAUUUGGAGAAGUGUCUAGUACCUAAUCACUCGUUCUAACCGCCGAUGGAGUUUGUUCUCAAGAGCUCCCGGAGUCUCGAAAUUUCCAGAGAUCGAUCAGGGCCCAGUACGUAACUUCUCGAAACUCCAUUGGUUGCAUUAUAAAUAUGCAAUCGAUCUUCUCCUUUCUCACCAGACCAGUCAAGCACAGCAAAUCAAAACUUUCUCAACAUCCUUUAAAUCAUCGCUAAAACUUUUGCUUCUUGUCACAAACUCACAAUGUCGCUCAUCCCCAACUUCCGACGAAACAGCGACUUUGAUCCCUUUUCCCUCGAUCUCUGUGAUCCUUUCAAGGAUUUCCAAUUCCCUACUCCUUCUUUCUCUGAAUUUCCUCAUGAAAACUCGGCCUUUGUCAACACUAGGAUCGACUGGAAGGAGACUCCGGAAGCACAUGUGUUUAAGGCUGACAUUCCAGGGCUGAAGAAAGAAGAGGUCAAGGUUGAGGUCGAAGAUGACAGGGUGCUUCAGAUUAGCGGAGAGAGGAAGAUAGAGAAGGAGGACAAGAAUGAUACAUGGCACCGGGUUGAGCGUAGCAGCGGCAAGUUCUCGAGGAGGUUCAGGCUUCCAGAGAAUGCCAAGAUAGAUGAGAUUAAGGCUGCUAUGGAGAAUGGGGUUCUCAGUGUGACCAUUCCUAAGGUGGAGGUGAAGAAGCCUGAUGUCAAAGCCAUUGAAAUCUCUGGUUAAUUAAAACUUCAGAAAUCAGGGUCAUCUUUACUAAUUCUCUUUUUCUUGCUUGUCCUAUCAACGUGAUAUUGUGAGUCUCAGUAAUAGUAUGAGUGUGACCAAGUGUCGGUGUAUCUUGUAAUGUGUAAUAUUAAGUAUUUGGAAUCUGGUUGUAAACUUUUGUUAAGCUAAUAAAAAUGUUUGAAGUUCAUAUAUUUCAGUCCAAUGAAUCCAAUCGUUUGAUCUAGUUUGAGAUUCUGUAGUUUACAAUCAUAUUCGUAUCUUAUGAUGCCUGAACAAAAUGACCAAAGGAGAAAUUCAGUUUGACAGCCACUAAGGAAUAUGCCAAUGUAAGCUAGCUGCUGGUUUGUAUGUUUGAUAGACUUGAGGACGUGCCUAUUUUGUGCCAUCGAUUGCCAUUACUUGUUGCAGAGCGAUCGAUCAUGUGAACAUGUUCAUGUUCAACUUAAUUCAAGGAUUUGAAUCUACAAAUCAUAUUUAGAAAUAUAAAAAAUAAAAAAAAAACUGAAAUUGAUAGUGUGAAAGAAUAUAGACUGAAAGAAUACAUUCACUACCACUUCAAUAGAAUUUUUUUGAUAUGUUGGAGUCGUUAGCUGCAAUGAAUAUUUCUAAUUUGAUGAUCGUUUGGGUUUUCGAAAUCGUUAUUUAUACAAAUAAUUCUGGUUUAACAACUUUAUGAUCCGUUAAUUGAUUUAAUCUAAUUCGAUACCUUAACGAUCAUCAAUUUGGACGAAAUUUUGCAUGAAUGAUCUAUAUAUUAGAUUCUACAAAAUGAACGGUGGAGAUGUGGAAAUAUGAUCGAAAAGUGAGUCAAAUAAGUAAACUUCACACUUUAAUUUCAGAGCGAAGCUUCGUUCUGAAUAAGUUUUCGCUCUGAAUAGAAACUGACUUAUGUGACACACACACACACACAGAGGCGGACGUCCGCACAACCCUUAAAGUAAGUGCGGACGUCUCUGAUUUCUCCACCUUCAGGCGUCAAUGACACCGUUUCUUCUUGCUGGACGGAAGCUCAAAUGUUCUUUAAAUUGGAUGAAACUUUACAAGAAUGAUCUAUACAUUGAAUGGUGGAGAUGUGAAAAUGUGACCUAAAAAUGAGCGAAACGAGAAACACCACACUUUAAUUUUAAAAUGGUGUCCCGCUCUGAAAGGGAAUUGUAUACACACACACAAAAGUCAUUCCAAUGAGGGAUCCCUAUUUUUGUUCAUUUAUAAGGAUAGGUCAUUUGACGAAUUUUUCGAUCAUAAAAUUAAAUCUCCACCGUUCAAUUCGUUGGACUAUAUGAGUAUAUUAUUUAUACAAAUUUUCAGAAAAUUUAGUCAUCGUUAAGUUAGGUCCACUAUUGUCAAACACCACAAGCCUAACAUUUACUCUAACACAAGUGUUGGAUGAUCGAAAUCACGACGAAAGCUUUUAAUCCUUUUAUCAUCUUUCUAUGGUGAAUAGGCAUUGGGCCGCCGCCAAAAAUCUGGGGCUACCCAAAUCUGAGCAGACCCGACUAUGGGUGAUAAUUCUUGGGCUGCCUCAUUGUUGUCGUCAUCGACUCCAUGGUCUGGGCAAGGCUGUUGUGGCGCAAUGGACGGUCUAAAAAGCAAGAUUCUCUUCGCUGAUGAUGGGCUCAUAAUUGGACUCAUCAAAGUCGUCAAGAUAUUGGAAAUUGCUGGUGUCCAAUCGUCUCAAUUUGGGGGCUUGUUGUUUGCUGAAGAAAGCUUUGGCAAUGGAUCUAUGGAGGCUACUCAGAGAUACAGCCGAUGCCGCUGCCCGGACACAGUCAAGCUGAGGCGUGGGCGACAGAAGCUACUAGGUGGAUUUGGGCCACUAAACUUCCUUAAGUCUAUUGGACUGACUUCCUCAUUUUGGGUUUGAGAUAAGGUUCUUGGACCUAAUCCUGGGCCUGCAAAUGGGUGGGAUAAGGUUCUUGGACCUAAUCCUGGAACUAUAAUUUCAAAACCCAUCUUACAAAGUUUGAAUUAAUGAUUUAUUUUUUUGUGUAUAUGGCAGAUUAGCUACUAAGAUUGCAUUUGAAAUUAUUGUAGUGGGGGAUCUGAAAUUUUAAUAGGAGAAUCUGAAAUUAUAUUAGGGGGUCCAAUCAUAUGAAUUAACACAUGUUUCCUUGUGUUUAUGGCAUAUUAGCUACUAAGAUUUGAUUUGAAAUUAUAGUAGGGGGUCGAAUCAUACGAAUUAACACAUGAUUUCUUGUGUUUAUGACAUAGCUACAAAGAUUUGAUUUGAAAUUAUAGUAGGGGUCAGAUCCUGCAUGCCUUUAUAUAGUUGCACCCCUGAUGUCUUGUGAUGAAUGAAAUUCACAAUAUUUCUUAGGAUUGAUUCAUAACGUUGUGUUUGGAUUAAGUAAUUGCAAUUUUCACGGAAAUUUUAAAGUCAUGGGAAUUACAAUUCAUGAUUGAGAAUUCUAUUAUUUGGAUUUCAUGAUGCAGAAUUUUAAAAUGACAAGAAUUAAUAUUUAGACUAAUUUUAGUUGAGGGAAUCGAUAAAUGACGCCUAUUUUGUGAGGAAUUCAAGUCGGGAAUUUAAACUCUCAAAUUCCACGAUUAUUUUCCCGUAGAAAUUGAAAAUUCCAUGUGAUAAGAAUCCAAACGGUGGAAAGAGUCCAAAGCAAUUAGGAAUUCCUCAUUUUUGAUUAAAUUCCCGGAAAUUCACCAGCAUCCAAUCACACGGUAAAAAAAAAAAANAAAAAAAACCUAAACCUUACCUUAAAUUUAAGUUACUUGUAAAAAAAAAAAAACUUCUAUUUUUAUGAUCUUUAUUGAAAAUCCAUGCUGAAUACAUCUAGCACCACAAAUCACAUAGAAAUGUAAAGGUAAAUACAUUAAUUCAAUAAUUAAUGAUUGAGAAGCUAACGGAUCAACCUUAGUAUAAAUUAGUGUUUUGUGGUGAUACUAAUAAUCCAGAUAUACAUAUUGCAAUUAGAACACCACAAAAAAUUCUAGCUAUGGAGAAAAAACCUUCUUUGAAGUUAGCUUCGUUGCUCCUUUUGUUGGCCACAAUGACUUGUAUGGCAUUGUGGAGGAUGCCGGUGGCUGAAGCAAGGGGGCCGUUACAGUGUCCUCGUAUGAUAGACUGCAAUUCUGUGUGUCAAGGAUUUCCAUAUCACUGCGUGGAUGGCAAAUGCAUAUGUGAUGGCGGUAAAACUCCUCCUCAACAAGGCCAAGGUGAACUGCCAUAUACUUUGAUCACAGUCUCAAAAAAUAGAUAGUAUUUUGCAUACUCUCUUGAAUUAGUACGUAUCUAAAGUUGCCAUACUUUCAGGUACAUUGCUAUUUCAAAGAGAUGAACAACAAUGUGGUGAACAUAUCACUCUUGGAAAGUGCUCAAUACAAUCAUGCAAGGAUGCCUGCAGUCUUCGCCAACUGGGCCACUUUAUCAAUCCGAGAUGCUUAAGUAUCUCCGAUUGUUGUUGCAGCUAAUAGAAUAAGGAUCCAAAACAAUAAGGAAACCUACGUGAAAAAUAAUUUUGUGAUGCAUCUGAAAAUAUUGAUGCAUCAAUAAUGAUACUUUUAAUUGUAGUACCCAAUAAUGUUACAAAGAGUUUACUUGUAUGGUAGCUUAUUCUAGCUGGUGACCCAAUUAUUGACUUUCAACCGUAUUUGUGAUAAACCCUUCGCAUCACACAAAAAUAUAUGAUUUAAAUUUCUUGUUAUGGAUUCUUAUUGGGUGUUAAUCAAUCUUUCCAAGUAAACUUGUAUCCAGCUUGUUUUGGUUAACCCGGACAAUCAUUUAGAGACAACCAUAUCAUUUCGCAAUAUGUUGUCAACUAGCAAUUGGAUUUUUCUUACCUCAAUAAUCAAAUUUGUUUCUUGACCAAAAAAAGAAAAUAAUCAUAUUUGAAUGAUGAUGCAUGAAUAAAAAUGUUUAAAACUGGUAAUAGUAUUGUAACGCCAAAACUUAUUGGUCAAUCUGGCAAUUAUACACUGAGCACAUGGUUUUGUGAAAUUAUUUGCAUGUUACCACCUACUACUAACUACUGUCAUGAAGUUUAUUGUUUUAUUUUACAGGAUUUAUGAUUAUAGUGUUGACUGAAGAAUCUUCACUCUUCUUAUAUAUUGUCUCUUUACUCUGAUGUUAUUUGAAUCAUUUGUUUGUUUAAUUAAGCGAAGAAAGCACAUAUACAUAUCGUAGCUCAAAAUCAAUCUAAUUUUUCUUGACUUAUUUAUUUUUAAUAUAAACUUACACGAUGAACAAUUCGGAUAACAAAAUUAUAUUAUAAAACUACCGGAUACAAGUAAAAGGUAAAUUAUGUGUAUGUCAUUUCCAACUUGGGCAAAGCAUAUUAGACAAUCAUGAUUCAUGAACCAUGGAACUUAGGACUAUAAACACUUUCAUGAGCAUAUAUACGUGAAUGAUUCGAUCAAUAUAACAUAGAAUCAUAGCAAUUAAUCUUUGGAUCAAACAUUGCAAUGAUGACGGCAAGGCUUAGGAGCUUUAAGCUUCCUUUUCAUCAUUUGCAUUGUGUUUUUAUUUUAUCACUUCCUUUUUCUCGUGGCAGCCUUCGAUGCCUUUGCCCUUUUCACCCUCACUAUUUGCUUGAUCCCCUUUUGAUUUUAAAAGUGGUUACCUUUAAACUUUGGCGCGGGAUCAAAAGCAUAUCCUCUUCUACCUUUUUAUUAGUGCAUAUCUAUUUUUUUGGGAUAAAAAGGUGAAAAUAGUGAUUAGGGUAUCUUGAAAAUUUGUUGAUCUCUACAUAUAGUUAUAUUUACAACUAACAAUGAUCUUUGCCUUAAAAAGAAAAGAAACGGUAACAAUGAGCACCUCUAUUACAUACAGUAGUGUUCACUUGGUCAGUAACUAACCAAGAAAAUUAUAAUAAAUCACUGUUGGAUUUACAUAUAAAAACUAAAAACAAAAUAACUCUAUUUAAAAAUAGUUUUCUGCACCAUUAGAUUUACAUCUAAGAGUGACUGACCAUAAAUCUCUUGGCCAAUUACUGACCAGGUGAUCAGAAUUGCUAAUAUAUAUAUAUAUAUAUGUUACAAAUGAUUCACAUACUUUCUUCUAGUGUGCUGUUGUAUAUUAGGUAACAAUUUUAAUUUUUGAAAAAUGGUAAUAUGAAAUUGCUAAACGACAACACAAUAUCAUAACCUCCUAAAGUCCUAAUCUUCUAAAGUUUCUAGCAUCUGGAAAGUAGCAAGAAGAAAGUAGAAUAGAACCAACUAGGUCUAUAAUUUGGGGUAUUGCCCUAAAGACUCUAAUUAUCUGUUUUUAUUUGCCUCCUUUUCAGGAGAAUCAUACCAAAAUACUUAAAUAACAAACAAAAUAAAACGAGAAAAUUAUUGAUGAAAAAUAUAAUCAAUCACUCCCAAACAGAGUAUAACACCAAAACCUGUAUGUUUUUUUUGUUCUGGGCCUUUGGCCUCAUUCUUACCAAAAAAAGAAAAAGAAAAAAAAAGUAUAAUACCAAAACCUUAAUCGUCACAAACCCGAUCCACCGGUCCACCCGACCCAGUCCAUAUUCGGGCCCUCACAGUCUUUACCUUUUAAUGUUUAUUUUACCACAAAUAAAAUAAAAUAAAAAUACGGCGAAAUCAAAUAUAAAAAUAUAUAAAAUACGGGGAGGCUUUCACGGUGGGGCCCAGUAGCAAUUCUGUUUUUCUCUCUCACCUCAGAUAUGACCGCCCGAUCAUCCAGGUCUUCCUCUAACCCGUCGGAUGAAAACGAUUGCCCUCAUAAUUUCUUCUCUCUCUUCUUCUCUCUUCUUCCCUGGUUUGACUGCUUCACACUAGUCACAACAAAACAAUUUAAGCUGUCCCUGCUUCACACUCCCUCAUUCACACCCCCCACACUUCUUCUUCUCCUCUCUCUCUGAGCUUGAGAUUCUCCAGAAACCCUCGGAAUUUGUGGAGGUGAGAACAGAGGCUCCGUCAUUUCUGAUAUCGAGGAACUAAUACUCUACUUCGCCUUUGAUCUCUGUUAUUAUAAACUCGCUGCUUUCUCUUACCAAUCCGCCACCGACACGCAUUGCUCCAUCUCCGACGCCGUCGCUGUUUCCGUCACCGGCGUUUUGUGUCUCCGCAUUACCACAGCUUCACUCCGGUAAGUUGAAAAUGCUAGAAAUGAUCGUCGUAUCCUGUUUGUUUCGCUUGAAAUUUCUUUCGCAAUCGCUUGAAUCUGUCUGAUUUUUUUAGCUCGGAAUUUGAUGCUUUCAAGUCUUUAGUGGCUGUUUCGUGACCGGAAAUGAAAAGGAUAUAGUUUUUUUAUAUUGUGGAUUGUAAAUCUGUAGUUUCUGGUGGUGCGUCUCUUUGAUUUUGGGGCUGAUUUGAUUUGUUAGAGAUAUUUUUGAAAAGGAAAUAGCUUCUUUUAUUGGUUUUGUUUUGUUGAUAACCAAACUGUUUGGAGAUUUUGAAAUAUGAGAGCGGCUCUGGUUUUGAAUUAGCUGGCAGCUUUGUCUUUACCGUUAGCUGUGAUAACACGCUUAGCGGCGAUAGUGACGGUGAGGACUACAGGUCGUUUUUACCUUAUCUCAAGUUAUUUUUUUGAAAUUGGAUCUUGAUUCUUGGAGGACCACUGGCUUUAGAUUUUUAGUACUUUCAAUUUUUUGUCCAUACACUGGAAUGGGUUGCCUUAUAGCUUCCGGUUUCAACUUGGAGCCGUGUGAGUCGGUUUCAUCAUCUGUACAAUGCAUGUGUUGAUUGAUACAUUACGCAGUUUGCAUACUUCCUAGUGCAGUUGAGUUGUGUGGAUGCUAAAGUUUUGCAAUUUUAUGUUUUCGAAAGUGGAAAUUAAAGGAUCUGAAAGCGGCUCAAGUUGCCUAGUUGUUUGGCUUGUUAUGAGCAGAGUGUGACAUUUUUUGUCUUGUGAUCAUAAGAUGUGAAAUAUCUGAGAGCUUAAAUUCUUGAGUGCUUGCAUUUGCAACCAUAGGUACCGACCUACCGUAUUACGUUAGACAUAUGAAGUACUUUUUCCUUUGUAUAUUCCUUUUGGAUGCUGAUUUUAGCUAUAGUAGUUGACUGUGUUUGUUGACAAAUUGAGGUGUAGUAUUUUUUCAGCUUUUGUUUGAGUUUCGUAAAAUAUAGAAUCUCUGUUGUGAUAGAUUAGUGAACAGCAGUAAUGAACUAUAGACUCCUCUAAUACUGCUUAACAUGUGAGUGAGAGCCUCCACUUGUUAAAACACUUGCUUUCUUUAGAGGGGUGUGACUUUAUUUCUUUGCUUUUGACUCCUGCAAAGUGAAAGUUCCAAACUGCCAAUGUAGUUAGUGAGAAAAGGAAAAACCUACUUUGUAUGUCAUUCUGCAUUUUUCAGUAAUAUGUUCAUUAUCCGUUGUAGCAUUACCUUUAGUUUAUCUUUGGAAGCUCUUGUUAAAGUAUCUCAAUUUAUUGGGCUUGCAUUCAAUUUCUCCGCCAUUAAUUUUUCAGAUUGGCCUGCAUCUGCGAAUCAAUCCUAAUGUGCAGCUGAAUAAGAAACAUAUGGAGCUUCCUUGUAGCAAGGUUUUCCAGGUACGAUAAACAGGGGGAUCACAGAUACUACCAUGGAUGGGCGUUUUGAACCCACAAGGAAUUCCAAUGACCAACAAUCUCUAGGAACAAGUGGAAACGCACUGCGCCAAGCAAGCCAAUGUUUGAAUCCCCAAUCCAAGUUCAAAUCACAAAAGCCUAGUUUGUCCUAUGCUGAUCUCCAUCAUGAAAUUACCAAAAAUGUAAAAGAUAUCCCACCCAUCUCUGAUGGAAACCACCAAAAGCAACGUAUUGAUAGAAAGACAACUGAAGCUGAUGAACUUGUCAAGUAUAUGUCAAAGUUGCCGAGCUAUCUUCAGAGAGGAAAAAACCUCCAGGAGAAAGCUCUAAAUGUUGGAGUUCUUGACUGGGGGCGCCUAGAAAAAUGGCAGUAUAGCCAUAAACAGAUGCCAUACAGAAGUAGCAGGUAUUCACCGUCCAGUAGUAAUACAACCUCAUCCUUUUCGACAGAUGAAUCAUCAACCCAUUCUAGCAGAGGUCACAGCUGUUCUCCUGCUCGUCUUAGGAUGCACCGUCCUUCCCUCCAAUCUCAUUUCAUGAUUUCUCCAUCGGAAGGGCCUUCUGAAGUUGUCAAAUCCUUUAGAGAAAGUGUUGGAAAGUUUCAGGAUCCUGAAGCUGACCAGAGUGACAAUCUGAAUGGACCGGAGAAGUUCAUUAGACCAGAUAAGUCCUUCAUCAAGUUGCCACAGUGCAAGAGAAAAGGUUCAGACCCAAAGACUGAGCCAGAAAAAGGAAUGCGGAAUGGGUUACAGUCUGAGAUGGCAGCCACAGAUUUAAGGGUAAAGAAAAACUCUCAUGAUGCUGAGUUUCCGAAGAAAGUAGACAAAUUGCAGCAGCCAUGUUCAGAAGAAACCCCUGAAGGUUGCAAUAGAAUUGUUCUGCUUUUGCCUAGAGAUGUUCCUGAACGAAAUCAUUCUGGGCCUGGGAUCCCUCACAUUUCUGAUUCUGAAACACUGGGUCAAAGAGCUGCAGAAACUUCUCGACUAAGCUUGCCAGAGAGACCAAAGGAGGCCUCCUUUGCAGAGCUCAAUUCUGAUCUCCCCCAUUCGUGCCGUUUUCCUUCUGAAGUUGAUCGUAAACACUUUAGGGUAAAACAUCUCGGCUCCACUGGUGCAGCAAGUGGCAGCUUUCACUCUAAUACAAUUGGCUCAGCAUCACAGUUGGCUCUAAAAUCGUCAACAGGAACGAGCCCAUCCAGAGCCAGAAUUCUUGAAAACAAAAAAGCAACUGGAGUAUCAACAUCUUCAACUUUAACUGAGUCUCAUAGAGGAUCAGAUUUAAAGCCAGGCAAAGUAACUGCUGAAAAAGUAAGAAGCUCAUCACCUUUCCGCCGAUUAAGCAUUGCUGUAGGUAAGAUGAGUAAAACCUCCAGUUCUAAAGACUCAUCAGAGGUACAACAGCUUAGGUCCACAACUUUCCAGUCUAGACCUGAUCCGGGGAACAAUGUGGCUUCCACUUUCCUGGAUACUUCAGACAUUGAUAAGGCCAAUGCCACUGGCAAAGCCAGAUCCAGCCCGCUGAGGAGGUUACUGGAUCCACUGCUGAAGCCCAAGGUAGCCAACUGCCAUCACUCAGUGGAGUCAUUGGAGAAAGAUUCCAUAUCAACAAACAAGGCCUCUAAAUCAUCUGCGGGGCGAGUGGAAUCUUUGUCUGAGCAGCCAGGGAAAGUAAAGCUAGGCAUGACUGGUUGUAGGGAAAUUAAUGUCAAUGAAUUCUCUACAGAUAGGAAGACUAGACCAUCAGCAGUUCAAGCUCUUCUACGAGUUGCUGUUAAAAAUGGGCUUCCCCUGUUUACAUUUGCAGUACACAAUGACGUUGACAUUCUUGCGGCCACAAUGAAGAAGUUGAAUAGCUCAGGAAAGGGUGAUUGCAGUUGUAUCUACACAUUCUUCAGUGUGCGGGAAGUUAAGAAAAAGAAUGGAACUUGGCUGAAUCAUGGAAGCAAAGGCAAGGGUCAUGAAUACAUCCGUAAUGUUGUUGCUCAAAUGAAGGUUUCUGAUUCACAGUUUCCCAAUUUGAUUAGAUUGGAUCAGUUUAGCGUGAGAGAGUUUGUGUUAUUUUCAGUAAACCUUAAGCAGGCAGAUUGUCAAACCUCAGACUUCCAGGCAAAUGAUGAACUUGCAGCCACUGUUGUCAAAAUCCCGAAAAAGAGUCAGACAUCAUCUACAGAUUGGCGUCAAAGGGAUACCUAUAAUGACUUGCCUGUGCUUGGGUCAGAAGAGUGUUUGUCAAAGGUGAGACGUCACUCCUAUUCUGUGGAAGAUGUACAGAGCAAGCAGUUUGUUGGUAGUCAAGGCCUCAUUUGCACAACAGUCAUACUUCCUAGUGGUGCCCAUAGUCUUCCGAGUAACGGAGGACCAUCAUCUCUGAUUGAACGUUGGAGUACAGGUGGGUCAUGUGACUGUGGGGGUUGGGAUUUGGGUUGCAAAUUACGGAUAUUGGAAAACCAGAAUCAAGCCAGUGAGAAUUUGACCUCACAUAAGGUUUGUUCGAUUCCAGAUCGCUUCGAGCUUUGCUAUCAGGUAUGGUGUUCUCCUUAGACCAGCUGAUUUUAACUUUUCCCCAUUAUUGUAAAAAUCUUCAACUGAUCUUACUUUUGUGCUUUACAUAUCCACAGGGAGUACAAGAAAACCAACCUGCUUUAAGUUUAGCCCCAUUCAAGGAUGGGAUCUACUCAGUUGAGUUCAGUUCUUCACUCUCAGUUUUACAAGCAUUCUCCAUUUGUAUAGCAGUGUUAGAUAGUAGGAAUCUAUGUGAGUUCUCAGAGUUCCGGGAAAGCAAAGCAACAGUGCAAGAUGAUGGAACAAGUGAUCCAAAUCAAACAGAAGGGGAAGUUCCUGCAAGAUAUGCCUCAUAUCCCCCUCUUUCACCAGUCGGGCGUGUCUAGUUUUACUGUGACUGCAUCUCAUAUUUACAAUAUAUAUCUUCAGUUGGUCGGGUUGGCAUUGUACAAAAUUUGCUGUUGGUGCCUAUACUUGAUUUCCUGAGCGAAGCUGUAUUUAGUGCAUCGAAUAUAUUGUAAGAGGAACUGUUUCGUCUGUUUAAAAUGUGCAUAUAGCGAGUCUCUAGUAGGUUAUCUCCUAAAUCUCAAUAAACUCCAUUUAAGAUGGCAAUAUUCAUCAUGGAGAAUGUUGAAUACAAUAACUGGAGAAUUGGGUGCAAGCCCCCUCCUUUGAUAUUGAAACAAGGAUCCUGCAGUCUAUUUAUAUUGCUUCUUGGUUACUUAUUUGAUGUGCGUUUUCACCAGUUGCAUUUUUUUUUUUUGGAAGUUGAAAAAUGAUGACCUAGUUAGGCUUGAACAGUGAAGCAGUGUACCUGCAUCUAACUGGCUUUCUUUGCUGCCCAGGAAAGCAAAACUACUUUGCUUCUUUCUGAAUGCAGUACAUGCUUUACUCAAGUGAGCAGAGACUGAGUUAGCUUUACUCAAUAAAUCCGGGAUUUGUUUGAUUUGUUGAGUGAAAGCUUAACCUCCUUUUCUCCCUUCGUUUCACGCUUUUCUUUUUGGGUUGAAUCCAUAUAUUCAGAAAAAUAGGCUCCUUAUCAAAUCCUUACACAAGUUGGAUGGUACAAUCAGUCACACCAUUUGCAUCUCUGAGUUACCCGUUUAGUUUUAUUUCUCAAUCUUUAUUCAUUUACAGGCGAGAAUGUCAUAAGAGAAAUCAAUAUCUACAAUCGAGAUGUAUAUUUACACUUUACUAAUUUUUUCAUCCUUGUUCCUCUUUGGACAAGAGAAGAGAAACUCUAAGAAUUAAUAGUGACAUUUGGUACCAUGGAUUUAUAUAUAGCAAUUAAAAAAAACAAAAAAAAACAAGAAAUUCCACCAUUUUUGUCCUAUUAAGGAUUAGAGCAGAACAAAUGGAAAAAGGAAGAAAAUGAAAAAACCAUCAGGUCAGUCACGUCAACACGUUCCUAGUUGACACGUCAUCACUCAUGCACACAUCGCUGAUCUUCUUCGGUUCUUCUUCUUCUUCUUCCCUAAUACAAGUCUCAGAAGAAAAUAAAUAAAAGCAAACAAUUUUGAUUCCCUCUCUCACUUUCAAAUUUUUUGAAAUCUGUUGCCAGAUUGCAUUCCAAUUCUCUCCAUCACUUUCCGAAUAUUCAAAACAAAAAAAGAAUCGAUCUUUUUUAUAUUUUCUGUUUUAAGUUUGUGAUCAUAUGUUUGAAAUUUGAAACUAGAGCGGUUGUAUUGGGGAGCUUUCAAUGCCGCUGAUUGAUGACGAGCUCUAACCUCGUUGCCCACAAUGCCGUUCUACUUUGCUCGUGAGGCUCCCAAGGUUCGUUUGUUUUUUUUUUUUUUUUUUUUGUCCUCUUUCAAUUUCAAUUCCAAUGUUGUUUUGAUUGAUCUUGUUUUGAUUAAAUUGUGAAGCUAUGGAGGAAAAUCUGCAAUGAGUCGUCGACUGAAGUUUCGCUUCUGGCUGGCAAUUGGAAGUUUGUUCUUGCUGGUCUCAUUUGUCAGGUUCAUUAUGUUCUCUUUAUUCAAUUUGGAUUUCUGUUCAGUGAAUUGGUAUUGGAAAUUACUAACAAGUACAAUGUUCAUGGCAGACUUGGAUUAUAAGGAUUGAUAAGUAUAUUGGGUUCGAAGUAAUUUUCGUUAAGUAGGUUGUGAAGUACUGGUUGUAGCUGCUGUUUUGUAUAAAAAAAGGUUCUUUUGUUUGAAUGUCAAUGAUGGUAUAGGCUUAUAGUAUAUAUAGGCAUUUCCUUGUUCUUUAUUUACUAGUGUGAUGCUAAAGUUUUUGCCUUUUGGGCACAGAGUGAUUUUUUCAUUGGAUAUGAGUUUCUGAAAUCGUAAGUACGAUGAUUCUGAAUAUGUAUGGGCUGAAUGCCUGAAAAUUUAAUUCCCAUUAUUUACUGUAGUGGAAGUGUUUGAGCAAAGCCGCCAAUAAAAUGGUUUGCUUGAUGUGUGAAGAAAAUGCCUUGGUGGGCUUUUUUCCUUUCUUCCUUUAUAUCCCUUUAUUCAUUUGUUUAUUUAUUACUAGAUUGGCCUUCUAUGGUAUUUGCUAGAAGGCUAAGACAUAUACAUUUGUGAUUCUUUAUAUACUUAUCCAGUCUGUAUCAAACAGUAUCUUCAUGGACUAGCGGCGCAUGGAGUUCACUAUCUACAUCGGCCAGGACCAACACUUCAGGAUGCUGGCUUCUUUUUACUCCCGGUGUGUAUGCUUUCAAGGGUUAUUGGGACGCUUCAAUAUUUAAUGCAGCAGCAGUUUUCAUGUCAUUUAUUAACUGUUGCUUUCGGUUAUCUUAGGAACUUGGACAAGACAAAAUUUUUCUCAGUGAGACUCUGUUUGCUGCUGUAUUUUUUUCUUUUAUAUUGGUAAGACUUUCUGGGUGCCAAUAUUAUCAUUUGCUUCAAAUUUGUCAUGGACUUCUUUCUCUUGUGUCUGAAGUGCAUAUUCUUCAUUCAGUUUUUUAUUGCUUCGAUAUCCACUUCUAACUAAUUACUCGUAGAAGUUUGGUAAAUCCUAACUCGAGCUAAUUUUGUGUCUAUAUAUCCUGUUGCAGUGGACAUUUCACCCAUUUGUUUUUCAGAGCAAAAAAAUCUAUACAGUUCUGAUAUGGUGCAGGGUCUUUGCUUAUCUAGCUGUAAGUAAAGAUGGUAUACAUACUAGUUUUGUCGUUGCUUUCUAGAUAUGCUGCCAUACAACCUUGUUUGUCUAAACAAUGCAUCCCCCAUGAGUUAUUCCUUAUUGCUUUAUCUGCCAGAAGUGCGAGCAUGAAGCUGCAUAUGUCUUGGCCCUUUACUGGAAACCUUCAAUUCUUAGCAUAAAUACUAUGAAUGCAUGUCACUAGAACUUUCUUCUUUUGGGUUUGUACUAGCUCUUAUAUGAUAUCAAUUUCAUAAGUAGCCAUCUCAUCGCCACAUGCUAUUAUAUAUUCUUUAAUUCCCCAUUUGUUUUUCAUAAUAAGCAAUAACAUAUUGAUGGAGAUGAAAACUUGACAUAAUAUCCUUAUAUGUACCACAUAUAGUCUUCUGCUGUUUUCAUUUUACUUAUGCCUCCUAUCUGCUUAUGAAUCCUGGAUUGUGUUACUUGCUUAUAGGAUUCAUUCUUGAGCUUGGUACAUAUUUCGAAGCAUCUGACUGAAAAUUGCACUCAUACUCUAAUUUUAGUGCAUUUUCCUACUCUAAUUUUGCUUCUAUGGUAUUGACUUGAACCAACUCUCGCAUCGAAUGGAUCAGUAGAGUUUACAGGUAUACUGUGGUACCUUGCUCUAUUUUCUGACAAUAUAUUUGGGUAUUCAUUUUGUCAGGUUUCUCAGUUUCUGCGGAUCAUCACCUUCUACUCCACUCAGCUUCCUGGUCCAAACUAUCAUUGCCGCGAGGUAAACUUUAUAAGAAUUAUUGUUUUGGUUGUUAGUUGGAGGUAUUCAAGAUUCAUUAAGUUGUAUUUAAAUAUGUUUUACAAUCAGGUACAACUGUCUCUUUCAGGGCUCAGAAGUUGCCAGGCUGCCCCCUCCAAAGAGUGCGCUUGAAGUUCUCUACUGUUAGUUCAAAUGCUUCCUUCUCCUUAGGCUUAAUGCUUCAUUACCUCCAUAAAUCCAAGCAGCUUGAUACUUAUGUUAUUUACCUGUUUGUGCAGUUCCCCGAGCUGUUAUGUAUGGCUGUGGUGAUUUGAUUUUUUCAUCACACAUGAUUUUCACUUUAGUAUUUGUGCGUACAUUUCAGAAAUAUGGAACAAGGAGGUAACAACAAUUAUUAGAGCCUCUUCUUUUCUACGGUCCUAUUAUCAGCUGAUUCAGCUCUAUCUGAUUCUCAUUUUGUUAUUCAGUCUGAAGUGGGCUUUAUUUGGUGAAUUGGUUAAUGAAAAUAAGUUCGUCGUUUAUUCUCAGGAUGUACGUAUCUUCAGUCAUUUGAUGUAUCACUCUGGGGUAUUUUCUCAUGACUCUAUUGCGGUGUAUCAUUGCAGGUGCAUCAAGCAGUUUGCUUGGUUAGUUGCUGUGAUUCUGAGUCUCUUGAUUAUAGCAUCUCGUAAACACUACACUGUUGAUAUUGUUGUUGCCUGGUAAGAUAUUGAUUAUAUUAGCUCUUGAUUUGGUCUUAAAUAACCUAAUAUCUAUUUACAGAGAACAUAAGUUGUUUAUUCCCAUGCAGGUACACUGUAAAUUUGGUGGUGUUCUUUGUGGACCAAAAAUUGCCAGGUGAGCGAAUGAAAUCCCAUUAAUCUUCUCUCACUCUUGAAAGUGGGUGAAAACUUCGGUCUGGAUUCCUUUUUUGGUCAUAUAUGGUGAUAUCUGAAGUUGAUUCAGUUCCAAUAUUUCUAGAUCAAAACAGAUUUUCCUUGGCAAAUAAUUUUCUUAUUUCAUUAGGAUACUCGAAACUACAUAUGCCUUGAUCUUUUUCUCCUUUACAGAAUUGCCUGAUCGGUCCGUAGGUUCUACAUCUCCACCGCUACUACCAACGAGUACCAAGGAUAGGGAUAGCAGACUCGGAGAAGAGCUUGAAAAAUUCCGAAAUGGAAAUUCUUCUGACAUCACUACAUAAGUCUGAAAAACCAGUAAAUAUUCUCAAUCCCAUCCAGUUGUCUUGUCUUGUGGAUGCUUUUGUCCAGAUUGUAGGACAGAAACUGAAAUCUUCGGGAUAUUAAAAUACUUAGCAGUAUAUGGUAAAUAGAUGAGUAGCACAAGCUGAAGAUGGCUUGGUUGCUGUUAGUCUUAGGUAUGUACUUAAGUAGUUGCAUCUCUUUGUCAAGAGUGAGGCUGAUAAAGCUGGGAUACAAAUUAUUUGCUGGUAAUGAAUUGGAGUUGUUUUAACACCCCUUUAGGAGUCCCACUUUUUCAGUGUUGAUUGUAACAUUGUCACCCAUCUCUUAUUGGCGCAGUUCACUUUUUUACAUUUACAUGUGUCAUCAUCAUUAUUAUCAUUACUGUCAUCAUCAUCUUCAUCUUGGUGUUUAUCAUCAUCAUCCUCAUUAUCCUCAUCAUAGAAAUGAGUCGGGCAAAGAUUGUAUGCACCGAAAUGAAUCAAGAAAAGUGGUGGUUAUCAUGGCUGAGAUACAAGUCAUUAUCUUGGAGCACCAGGUUGUCAUGUUUAGGGAUCAUUGCUCAAAAUUUUAUCCACAGAAAAUAGGUGUGUGGAUGAUGGCUUAAUAAGAUGGAAGGGAAUAGUUACUAGAGGAGGGAACAUGUAAUAUCUCCUUAGGCAAUUAGGGCUGGCAUACAAGAUAUAAUAAUGCCUCUUGUCUGAUGAGUGAUGACCCACUUGAACCACCACCCAUUUGCUUGAAUUGCCUUCUUUUUUUCCCUAUGUUAUAUUCUCUUUUCAGGGGUUUUGUUCAUAGGGACACCAAUUGUCUAUAUCACAUGCCUCUUCUGGUUUCCUGCACUAUCAGAGGAACUGUAUGUUUUCUUUUUUGCUUAGUAUUAACUUGAUAUCUACUCUGUUCAGCCCUACCAAUGUCAAAAGUAUCCAACAGAAAAAUUAUGGCAUAUAUGGAUGGACCUCCAUUCUGGGAUUUUGUUUUGGCGAAAUGCAAAAUGCUGCCCCAGUUCUAAACAACCAAUAUCAGUAAAAAAACUAGAAUGGUAGAAUUGUGUUCAACUUCCUUCCUUGAAUUUCAAUUUCCGUAUUGAACUUCUUCACCUGCCAUUGGGGAUCAUAAAGUAGCUCUAGCUCUUUGUUACAAACAGUGCUAAGUUAAUGUGAAGGUUUACGAUGAAAAUAGAUUGCCAGACACAUAAAUUCCAGGAGACCUUUUGCCAUUCGGAUCAAAUAGUUUCCGAUUUGAAUUGAAUCUUCAGACAAAGAAGAAUUUGAUCAAAAUAAUCGGCUGGAGAUUCACAUAUUGACCAUAUGGCAAACUCUAAUAUAGGAGAACAUUGUUCACAAGGUUAUCGUCUCACUCACACCCAUCUUCAACAUACAAAACGAAUUACAUUCUUAAUCUCUUCAAAAUGAUGAAAUCUUUGACCUACUCCUUAUGACUUUAGUAUAGUUUAGGUCUAACUAAAUCUCUUCUAAUCACUUUUGUAUUGUAAUCCAAGGUUAGUUUAAGAUUAUCUUAGAGACCUCACCAACCAAAAUAAGAAAAUGAUAAUAGGGAAGUAGAUGAAGGGUCAUUGGUCAAGGCACCUUUCUUGAACAUAUCAUGCAUGUGGUCCAAACACUAACAUGGUCAUGCAUUUUAAAAAAAUUGAAGUACAUAAUACUAUAAGAUGCAUUUGUUAUAGUAUAGGAUCGAUAUAAGGUGCAUUUCAUUAUUCAUAGGAGAAAGAAGCGGCUAUCUUUCCCUUCAUGCUUCCCAAAACCAAGAACAGUCCUUUUGAGACCCAUGUUGAGCAGUAAACAUACACACAUCCAUGCUGAAACCUUACCAUAUCAGUAUUAAAUUAAGGCUGAACAGCUACUUUUUACUAGUUUAAGUUGCAGUUUUAUGCAUAAGAGAGCUGGAAAAGUUGGUGAAGAAGAUCAUGAGAUCUCAGGUUUAAUGCAUUCUUCAUCAUUUGAGGCAUGUCUGGCUAAAUCACUGCAGUUUUCAUAGUUUAUGUGCACAGAAACUAUGCCCUUUAGUCCUUUACCUGCAUACUUGAUCGUACAACUCAUCUAAGAGAGGGUGUCAUCAUAUGAACAAUAAUGCAACGUUUUGAAUAUACAAAUUAGUUUUAACUAGAAUGUGUGACUUCCUGGAAAAUUUAGGUGUUGCAAACUCUAUAUAUAGUAGUUAACGUAUCAUAUAUAAAAAGGGUAAUAGUCAGCUUCAAAUAUGGCAUGCUAAGGCAGCCACUUAAUUUGUUUAUUCUCACAGUUGAAGUCUUAGGGUUCACAGUUUAUGAAAAUAACAGCAAGUCACUGUACAAUGAUCUAUUAAUUUACCAAAUAUCAAGUCGAAGAUGUAAUAUUUGAUUAGGAAAGAAGUGUAAGAUGGAUUUGAAUUGAAUUGAUAUUUCCAUACUUGGAAGUUGACCCUUCUACAGGCCAUGGAUAAACUCAAUCAUGAGUCAGAUUUGUCACGCAAUUACGUUUUGUAAUGAGGCUGUUGAACAUGAAGAAAGGGAUGAGGCAAUCAAUUUCCUCGUUUAUCUUCAUCGAAAAAAAAAAAUUUCCUUGUUUAUGGAAACUAUUGAACUGCCCUGAACAUGUGGAGACUGAUUAUGUAAUUUUUCUUAACUAAGACUUUAGAGCAUCAAUAUUUAUCGUAACCAGCUAACUAAACUAAAAACAAAUGGACUAACUAUCAUAAACGAACAAUAAAUAUCAAAGUCGGUUUCAAUGAGAUAUUUCUCAAACUCGUAUCUCUCCCUUAUCAAGGGAAACAAAGAAGAAGAUGAGUUGAACUAUCAUGAAACUCAACUAUUAUAUAACAUCUCAAGAGACUUUUUUUUCUAUUACAUAACAUCUUAAGAGACUUCUUAAAAAAAGAAGAGUGUCCUAACUCAACAAUAAAUAAAUAAGAAUAAUAUACGAAUAUAAAACUCUCACUUAACUCAAUAUAAACGUAAUAAUUUAAAUAAUAUAUAACCAUACAAUCUUCGAAUUUUCAGCACAAAGAAGAAAAAAAUGUAAAUCUUUACUUUCUGAAAAAUUGAGUCUUCAUUAGCGCAUGUCUCCCUCAUUUCACCUCCUAAUCACGCACAUACCAAACCAAAAAUGUAAGCAGAAAAGAGAUGAACAAAAAAAGUAAACGUUACCAAAUCACAAAAAAGACACAGAACAAAAGCAAAAAGGAAAACGAGGAGAAAAAUGCAGAAACGGGGGGAAAGAAGGAACGGGAGUUGACAGAAACAGAAACACAACAGAAAACACUGGAUCCAACUUCUCAAAAAGUUCCCCUUUUGGCUUUUAGGUUCUCUUAGAAAAAAUUCCCCUCUCACUUUCUUGCUUUCCAGACAAAAUUAUAGCAGAAAAUUAAGUAACAAAAUAAAACCCUCUAUUGGUUCCUGUAUUUAUCUCUCUCUUUCUCUCUUUCAUUCCUCUCAAUCCUAUCUACCACACUACAACUAGUCCUCAAAACCCUCUCUACUACUAGUCCCCAGCAGCAAGAAGAAGAAAGUGACACAAAAACAGCACAAAGCUUUCUAGAGAGAGAAAGCACAGACAUUCCAAAGGGCCUUUUCUCAGCUGUUUCUCUCACUUGAACUUUGGAUUAAACUCUUUAGCCAAUGGGAGCUCGCUGCUCCAAACUAUCUCUCUGCUUCUGGCCUUCCACCACCAAAUCCAUUCCCAAUGAUUCUUCACAAAAAGGUUCAAUCUUUGUCUCCAAUUUCACUUUUUUGUUCUGUUGAGUUUGAGUUUCAGGGUGUGUUUAAAGUUUGCAUCUUUAUGUAGAAAACGGGAAGAAAAACGACAAGGACUCGUUUCCUGGGUUCGUUGAGUUCAGCUUGGACCAGUUAAAAGCCGCCACGUCGGGAUUCUCGUCGGAGAACGUGGUCUCCGAGCACGGAGAGAAAGCUCCGAAUGUGGUCUACAAGGGUACUCUCGACGACGGCCGUUGGAUCGCCGUCAAAAGGUUCAACCGAUCGGCUUGGCCCGAUUCGCGCCAAUUUCUUGUGAGUUUUGUUUUUGGGUUAUAGUUGGAAACUUUGUGAGUUUGAGUAUCUGGGUUUGUGUGAAAAGUGGAGUUUUGGGUUUCUAUUUUAGGAUGAGGCGAGAGCUGUGGGGCAGCUGAGGAACGAGCGUUUGGCGAAUUUGAUUGGGUGUUGCUGUGAGGGUGAUGACAGAUUGCUUGUGGCUGAGUUCAUGCCUAAUGAAACUCUAUCCAAGCAUCUAUUCCAUUGUAAAGUUUCUAUCUUUAGUUUGAUUUAUGUUGCUGUGUUGGUGUGUUUUCGAUUUGUUUUGAGUUUCGACGAAAAUGGGAUUUGUUUUUAAUGCUUGAUUGCUGUGAGUUUAGAUUUGGGAUGUUUUUUGAGUUAAGUGAUUUGUUGAAUUGGGUGCAGGGGAGACUCAGCCAAUGAAAUGGGCGAUGCGGUUGCGUGUGGCUUUGUAUCUUGCGCAAGCUUUGGAGUAUUGCAGUAGUAGCGGGCAGGCAUUGUACCAUGAUCUUAAUGCUUAUAGGGUUCUGUUCGAUAAGGUAAUUGGGGAGUUUUGAUGUUUUGAUAAUUGUUAGGGGUGAUGUGUUGUUGGCCGGUUCCUUACAGUUAGUUGGCACUUGACAGGAUGGGAAUCCUAGACUCUCCUGCUUUGGCUUGAUGAAGAAUAGCAAAGAUGGAAAGAGUUAUAGUACCAACCUGGCGUUCACCCCUCCAGAAUACUUGAGGACAGGUAAUUUUAACAUUUGGUUCAGCCAAUGGCAAACAGCAUUCAAUGUUAAAACAAUCGCGCUAGGUUUGUGAGGGAGAGUAUGGAAUGGGGCUCAGGAGAGGGAAAAGUGAAGAAAAAGGAUGUCUUCAUUGUUCCUACAAGGGAGAUAAUCAUGAAACGCCAGUUUCAUUUAUAACAUCUGGUUUAAAUUGCAAAUGUCAUGCUGUUCUGGAGUGAAAACAUGUGUUUGUCGUUUUCUUAGACAAAAUGAUUGAGGCUAGCUAGCAAUAUUCAUCAUUUGACGAGGCUUGCCAUAGUACCGACUGUUUAGGCUGUAGCAUUUGCGUUUAUGUACUUGCUCAAUCAUGCUCCCCUUGCAUGCUUCUCAAUCCCAUUAACCAAAUGUCACUAGAUAAGGUGCUUAAUGCAUGAAUUUUGAACACGUCACGUGGCGAUAAAUUCUUUAGUUGUGCUCCUGCAUUCAUUGAUAUCUUUUAGGCAAGUGUACUGAUUACGAUUUGUUGGUAAAUGGAUUGCUGGUAUUUUGUAAAUCCAUUAUAAUUGCUUUUUCUUUUCGUCUCUUUAACUUAUGAGAUUAAAUGCAUUCGAAGGGCCUUCAGACUUACUGGUAGAGGUGGUAUUCUCUUUUGCAAAAGGGAAUGAUCUAGUGUUUGUAGGAUGAGUUCUGAACAUAUUUCUUGAGGUGAUCAGUUUUUUAGUUGAUCUGAAUGUUAUUAUCUUUUUCUCUGGCAGGAAGAGUGAUCCCAGAAAGUUUGGUUUACAGCUUCGGGACCCUAUUGCUUGAUCUGCUCAGUGGCAAGCAUAUCCCCCCGAGCCAUGUAACUACUUGUUUCUUUAAUAUGUUCAGACAGUUCAGUGGACUGAAAUGUGGUUGUGUCUCAUUCUUGGCAUUGCUGAUAAUAUAAUUGGCUUAAUUCAUAUUUAAGCCAAUUAUAUUAACCCGAUUUGGAUUUCAAUUCAUAUUUAACCCGAUUGUCAUAUUUGGAUGGUUGCUAAAUACUUUGAAAUAUUCUUCCCUUAAGGCACUUGACCUGAUACGCGGCAAAAACUUUUUAAUGUUGAUGGACUCAUGCUUGGAAGGUCAUUUCUCAAAUGAUGAUGGAACUGAGCUGGUGCGGUUAGCAUCACGGUGUUUGCAGUAUGAACCUCGUGAGAGGCCAAAUGCCAAGUCGCUUGUGACUGCCCUUAUUCCUCUUCAGAAGGAAACAGAGGUGUGCCCAUCAUUUUUUGUUACGUAAUGAUUAUUGUCAGUUCAAUACAUUGGUGUUUGAUCUGCUAUGCAUCCAUUUACAUUAAUGCUGCAAAUGCCAUGAAGGUAUACAUCAUCUGAUCUACUGGUUCUCAGCAGGUCCCAUCAUACAUUUUGCUUGGUAUUCCACAUGGAAAUGUGCCUGCAAAUCAGGCGUCAUUGUCACCUCUUGGUGAUGCAUGCUCAAGAUUAGAUCUUACUGCCAUACAUGAAAUCUUGGAGAAGGUUGCUUACAAGGAUGACGAGGGGGUUGCAAAUGACGUUAGUGGUCCUCACUUCUAUAUAUUAUUUUUCAAACAUCUAGAAAUGGAGGAAAAAGAAACUACUGUUCUGCUUUUAUGCUUGCAUAAUUUUAUGAGAUAACAUUUUACGUUUAGUACGUUUUGCUAAGAACUGCCCUUAACUUUGAGGUUACCUUGCAGCUUUCUUUCCAAAUGUGGACAAAUCAAAUACAGGAGACAUUGAAUUCAAAGAAACAUGGGGAUACUGCAUUUCGAGCAAAAGAUUUUGCUACUGCAAUAGAGUCUUAUACUGAAGUAAGGCACUCAUCAGAAAUACAAACUUUACUUGUUCCUCUAAGCUCUAUUAUCAAAGUCCAAUACAGAGAAAUGCAUCUUGACUAUAUAUUAGAUAAUAAGAGUACUGAUAGGUUACAAGAAUUUGAGGUUUUGGUCCUGCAUAUAGAUGGAAUGUCUUUUCAUAACCGCAUAUAAAUAACUGAUCAUUUCUUGAAAAGUAACUUUACCAACCUAGUAAUCUUAAUAAGGCAGAUAUCUAAAUUACGACCAAAGAAAGACAGAAAUAUGCUUAUCAUCUUAAUCCUUGGUGGAUCUUGUUGCUUUCAAUUGCAGUUCAUUGAUGGUGGGACCAUGAUAUCUCCAACUGUAUUUGCUAGACGUUGUUUGUGCUAUUUGAUGAAUGAUAUGGCACAAGAAGCUCUUGGAGAUGCUAUGCAAGCCCUAGUAAUAAACCCUGAAUGGCCGACUGCCUUCUACCUUCAAGCGGCUGCCUUAAAGAGCCUAGGAAUGGAAAAUGAUGCGCAGGAAACUCUAAAAGAUGGCACAUCCUUGGAAGAAAAAAAAGAUAAAAACUGAAUGUGUAUAGGUGUUUUUCCCCCUUCUUCUAUUUAAACUGUAUCUAGUUUUGUUAAUUCCCCCUUUGGUAUUUGAGUUCUGCAGCACCAAAAGAUUCAUUGUAACAAUCUUUAUGUUUGUCUUGGUAUAUCAUUUCAUUUAUCUUUUGAUCUAUAGGAUCUUCUGUACUUAGACAGAAGUCAAAUUUACUGUUUUUCUGAUAUAAUCAUAUAUGAUAUUGAUUUUUGAGUCUGUCAUUAUGCAAUAUGCCUCGGAUCAUAUCAACUUUUGGACCACAAAUUAUGGGAACAGCCUUGGAAUGAAUGAUAGGUGGCUUGAUGCUUCAACAAACUAUUGUUAUUUCCAAUGCAUUUCCUAAUCUCACUUCUGGUCCUGCUAAUGUAACCGGGAUACAACCCAAGCUGUUAUGUUAAGAGGCAGGUUGGGGAUGGCUAUUCUAACAACCUUAAAUAUUGAUUUAAGGAAUAUAUCACGAUCCUUUUGUGGGAUACCCAUGGUCGAAAGAUACCGAGUCAAAAUACAUUCAUUCAUUCUCCUAUAUCUCUGACGAGGGAGAAAGAUGAAUGAUCGUCUUUCAGUUUUCAGGUUUGGUUCAGAAUAACUGUAAGUGUUGCGUCUCCUGUAUCUAUAUUGCAAACGACAGUUUGCUCAAACAGAGAGAAUAUGACCGUCAUGAGUUGCCUUCCCGUCUGAUGGUAAUGGUUGUGCGGUUCGGAUUUGCCAUGGUCUGCGGAGAUGCAAUGGUUUGCAACAAAACAGAUGGCCCUCUAUUGUGGACGACAUCCUAACAAGUAAUCAAAAUCAAUGGGAGAGUUAAAGCACGAAAGAGCCUCAGAGAAUCAAAAACAAGUUGCUAGUUUGUCCUAAGUCAACGAGGAGUAGUAAGAGCCUCACUCUCCUUCUCUGAAUAGGAUAAGGUUUAAGCGUGUUUGCCUAGCUAUCACAAUUAUUGGACCUUCCUAGAUCGACUAGGAGUACGUGAGAUCGAACAAAUGAAACAGUCCCGCAAGUCUACAACCGAACCAAUCGGCGGGACCUCAUAGCUACUAACUGAUUCUGAAUCACUAGAACAGGGACAAGUGUGGCCCGUGGAUCAUCAUUGUACCGAUACUGUCCCAACUUAACCACCUUUAAGGUGUUGGGUUUUAAUCACAAAAGGCCUCGGUAAAAUUGGAUAUGAUUCAUCAACUUAUAAGUUGUAUUUUAUUUAUCCAUUUUCUGAUAUGGGAUCUUUCCUCUCCAACACUCCCCCUCACGUGCAACCUAACUUUUUAGGUCUGCAUGUGGAAUUCAUUCAGCCCAAUUCCCACAUCGGAAAUCGGUAAUGCUUCAGUCCAAGACCCAUUGUAGGCACUUGGUAUGGUAUGGGCCAAUCAGAAUUUUUCCGAUGGCAAUUCGAUGAACCCAAUUCUGAGCUCAUUAUGUUAGGAGACUUUCUCCCGUUACGUUAGGAGACGUAAUUGAAGAGGGACCCACUCUGAUACCAACUAGAACAGAGACAAGUGUGGCCCGUGGAUCAUCAUUGUACCGAUACUGUCCCAACUUAACCACAUUUAAGGUGUUGGGUUUUAAUCACAAAAGGCCUCGGUACAAUUGGAUAUAAUCCAUCCACUUAUAAGUUGUAUUUUAUUUAUCUCUUUUCUGAUGUGGGAUCUUUCCUCUCCAACAGAAUCUUCAGCAUUGAUCAAAGUAAUAGAGAUGAGAGAUCAUAUCUCCAUACGGGGGUUUGUCUGUGAGUUUAGAUGUGCUAUUGAUCAAAACUUUGUGAAUCUCAUGUUUAGAUGUCUAAAUGGAUGGGAAAUAGAGAGAACUUGUUUUCUUCUCUUUAUGAAGAUGGGAAAUAGAGAGAUGUAUCAAGAGAUACUUUGUUUUGCUUUCCUCUCUUAUGACAGAUAUGAACAGAGAAUAAAGAGAGGGUUUGAGUGGGGGGAAGUUGGAAUUUCAGAUAUCAAAUGCAGGCGUGUACUUGUAUGGAUUAGAAUCAUAUCAAAUUACCGAAGUACCUUUUCCUUUUUUGUCCUAUCUAAAAUUGUUGGGCCACUAAAUUAACAAAAAGCCCAUCCGUCAUAAAUUAGAAGGCCCAUUUGUAGUAAAGGGUUUCUUGGUCCGGUCCAAAAACAAACUCGUCGCUAGCUUUUGUUGAUUUCAAAUGAUCGAUAAUCAGUCCGGAAGAGACCGAUGACCAUAUGUCGUGUUUGGUCCAAAACCAAACUCGUCGCUAGCUCUUGUUGAUUCAAAAUGAUUUGUAGUCAAUCCGAAUGAGAUAUGUGGCCCAUAUGUGGUAAAGGAUUUCGAGUUCGGUCCAAACCAAACUCAUCGCUCUUCUUCAUUUCUGAUUAUCAGUAGUCAAUCUAGAAGAGACAUGUGGUCACUGUGUGUAAAGGAUCUCUGGUUCGAAACAAAACUCGUCCCUAGCUCUUGUUGAUUUCGAAUUAUCGGAAGUCAAUCUGAAAGAGUCCAAUCAUAAGAGUCUAUUUAAUAAUGUACAAGUGACUUUAGAACAUCUCCGACUCUUGGUCUAAAACCUAUAAUAGGUUUAGGAUUUAUAAAAUCUCAUCUCCAACCUACUACCCAAGUUGAGUUAAAAUAGGAUUUACCUAAAAUGUGUCAUAUUUUGACUCAAUCAAAUAGGACAAAACUGUUUAAGGAAAUUAUGUUUCCGUCCUUCUGUUAUGUGUCUUACCCUAAUACACAUAGGAUUGGUUAAUCCGAUUUCUUUAUUAGAAUAGAUUACAGUUGAUAGAUCUUCUAGAUCCUUCGGGAUAUUCUAUGUAAUGCCUACAAAUAGGUUUUUCUAUCAAUAAAUGAGUAGACCGUUAUUCUCGUUAUCUUUUCUCUUUCAACACAUUAUCAGCACUGUGCUCUAACCGAGCUUGAUAACGAAACUUUAAAACAGAAAAACCCUAAAAUUUUCUGCUGCCGUACCCACUGGAUAUUGAUCUGGGCACCCAAAAUUGCUCUGGGCACCCACCACCACUGAUCCGGCAGCCCCCUGCCUUGCGCCACCCCGGCAGCGAGUGCCCCAGGCCUCCCCGGCCUUGGACCCACAUCCUUCCCUCCACCAGACCAGCCUCGCUAGCGUCUGCCCUAGCCCCGCCCCAGCCAAGCCCCAGCCGACGACGUUUGCGCGCCCCGGCGACCUUCAGCCUCGACGACCUCGCCUGCGCCUCGACGCCAUGUCGCUCCGAUCAACGCUCUGCCCAGCCUGGCCACCUCAGACGACUCGAGAACCUGCACAGCGGCCUCCCGUCUCCACCUCCGUCCACGAGCCUCCGAUCCGGCGAAGCUAGCCCAACGACUUCGACUGCGACCCAGCCCCACGUGCAUCGAUCUCGGAGUUCCACCGGCACCCACCCUCACCUCCCCGAGCGCCGCUACACGUACGGCCGGCAGCCCUGCAGCCACCGGACACCAACCCAGCCUAGCUCCGAUCGGGUUCUGCUCGACCCGGAUUCGAAGAUCCGACCCGCUCCGUUUUUUGUUUCCAAACUGAAUAUAAGUAAAUUUGCCCCUUUUUACCCCAUCAACGAGCACGCAUGCAUAAAAAUUGCAAUGGCAACUUCUGUUAAACGCAGUUUAUUUGGCAAACUAGCAAGUAAGCUUUUAUAAAAGUUGCCGCUUUUGAAUUUUAAUUUCAUAACGGGGCUCCGUAGCCUUUUUCUACAUCCCACUUUUCUUUAUAACGUGAGACGAUAUUGAGGGAUUGGGACCCCUCAUAUCAAGUUGAAAUUUGUGACGGUUUGACAAGUCACGGUUUUACGACAAAUUUGUGGUUAAUAAAGGGACAAACAUUUAUUUGCGACGGAAAUUGUCGUGGUUAAUAUCGAUUUGUGACGGAAAUUGUCACGGUUACAUCGAUUUGUGACGGAAUUUGUCACGGUUCACAUCGAAUUGAGUUACCAUAAAUCAUGGUCUUGACCCAAUUACUUGGAAUUAAUUAUCGUAUAUCGAUAAUAGUUAAUCUUCCAUUUUCUUGGUUGAAAUAAUUGACCGAAACAUAAGCCCUGAAUUUGACAUAAUAAAAAAAAAGUGACGAAUUUUGUGUCACAAGUUCUGAAAAAGUGGGAGACAACGCCUCGAACCUUAUAUGUCAUAAAAAAAAAUUGGGCUAGUAAAAGAAAAAUCAUGUUAUUGAUGUGGUUCUACAUCGGUUUAUUAAUUGCAAUGAAAGCAAUAAUAUGGUCAAUGUAUGCAAGAAAUAUAUGGAGUUCUUGAAACAAGAAACUCACUAUAUAGAAGAAGAUGAGAACAUUAUUCUCACAGUUACGGAUUUUAAAAGCAAAAGAUAUAUUGCGGAAUAUAUGAAGCAUGUGACUUCAAUUUAAUAGUCUAAGUGACUACAAAUCCGUUUAUUUUUCCAAGUUUUGUGAAGGCAUACACCUCACAUAUUUGAUUACAGUUGCUUAGUCGUUAUAUUUUAAAUUAAAUUCAUGGUCAAGACCUCGAUAUGCACAAUUGUUGGCAUUUAUAUUCGAAUUUUGUCUUGCACAUAUGGUUCGAUCUACAUAAACUAUAUGUUAAUGCAAUAUAUCGCAUUACAACAUGACACUACAUUGGACUACAUUGGACCACCAAUUAUUAUAAGGUGGCGUUUCUAAAAGCUAAAUAUCAUGAUGUAGCGAAAAGCACAUCGUUUUUGAAUCGAAAGAGGAUUUGUAAUGUCAAGUGUGGCACAAUGCACACUUAUACAAUUGCAAAGACAUUACAAUCAAGAGUAAUCUUCUACACUCUUGAGCGGAUUCACAAUUGCAAAAAGAAAAUUUGCGUUACGCUAUAUGUCAUCCAAAAUUGGAUGUUGGAAAAAAUCCUCCUUUUUCUUUACAAGAUCCAAUAGUGAGCCAUUGGUGGUGGCGCCGCCCCUAGAUAUAGUGCUCACGACAAAUUUUGCCAAGUUUUGACAUGUUCUAAGCCUUGUCUCGUCCAUUUAUGUAGAAUUACACGUCAUGUAAUGCACUAUAAAGGAUUCAAAUACCUUUUUUCAAUCUCUAUCGAAAUUGUUCACAUAUUUCGGUUUCUAUGUCUUGACAUAAGACUGUUGUUUCUACAUUCUUGUAUACGAAUGUGUUGUAGAGAGAUUGAGUGCUUAGCUUAUUGCAAGGCAUAAACAACUAUUUAUGGAUUUAGUUCUUUAUAAAUCUGUUGUGAGUUGUGACUACGAUGACUAAAUCAUCAGAAAUAACCAAAGAGCGGAUUAAUGCUCUAGUUUCAAUGCCUAAUGACGUUAUGAUUCAAGUCACACAUGCUCUUUAUGCAUAAGGAAGCAAUCGAACCGUGCUAUGACUUAAUGAUAUUCACGCCAACGUCUAUCACCUGGAAAAACAUUGUGAGAAUUGAUGAGAAUUUCUUAUGUAUCACUAUAAUGAAUGCACAACAUUCAUGAGUUACUAAGAUUCGGUUAAUUGAAUCGGUUAUUGUCACCAAUGAUGAGAAUGGAGACAUCGACUCAUAUAGGCUUUAACCUAAAUCGUCCGAGACAAUUUUGGACGUGUUUUGAUGAUCCAUAUACUAAAGAGUAAAGACUCUCCUGGACAUCCUUUCUUUUGAGCAAAGCAAAGUAACCAUUGAAAUCAAAGAUCACCAAAAUACAACUUGGUGGCGCCAUGAGCAAUGCUCACGGCCUAUAAAUGGCAUUCAAGCCGUCCGCGUCAUCCUCUUAAUCAAUGGAGGCACUACUCAUGCUUUCACAAGCAAAUAUGACGCAAAAGAACCUCCUAUGAUCUCACAUUAGCCAUGCUCGUUACUUGUUUUGUAAAACUUAUUCUUUAGCAAAGAUUAGGAGCGACACCCUCCUACACUAAAGACAAUGAAAUGUAGAGACUAGCAUAUAAACAAGAUGCUAAGUCGUUAUUCACUAAGUAAGACAUUUAUUACAAUGUCUAUGAGUGAUUCUACAAGAAUGAUACAUAAGAUGUUGGCCUAGAUGACUUCUCAUUGUUCACUUUGAGGCAUAAUAAUGCUAUGGUGAUGUUUACAAUGGUUUAACUCAAGCCAUAACAAUUAGAUGUUAUGGGGAACCUUAACAAUGAUUGAAAAGUUGACAAAACCUAGGAUUUCCGGUUUUUCAGCUUGCGGACCAGUCAUUGUGAGAUCCGGUUCACUAACUUUUAGACCGGUUCUUGAGGUUCUGUUUGCGGCCACUGAUUCCUAACAUCCAAGCCUACCUAUUCACAAAAUUUGGUAGCAUUUGGAGACCUGGAAGGUGGUGAACCGCCCAAUAUAAGUGUUCACCGAUGUCUAGCGACUCCGACGGCCGGUUCGGCACUUUUCCGUCCAGUUCCGUCAUUGAUUCUAGCGGUUUUGCAAUCCUAACGUCCAUGUUUACCUGCAUACAAAAUUUGGUAGCAUUUGGAUCUCUAGAAAAUAGUGAACCGUUAAAGGAAGUGUAAAACGAAGGUCCAGUGAUGCCGGCGGUCGAUUCAACCGGUUUUCUUUUUGACCGGUCCCGACGGUGGGGCCAGCGGUUUUUUUUUGGACUUGUAAGACCAAUGACUACGGGUUGUAGCAGGGUCAUAGUUUUACUUAUUCAUCUUUACCCACCAUCAUUCAAAUCUUUAUGUUACGGUUGUAACGGUAUGCAUAUUUGUUAACAGAUUGAGUUAACGUUCUAAAAUCUAUAUCGUCCACAUGUUGUAUGUGCCAAAUUGCGCCUCCACAAACGCACAAUGAUGAGUUAUUUGAUGAAUAUUAUCUUUGAAUAAGACAUGAGCUUCCGACUAUAGUCCGCUUAUAUAAGAACCUUGACAGGCGAUCUCUUUUAUGUCACUUUAAUGAGCCAGUCUUCCCGUCGUUAGGGGGAGAUAAGAACACGAAUGUUCAAGUAGAACGACUUGGAAUUGUCGUGGUUUGUCCCUAUUGUGUCUCAUCAAGUUCCCUAAAGUGACGAGAUCACAUAUGCAUGCUGCAAACAUGCCUACAAGGAUUGAUGUCCGGAUAAGGACAUGUUGAUGUCUGGAUAAGAGGACAUGUUGAUGUCCGGAUAAGAGGACAUAUCGUCACCCAUAGAUGGUGGCAUGGUGACACCACAUAUGUGGUAGAUGGUGUAACUAGGCCGUGGCUCCCGCGGUUUAGGGGGAGACCACUUGGUUCGAUAUAUACUCGCCAAGGAAAAAUGCGAGUUUGGCACAACUUGAUCAUUUGAUCAAUGAUACUCAUUCGUCUGUUAUUUCUGAAUUAUGGUCAUCAUUGGGGGAUGCCUCAAUGUCAAUACCAAUCCAUAUAGAGAUCUUUACACUUAGAAAUUACACCGGUGUACAUGAUGACGUGGUUUAAUGAGUUUGAUAUCAAACCAUACUUCGUUAAGAAAAUACCAACGUUGUAGAUUGGCCUAAAUGGAAAGAUGUGAUCCAGUUUAAACAAAAAGAUAGUGCUUUGGUUAGGUGACGCCGACACCCCAAGUGUAAACUCUAUCAGUUAUCUCUUUGUUAGAAAGCGUAGUGAGAAAAAGAGUUUAGACUCACCUUCUGGCGCAAGGUCUCUCACAAUCGCCCUGGAAUCGACUACGAUGAGAUAUACUCUCGUAAUGGAUGUCAUUGCACUCCACUACCUUAUCAGUUUGGUAGUUUCCGAAAAACUGAACAAGCAGCUUGUGGUCACAACUUAUCUCUGUUGGGAACUAAGAGAUGUACAUAAAGAUCUUGAGUAGAUCAGUUUUUCACCCAAAUCAAGUGGCUCCUGACCACGGAGCGCGUUUGCAUGGUAUUUGCUAAGUAUCUACUUGAUUAGGGAAGGGAUAUGAAGAAUUAUGCCUCUUUGCGUGUAAAUUCUAGAUGAAUCGUGAUGAACUCUUGUUAAACUAAGAGAUACCACUAAUCCAAAAUUAAGAAUGAAAGGAUCUUGGGGAUACUUGGUCUCGAAAGUGAGGACCGUUAUUGAUGAUGCUUAUUCAUCUGUCGGCUUAAGGCAAUCUAAAGAACGAUGAAGUUAUGUCUAUAUGUAUCCCUUGAUCGGUCGAAGUGUUGAGAAGACUCGUUUUGUUUGUAUGACGAAGAAGUCUUUGGAGAAAUCCUCCAUCUAAUUAUGGUAGCAUAUUCAUGUACUUGUUACAAUAUGCUCGACUCGACAUCUCAUUCACUAUAAACUUGUAAGGCCAAGUUCUCCUUAGUCUUUCAACUCUUUUCCUAGCGGUCGAGCAUCUUCGCUCCCGCUUAGAUGAGUGUGAAAGAACAUCAAGGUAGUGGCCGGAUGCGCCCAUGCAACACCAAUGUAAUGAUAGUGAUUCCUUGUAUGAAAGGUUCAGGCUUAUUCAUCCCUACAGAAAGACACAUCAAAUGCCAAAUCAGAAUCUGCCUAGUUUCGUAGGUCUACUUCCACAGGACCUACAUGAUAGCCCACUCGUUGGAAAAUGGUGAAAUUGGUACCAUUGGAAAGGUCUAUGUGUCUACUUUCCAAGGACACCAACCAUUUGAUCACAUCUAUCAUAUUGAGUGAGUUAUGGCUAUUUUCAUAAAGUAGGACGGAUCUGUCCGAGAAUCUAAUUUUGUAGAGCUGUGUGAUCAGCUCAAGUUAUGGACCUUAUAUGGUUGGAAAGCUACGUGUGUCUUGUUUCCAGAAAUUUUUACAGUUCGUCCAUACCUAUUGUAUCGAAGAAGUUAUGACUGUUUAAGUACACGAAGGUCAUGCCACGCGUGAAUCUGAUUUUCAACGUGAACUUAUGUUUUGAGUUGUUAGCAUUCUCCUUAAAGAUCAAAGUAAUGCUAAGUGUAGCAGGUCUGAUCUAAGGAUAAUGUGGCUGGAUUUAAUGACUAAAUCAUUGCCCAAGUCUACUUUUGAAGUAUGUAAAGUGCAUUGGCUUGCGCCGUUCAUCUGUACUCCGAGAUUGAGUUACCAAUCAGGGGGAGUUGUUGUGUAGACAUCAGGGGGAGUCUACAUGCAUUACAUGUUAUCUUCAAUUGUAGUUGGUGCGUUGUGCUCUUUUUCCCUUCGUCCAAGUCUUUUGUUUUACCCACGAGAUUUUUGUUUUACUUGACAAGGUUUUUACCGAGGCAACACCAUAAGCACCGUGACGUAUUAGGGACACAACACAAGGGGGAAUGUUUAAGGAAAUUAUGUUUCUGUCAUUCUGUUAUGUGUCUUGCCCUAAUACACAUAGGAUUGGUUAACCCGGUUUCUUUAUUAGAAUAGAUUACAGUUGAUAGAUCUUCUAGAUCCUUCGGGAUAUUCUAUGUGAUGCCUAUAAAUAGGCUUUUCUAUCAAUGAAUGAGUAGACCGUUAUUCUCAUUAUCUUUUCUCCUUCAACAAAAAUCUAUAAUUUAUGAGGGUGAGUGGAUGUGGGCCACUGUCAGAUUUUAUUAUUAAACAAUUAGGUUUAACUUUAUGUAUGAUUAAAUGAUGAUAUAAAAUGAUUAAAUAUGUUUGGGUUUUGCAUCUCCAACUCAUAGAGGCAAAACCUAUAUGAAUAUUAUAGAUUUGGCAUUGGCAAAACUUUGAAGCUUGCUGGUGGCAUAGAGGCUUAUGCUCAGCCACAGGGAUGUGUUGAUGAUGAUUGUCUGGUUUUGAGAAGUCUUCAACAUCUUUUACAAGAUGGAAAUUUGGUUAAUAGCGUAGGGGGAUCUAAAAUAAAAAACUUUCGGUAACUCCAAGUCAACAUGACAAGGCAUGUCCGUGGAUGGUCGGUAGUGCAAGGCACACUUGAAACCACUAUCUCUUUAAUUUCGGACAAUUUUAAGACAUCACAUUGAGCUUGGAUGAGCCUAGUUGAACAAUUGAUGAUAGAAAAUCCGUUAUAAAGUGGAAGACUUAACCGGAAACACAUUGGCGAUCCUCCUUGAGGAUGUAAGGCCGUGCAUCAUCUUCACUUGGAAGAGACCAGAUCGACACAAUCUAACCAUGUAGAUUGUAUAUAUGCCAUGUUUCUAAGGACGAUGUAAAAAUUGUACAUCUUGUUUGUAAAUCAAUACAAACCAUAAGAGGAGAAUAGUUUCACUUCGAAAAAAUUCUCAAGGCAUUCAUUAUUACUAAUGCGAGUACAUCGAGGUCUCGAAUAAGCAAAGGACAUUGAUACGACGCCUUAUUACAUAUAACUUGGAAAGAACUCAAGGCAUUCAUUAUUGCUAAUGCGAGUACAUCGAGGUCUCGAAUAAGCAAAGGACAUUGAUACGACGCCUUAUUACAUAUAGCUUGGAAAGAAAAUCAGAGUCUAACCGAUGACGUCAAAGUCAAGAGCAUCUAGAGCUGGAUCCUAAUCUUUGAAAUCCGCGAUCAUGAGGAUGACAUUUUUAUCCUCAUUUUGAUUUUCCGUACCUUUUUGUAUGCAUUCACAAUUUGAGUGAGAGUUUGACAAUCUUGAACCAAUGAUCCGGAGAUCCACAACGGUUGCAUUGUCAUGAGCUGACGUGAGUAGUUUUGACAAAUUGGUGUCUAGACCGAGAGUGUCGCCAUUAGGGCAGGCGACACCUCCCCCUUUUUUUCUAGACAUCGACGCGGCUUUUUCUACAGUUGCCGUGACCCAUAUUGUAUUCCCCACACCAGGGAACAAUCCCAUGUGCUUAGGCCAAUACGUUUAUCUUAUUAACGUAUAUGCAAUUACCGUUUGCAAUUGUAUGAUCAAAAUCAAGUCUUGUUGGUAAUUCCAAACCAACUUGGAGGGCCUAGAGAACUUGAUGAUGAUCGAAUCCGCUAAAGAUUAUGGAUCAGGAUACCACAGAAUAUCAUUGACGAUAUGUAGUCAAAAUAAAGUGGAAAGCAAUCCACUUGAUUUAAUAACUCAACUUGUUGACUUUGAUGGAUGUUUUAAGAAACGCUUCAUAAGUGUAUUCUAUAGUACAUUGUGGUCAUUACUUUUUGCACAGAUUGCCGUUGAAGGCUGUUGUCGAUGUGGUGCCUCAAAACUUUGAGCGCGAGAGAUGUGUAAUCUCGGCAUCUAGGCUUGUUAACCUGGGGGUCAAAACAUGUGAUUUAAUCAUUUUCAAAGAAAGGUUUCACAAAUACCUAGCGAAGAUUCGCCUUAGGCAUCGAGUACAUUAAAACUCAAAGGAGCAGAAUGUUACAUUGCUCUUGCAUACAAAACCAAGCAGUUAUGAGACUGGAUAGAGGUCACAAAUGAUGUUUUUUAAUGGUUUGUCAUUCGGAUUGAUCACACACUAUCCAGAAAAGCCGUGAAUUCGGAUUGAUCACACAUUAUCCGGAAAAGCCGCGAGCAUUUCCAAAGAAAGGUUCCACAAAUACCUAGCGAAGAUUCGCCUUAGGCAUUGAGUACAUCAAAACUCAAAGAAGCAGAAUGUUACAUUGCUCUUGCAUACAAAACCAAGCAGUUAUGAGACUCGAUAGAGGUCACAAAUGAUGUUUUUUAAUGGUUUGUUAUUCAGAUUGAUCACACACUAUCAGGAAAAACCGCGAAUUGAUCAAACACAAUUAAAAAAAAGGCCUCGGAUUGAUCAAACACAAUCCGGAGAAAAGUCGGGGUUGAUCACACACAACCCGGACAAAGAAACAAGAGUGAUCAAACACGUACACUACUGACCUGCGAAUAAAAUUUCAGGAUUUUUACCUGUACGCAUAAAAUCCCAAGCAUAGAACGGGGGUAGGAGAGAAGGGGAAAAUAUUUUAUCCCCCCGAGUUAUUCAAAAGAAAAUAACUAUAAUAUUAAAGCUUACUUGCUAGUUUGCCAAAUAAACAAACUGCGUUUACUAGUUUGCCAAAUAAACUAGGAGCUGCUUUGUAAUUUUCAUGCUUAAUUCCACGUGCGUACAGCGAAAUUCCAUUCUGAUUAGUCGUGCGAUAAUUGCAUGAAAAAAAAUAAAAGCCAUAUGGUUAGUCAUAUUCGCCAUAUAUAUAAACCAUAAUACUUUCAAAACAUCAAAAUUUGAAAGAAAAAGCUGAAAAAUUAAGCCGAAUGAGGCCAAAAAAAUUGACGACGGGCGGCAGCCGGGAGAUUGGCUAUCGAAGAUGUCGGACGACGGCCGGCGGCGGCGGUCAGACAGAGGAGCCGAAAAAUGCUUUUUAGGGUUUUGGAAAACAAAUGGUGGAAUAUUAGCUCUCGAGUUAGAACAAAGUGCAUGAUAACGUGAUCAAGUAUAAAGUAUAGAGAUAAAGAGAGAUAGUAAGAGAAUAGAGAAUCAUCAUCUUAUUCAUUGAUAGGAGCCCUUUUAUAAGGAAUCACAAAGUACCAAUAUGGUAAUGAUAAGGAAUACAUAGUCUUAUUCUAACUAUAUAUCCUGAUGGCAUAAGGCCAAGGCACACAUAUGGAAUAUCGUAGAACAAAGUGUACAUAUUAUGAUGGUAAAAGAAACUUAAAUAUAAAAAUACGAGUCUUUUGUGAGUCGAACUCAAAAUCUCUCACAUAUAAGGGGAGACUAUGCCGUUAGACCAAAUGGUGUUGGUCAAGUUCAAAAUUUGUCUUAAACUUGACUUUCUCAACAGAAAAAAAAUAUAUUUGUAAAAAUAUAUACUUUUUAUUUUGUCGUUUUUUCAUAGUGAAAUUCAGGAUAAAUACUUAUACGCAAAUAAUUCGACUAAGUUGGAAAAAAAAAAAACAUGUUGCAGGAAUAUUGCACAUGUGUGUGCCUUAGUCUAAUACUAGUUAAACAAGGAAUCAUGAUUCUGUAUAGAGAUAGGAUAUCAAAGAUAUGUUUCUUUGUACAACACCUAAAGGUGCUAUGUAAUCCAUAUAUAAAGGGCACUCCUAUCAUAUGAAUAAGAUGAUUUCUAUUCUCUUUGCUCUCUAUUAUUCUCUCAAUAAUUCUCUCUACAACACGUUAUCAUGCACUUUAUGCUAACCCUAAUAUGAUAAUAGAAAAACCCUAACCAAUUUUUCAAAAAAGAAGAAGCCUACAAGCCUCUCAGCUUCAUCGUCCGACCGCCGCCGUCCGAGCUUCCUUCAUGAUAUUAUCACGCGACCAAUCUCUCGGCUGCCGCCUGCCAUCGAAUUUUGGCCUCAUUCGACUCAAAUUUUCGGCUUUUUUAAGUUUUGAAGUUUUGAAAGUUUUACUAUUUAUAUACAUGGUUAAUAUGACUAACCAUAUGAUUUAUUUUUAUGAUAUUAUCACGCGACGAAUCGCAAUGGAAUUACGUGAGCAACUUCGCCGCACACACAUGGAAUUAAAUAUGGAAAUUUCAAAAUGCUACUAUUAACGCAAACUAGCAAGGAAGCUUUUAUAUACAAGUUAUUUCGAAGUUCAAAUAACGUAGGGGGGGGGGGGGGGGGGGAGAGUAGAAUCCUUUCCUCCCUUCUCCAUUUCCAUUAUAUGCUUGGAUUUAUGAAAUUUGUAGGAAAAUCCCAGGACUAAGAGCGUUCUAGGUCCGGGUUGUGUUGUAUCAACCCCAGUGUUGAUUUAGAUUGUGUAGUAUCAAUCCUAGCUAGAAGUUCGGAUUGUGUUGUAUCAAUCACGGUAUUAUUGCGGAUUGUGUGGUAUCAAUCCAGGAAUUAUACAGAUUGUGUGGCAUCAAUCCGAGGACAAACUUAAAUUGAAUUGUGUUGUAUCAAUUCUUCUUGCAUAAGUGACCAGAAUGCAUCUUGGUCUUGACUUAAAUGCUCAGAAUUAGUAGUCGUAUAUCAAUACUAAUCUUGGAUUUGACAUCCUAAUUUUCUUUCUAAGUUGGCUACCAACUUAUUUGUCCAAUGCUUUGACACCAUGGAUUCACAAGGAAUGUCAUAUGGGUUGUCUACGUGGAACUUUCAUUGGAAAGUGUUACACCACUAAUAUUGACCCCAAGGCUAACAAGCCUAGAUGCCGAGAUUUAGAAUCUCUUGUGCUCAAACUUUUGAGGCGCCACAUCAAUAAAAGCCUUCAACGGCAAUAUGUACAAAAAGUAAUGACUACGAAGUACUGUGGAAUGCACUCAUGCAACGUUUCUUAAAACAAAAAUAUAACUCUACUUGGUGAGUUAUUAGUCAAGUACUGUGGAAUGCACUCAUGCAGCGUUUCUUAAAACAUCCAUAUAACUCUACUUGGUGAGUUAUUAGUCAAGUGGAAUGUUUACCACUUAUUUGACGAUGAUCUUUUGUGGCAUCAUGUUCCCAAGACCCUUAAAAGAAGGGAAUGGACACAUUUUAGCCUGUGCACGUGGGAAUAACUUCCAGUGUGGAGAAGGCAACGUGGGUCAAGGCACAUGCCCUAGAGGCUGUGCUAAUGUGUAGACCUUAUGGCCACACUCCCAAGACUUGAAACCCAACAAUCAAACGGAUAUAACUAGUAAUGAUUCAUGUUAUCAAUGUGGAGAGACAGUGCACUAGUUCAAAAAAUUGCUAUGAAGAAAUACUUUCAUGAGCAUCGAAAAGCAUCGAAAAGAAAAUUGAAAUAGCUAUGUUGUAGCAAUUUCAUGAGCAUUGGCUAUGAUAAAGGAAGUUCAUGAGCCUACUAAAGACCUCGAUGAGAUCGUUGGCACGAAUUCGAAGAAUUUUUCAAGUAUUGAAAGUAUCCUUCUUCGUCUUAAUUAUGGGGUUCGAAAGAUGUACAAUUUACAUCGUUCUUAGAACAUGACAUGAUUUGUAAUUCAAACAGUCCUUAAUUUCAUGUUUUUUUUAUAUAUAGACAUUGCAUUUUAUAAAAUUUCAUGUUUGUGUUUCACAACGAAAAAUAAUAAUUGUAUGGUUUGCGAGUUUUAUUCCUAUACCCGAACCCAAAUUUUAGCAGUUCCCACCAAACCCGAAAUUUUUAACACCAGCCUUUUCCAAAAUUUCAAUGUAUUUUUUUUUUUUACUGAUUUUGUCUGGGGUUCUAACUUUAUGUAAACUCCAUUUCGCAAACAAUUGCGAUGCUACCACUCCAUGCCUUCUGUUCACAGUAUUCUAUUUUGUUUUUGUUAUUACCAUCCGUCUUACAACUAUGUGUAGUGAUGAUAUGACCGGGAAUUCAGAAGCUGCUUUGUUUCUGCAUAUGCUAUAUUGCCUUCCCUUCAAUGUCUAUGGAUAUCACCCAAAGAGGAAGAUCUGAAGAUGCUUUAAAGUAAAAUUAGGAUAAUAUAAAGUUUUAUGAUGUACACUUUGGAUUCUUAUGCAUUACAAGAACCCUUAAGAACAUAUAACUGUUAACGUGAGUCACAAUCCUACUAUAUUGGGAAGAUGUAUAUUCUGUAAUCAACUAGGAUUAUGUAAAUUUUUUCGUGUAAUUAGUUUCCUUCUAAGGUUAGAACUGUGCUUGUAUAUAUACCCGAUUUGGGGUUUGUUCAAUACAUCAAAAAAUUCCCAACCUUUUGUGUUCUGUUUGACUUGGCAUUAGAGCCUAAGUCGAUCCUGGCAAUCUUGGUAAUCUGACCCUGUUGUUUUCCGCUACAAAUUUGUUCUAAACCUGUCCCAAUUUGAUCUGUUCGACGUGUCAAAGGAAGCUUUAGAUUUCGUCGAAUUCUGUCGUACUUGUUCUGUUCCUCAGUCAUCAAAUCCUCUUUGUAAUAGAUCUUGCAAUCUUUGGUGAUCAACCUGAAGUUUCCCGUGAACUUCGAAUCUAGCCUGCUCGUGGACCAGAUCUUGCUAAGGUGCAGUGCUUCUAUUGUAAGGAGUUUAGACACUACAAGAACUCGUGUCCUAAGAAAACAAAUCAAGGAGCUACCUAUGAUAAAAGCCGCAGUGGCAAGGCUGCCAUUCAGUUGGUCCAAGAACCUGAUUUCUAUGGAGUAGGAGGACAAGACCUCACCACAGGUAUGUGUUCUCAGGAGAAAAGAGGUAAAAUUGGUAUUGCAUUAAAAAUUUCUUACUUUACUGGUAGUGAUACAUGGAUAAUUGAUUAUGGUGCGUCUGAUCAUAUGACAUUUGAUAAGUCCUUGUUUUCGAGUCUGUCCCCAUCUCCCAUACCUGAAGUGUUUAAUGAAAAUGGGGUGUCCUUCCCGAUCCUAGGUAUAUGGUCAAUUCAAGUUACUCCAAUAAUUGUGUUAAACAAAGUCCUUUAUGUUCCCGCUCUAUCACAUCACUUAUUGUCUGUUUCUGAAUUGAAUUCACAAAACAAAUGCUCUGUAACCUUUUUUCCUAUGUAUGUUAUCUUCCAGGACCUGUCAUCUCAGGCGAUAAUAGGCAAGGGGGAUCUGCGGCGGAGACUGUUUCACUUGGAUUGCAUAUACAGCGGGGAAGCAAGAGCACCGUCACCAACCGUUACCCUGACAUUGAGUUCUGAUCGAGUAAAAGAAAUUUGGCUAUGGCAUCGCCGAAUGGGUCAUCCAUCUUUUGGAGUCAUGAAGAAGUCGAUGCCAUCUUUUUUUUUGGAAUAAAAGAGUCAAGUCUCCAUUGUGAAACUUGUGUUUUUGCUAAGAGUCAUAAGUCCAAUUAUUCUCCUAGUUUUUAUCUAGUUCUGCACCAUUCGAGUUGAUUUAUUCUGACGUAUGGGGGCCUUCGAAGAAUUUGACAUUGACAGGAAUGAAGUACUUUUUUUUGUUUAUUGAUGACUUUACAAGAUUAACUUGGGUUGUGUUAUUGAAAAAGAAGGAUGUUGUGUUUUCGGCUUUCACUGCUUUUCAUAGUCUCAUCCGAACUCAGUAUGAUGCUUGUGUGAAAAUAUUUCGAUCUGACAAUGGAGGAGAGUUUGUUAACCACUCUUUUCGAGACUAUUUUUAGCAACAUGGAAUUGUUUAUCAGACUACUUGUCCUCAGACACCAGAACAUAAUGGGUAUCUGAGAGGAAAAAUCGACACCUCUUGGAUAUUGGAAGAGCUCUCUUACUCAGUGCCAAUCUACCCAAAUAUCUCUAGGGUGAAGCUGUGUUGUGUGCCUCUCACCUUAUCAACCGUCUACCAUCUGCAGCUCUUCAUAAUCAAGUUCCCUUUAAGGUAUUGUCUGAACAUGUUACUAUUCCAUCUCUCAACAAACUUCAUGCUCGUGUCUUUGGUUGUGUGGCCUAGAGUUGGCAGCGGUGAUCUUCUGCCUUGGGUGCAGAGAGUAAUUUGGAGGACUUUGCCUGAAACUUUUGGCUGUAAGGUAAGUACUACUGUGUUGGUUUUUGGUCAUGAUAUUUGAUUCAGAAAUAGAGUUAUGGUUGAUAUUAGAUUUUGAAUUGGUGAAGGGUAGAAAACCCAUUAAUUCAUGAUACUCAGCAAAGUAACAAGUACUCCUGGAGAUAAAGUAUGGUCUUAUAAUAUUCAACUAAUGUUGAUGGAGUUUUUUGUUUGCGGAGGCGAAGCAUAUAUUGGUUGUUUUGUGUUGAAUGCGGCAGAGCAAAAUAUGUUGGUGUGGUUGUUGUUGUUGGUGAGGGGUUUGGCGGUGGAGAAGACGCAGGUCGUCUGCUACUCCUACUACCCCCAGUAGACCCUCCUACUGCCCCUAGUAGACCCCCUAGUGCCCCUAGUAGACCACCGGACAGACCUCAUACUGUCCCCAGUAGACCCCCUUACUGCCCCCAGUAGAUCCCCUAGCUUUCGUCGGAGCCGGUCAACGGUCGUUGGAUCCCGGUCAACGCUGGCCGGAGCCCGGUCAACCAUCGUUGGAGUCCGGUCAACGGUCCCCGGAGUCCUGUCAACGUCAUUGGUCUUGAAAAUCCUGUUAUAGAAACUUUAUUUUAUAAUAGACUCUUAUAAUGGUCUAUUGUAGUUUAUUUAAUUCAUUAAGGGUAUAAUUGUCUUUCUGCUGUUUAAGUUGGCUCUUGAGAAUUUUAAAAUCUGAUUUUGUUAGUAGGAAUAAAAUUCUUAAAAUUAGGGCUAGUGGGCAUUGUCCAAUUUAAUAAUACAGGUCAUUAGUGAAGGUAGAAAUACUACUAGGAAAAUCACUAUACUAGCUACCAGACCCGAAACAUUUAAUUCGGCCAUAAAUACGGAUUCGGCAAAUUAAAAAGUUUGAUUUGUAUGUGUUUAAAACAGGAUGUAAUGAAAAAUACGAAUGUACAAAUACGGAUAUAGGUUUGUCAUUUUUAGUGUAGUUAUAUGACAUCUAAAACAUAAAUUUGGAUAUAUAUGGUUCAUUCAUGGUUUUUAAUUAUAUACAAAACUAUUAACUAAAAUAACAAGUGUAUAUACUAUGAUGGUAAAAGAAACUUAAAUAUAAAAAUACGAGUCUUUGUGAGUCGAACUCAAAACCUCUCACAUAUAAGGGGAGACUAUGCCAUUAGACCAAAUUGUGUUAGGAAAGUUUAAAAUUUUUUUUAAACUUGACUUUCUCAACAACAAAAAAAUAUUUUAAAAAUAUAUAUACUUUUUAUUUUGGCAUUUUUUUCAUAGUGAAAUUCGGGAUAAAUAAUUUAUACGCAAAUAAUUCGGUUAAGUUGAAAAAAUAAUAAUAUAUAUGAAUUUUUCUAUAUCUUUAAAACAAUUCGGGAUACGGAUAUAUAAUUCGGAUGUAAUACAUAUUCACGUAUAAUUCACGAAUUAUUCAUGAACUAUUCAUGAAUUAACUAAGUACGUAGCUAGGAUCUGCAUAACAGAAUUUCCCAUCUAUAUAUAGCGACAUAGAGAAAUAUUUUUAGUCUCAUCUAACACUUCAGCAAUUAAAGGCAUCGGGUAUCGGCACAUGGGACACGUGAGACGGAUUUUCAGGCUCUUGACAAUACAAGCUGCAUGAUAGUGUUUGCACGGCAAAGGGGUAAUCAGUUCUUCAGGACUUUUGGUAAAUUCCUCCAAACAAAUAGCACACAAGGGGGUUUGUCUGAGAGUAGCUUCUUCCAAAUCAUUGAGCCUUAGUUUCUCCAAAGGCUCAACUGAUGAUGUAGCUGCAGGUGUAACCUUAUCGGUAUUGUUACUAUUGGCAAAACUAUUGUGUAUAGAAGCUUGAAUGCAUUCCCUAAUUUCACUUCUGGUCCUGCUGAUGUACUCGGGAUCAUCCUCAAAACAGCCCAAUCUGGCCACAGUCACGUCCACUAUUACCAUAUGUAGAGGCACCUCAGGGACAGCUUUUCUAACCACCCUAUAUAUUGAUUCAAUAAAUCCAUCAUGCUCCAUUCGUGGGAUACCCAUGAUCGAAAGGUCCCAAGCCAAAUUCCGAUCAUUAUUUCGCUCGAGAAUGAUCGAUGAUCGUCUUUGAGUUUUCAGGUUUGGUGCAGAAUAAGUAUUGACUCUUGUAUCUUUAUUGCAAACAACAGUUUGCUCAAACAGAGAGAAUAUGAUCCGCAUGACUUUUAUCCCGUCGUCGUCAUCAUAGUCUGUUGGUGAUAGUCGUGCGAUUUGGAUUUGUGAUCGUCUGUACUUUUGCAUUGUUCUGCAACAAAACAGAUGACUUUCUCUUGUGGACGACAUGCCACUACGUACAAAUAAUCAAAAUUAAUCAAAGUUUAUAUGGCACGAAAAAGCCUAGAAUCAAAACAGUGCUAGUCGAUCCGCAGAUGCAUGCAUGGUCGACUAUGUAUAUCAGUAUAUAUAGGUGACUAUUUUGUCCUAAAUCAACGAGGAGUGGUAAGAGCCUCACUCUUCUUCUCCGAAUAGGAUAAGGUUUAACCUGUUUGCCCAUCACAAAUAUUGGACCCUCCCUAGAUCGACUAGGAGUGUACGUGAGAUCGAAUAUAGUAGUUCUGUAGUUGGAUAUACCUAUAUAUAUGCCCUUCCAAAUACAUAGAAAAAUUUUAGAAGAUCGAUUACCAUUUACGGUGUGUACACUAUAUCAUCUAUGGUGGCGUACACACCGUAGAUGGUAAUUGAUCUUCCAAAUUUUAGAACAAAUUGUUGAGCGAAUUGAGGAUAAUUAUCUCCCUGCCUAAUUUUGUAAAAAUAAAAUUAAUAUAGUGGAAUUUCAGUAGCUGGUGAACGCUAAGCUAAUAUGAUAGCACUAAUAAAUUUCAGGUCUCCAUCGUCCCCUAGAUAAGAAAGCGUAAUAUGAUAGCGCGUAAGUACGUUGACUUGUCAUUUUGAUGGAGAGCUUGCAUGAGUGGAGACUAUGGAGGAAGGUCUACCUUGACUUUGUGUGUGCUUGUGCGUUUGAACCUUCUUAGCGAAAUUCUUUCAAUUUUCAAGUAUGAACCUUCCUACUAAACUUACACAGAAACAUCCAGGCAUUUUCCUCAAGGGCCUCAAGCCUUAUCACUCUCUCUGCUUUUUUGGUGUUAGUACUGGGAGGUUCCAGAGAGCCAAAGGCUUUUGUAGAGAUAGAAAAUGGGUGCCGGAUUUUCUCUUUGCUUCCGGCCAUCAAAUACGAUAGCCAAUCUCAACGACUCGUCGGAAUUAGGUAAGGUGUUGCCGACUGUUCUUUGUUCUUUUCAGUACGUUCUUUCCCUUUACAGUUGAUGAACUCGUUUUGUUUUGUUGUGACAUGCAGAGAAUAUAAGCAAGGAAAGUUACUCGCUGCCUGAGUUCAGCUUGAAACAACUGAAAGCUGCCACGGAGGGAUUCUUGCCGGAGAACAUUAUUUCCGACGACGGGGAGAAAGCUCCAAAUGUUGUCUACAGAGGCAUGCUCGAAGAUGGCCGUUGGAUCGCCGUUAAGCGCUUCCAGUACUCGGCUUGGCCUGAAUCCGUCCAAUUUCUUGUACGUAUAUCUGUUGCCUAAGUUUAACUUCUUGUUCUUACUAAAACUUCAAUUUGUAAUUUAUGUAUGAGAAACAUAAAGUGUUUGGUUAUAUAGGCUGAGGCUAGAGCUGUGGGGCAGCUGAGAAACAAACGUUUGGCGAAUUUGAUAGGGUAUUGCUGUGAAGGCAAUAAUAGAUUGCUUGUGGCAGAGUUUAUGCCUAAUCAAACUCUCUCUAAGCAUCUGUUCCAUAGUAAGUUCACCUCCACUAUUAAUUUUUUUUACUGUGUUUCUGAAUUGAUUUGGCUUUAAGUUUGUACUGUUAGCAUCAUGUGUAUGAUGAAAAUGGUGUUAAUUAACUCAGAUAGUCUUCCUUGAAGUAACCAAGCUAGCAUUUAAAUUUGUGUAGGGGAGUCCUACCCCAUGAAAGGGGCAAUGAGGUUGCGAGUGGCUUUGCAUCUGGCACAAGCUUUGGUGUAUUGCAGCAGCAAAGGGCAGCCAUUGUACUAUGAUCUUAAUGCUUCUAAAGUCCUGUUUGAUCAGGUAAUUGGGGCCUAUUUCUCUUGUAGAGUUGCGGCCUUGGAUUGCCGAGUUUUAGCCUAGCUUGUGGGUAGUAUUUUGUGUGCCGUAUGUUCCUCACAGUACUCUGUCUGCACUUGACAGAAUGGAAAUCCCAGACUGUCCUGCUUUGGCCUUAUGAAGAGUAGCAAAGAUGGCAAGAGCUACAGCUCCAACCUGGCUUACCCUCCAGAAUACACCAGGACAGGUAUGUAUAUUAAUCAUUGCUUCAGCCAAUACAAAGCAUAAUUCAGUUUUAUCACUUGUAUGCAGUUUCCUAAUGUCUUCACAUUUCAUUUCUAUACAUCUUUCCCCAAAGUCAAAACUUGUGUUGGUUGUUUUGCAAAUGUAGUCUCUUGUAAAUAAUCAGUUAACCACUGGAUGGGAAAAAAACAAAAAACAAAAAAACAAGUGAAAAAAGCUAACAAGACCUCACCUACAUGUACUGAUUGGUGAAGGUUCAGUUUUAUGCAUUUUCAUCUCAGUGAUUCAGUCCAUUUGACUGAUCCUCCUAAGUCAAGUCUUGGCCUGUUGGGAUGCCUACAUGUUUACCUAGCUCAAUCAUGAUCUCUUAUGUGUAUAUUCUUAUUCCUUCGAAGAAAAUAGAAAUAAUUUCAGUUUACCCCUUGAACUUUAGGUCUAAAAUCAGUUCGAUAUCUCAUCUUUUUUUUUAAUCAGUUUCAUCUCUAAAUUUUCAAAAUGACAUCAAUCUCGACUAAAAUGACUAAAAUAACCCUUGUUGAUCUUUUUACCUCUCUCUCUCUCUCUCUCUCUCUCUCUCUCUCUCUCUCUCUCUCUCUCUCUCUCUCUCAUUACCGCCCCUGUUUAUCCACCCUACCACCAGCAAGGGCCCCGACAACAUCCCCUCCUCCUCCCCCGGCCAUCGUCGCCGCCGAGCCUCCACCUCCUCCUCACCACCUCGUCGACAACCGUAGGAGAGCGUGACGAGGUGCAAACGCGGCCAAAGACUAGAGACGAUCCCGACGGUGGAGGAUCGGGAGUAGACGAUGAGGGAAGUGACGACGGGGAAGGCGAGGCGCAGGCGAUGGGCGAGGAGGGCGGGGUCGGUGGAGGAGUCAGAGGGGGAGAGCAGCGCGUGGCCCCAGGGGGAGAGGAGGGAGAGGUCGAGGUCGAGGUCGGAGACGGAGGAGAAGCAGGUCGGGAUCAGGUGGAGGUCGCGCGCGUUGCCGCAGAGCGUGAGGGAGGCGUGCGUGGCCCUCUCAACUGUGCGGAAUUUGCGGGAGACGGAGUUGCAGGUGCGGGUGUCAGAGUUGCUGGUGCGGGUGUCGGAGUUGCAGACGGCGUGUACCGGAGCUCCGGGGAGGCGGCUCCAGCGAAGAGGCAGGGCUCUGGUGGGAGCUUGGGGAAGCACAAGCAGGGGAAAACCAGCUCAAGUUGGGUGUCCAUUUAUGGGUGCCCAUAGCAGUUUUCUGGGUGUUCACAGUGGCGGCGCUUGAGCUGGUUUUCCGGCAUCGUCGAGCGACAGGGAGGAGGAGGCUGCCGCCGGACAUGUGGUCGGAGCUGGCGGUAAGGGGGAGGGGGGGAGAGAGAGGGUAAAAAUUGAGAAUAAAAAAAUUAACAAGGGUUAUUUUAGUCAUUUUGGUCGAGAUUGAUAUCAUUUUGAAAGUUUAGGAAUGAAACUGAUAAAAAAAAAAAAUGAAGUAUCGAACUGAUUUUAAACUUAAAGUUCAGGGGAGUAAACUGAAAUUUAUUCAAAUAUCACGGAGAAAAUGAUGAGUUUCGAACACAGUAAGACCAAAACUUUGCGUUUGAAAGGAUCUUAAUAUUACUGAUCAUUAAGUGAGGCAGAUAGAGUAGCAUUCUGAUUGGGGGAAUGACUUGAUCUUCCAUAUUCGAUCUUAUGCAUAAGUCCUUCUCUUUGGCAGGAAGAGUGAUACCAGAGAGUUUGGUUUACAGCUUUGGGACCUUAUUGCUUGAUUUGCUCAGCGGCAGGCAUACCCACCCAAGCCAUGUAACUUUCCUUUUCCUCUAAGCUAUCUGUGUUUUUUUUUUUUCCUCAGCUCAGCAUUUCAUUGCUAAAUAACUCCUUGAAAUGCUUCUAGUUUGGAUUGUGAUUAUAUUUCAUUCAUUUUUACCAGUUUAUCAUAUGAAGAAGCUUUCUAGCUAAUUAUUUUCAACUUUCUUUCUGGAAGGCAGUAGACCUCAUAUGCGACAAAAGUUUCCUGAUGCUGAUGGAGUCAUGCUUUGUGGAUCAUUUCUCAAAAGAUGAUGGAACUGAGCUGUUGCGUUUAGCUUCUCAAUGCUUGCAGUUUGAUCCUUGUAAGAGACCAAAUCCUAAGUCUCUUGUGAAUGCCCUCGCUCCUCUUCAGAAAGAGACAGAGGUAUCCUGACUUCAUUUAUUCUGUAGUUAUCAUGCUCUAGUGUAUGCUGCAAAAUUUGAUUUAUUUUUCCUUAUAGUUUGUAAAUGUGAUCUGAACUAUUGCUCUAAGUAUAACACCCUGAAGGUGUAUAUAUCUACCUAAUGUAGUUAUUUUGUAGCAGGUUCCAUCAUUCGUCUUGAUGGAUAUUCCGCACAGAAAUGUGGCUCCGAAGCACUUGUCACCUCUAGGUGAAGCUUGCUCGAGAUUGGAUCUUACUGCAAUACAUAAACAGCUGGAGAUGGCUGGAUACAAGGCUGAUGUUGAGUCUGAGGCUGACAAGGAAGUAAGUUACUGUCAAAUUUAACACUAGUACUAUAUUCUAUAUUCUUGAUCUAUUUAAUAUCUUGCAGCCAUCACUCUCUCUUCUUCUUUUUUGGGGGUCUCCAACAUGUAAUGUCUCAUUUUAUUUUUCAUUGCACUUCCCUUACAUUUACGUUACUUUGCAGCCUUCCUUCGAUAUGUGGACAGAUCCAAUGCGGGAAGCACUACAUUCCAGGAAACAGGGAGAUGCUGCAUUUAGAGCUAAAGACUUUUGUUCAGCAAUAGGUUGUUACACAAAAGUAAGGAUCAGUAAUUCAGAAAAGAAGUUUUUCCCUCAUAGAUAUGUUCUGCCAUCAAAUGCAUUGAUCUACUUGAUAUCAUUACUGAUAUAAUCUUUUGUCAUAGUUGUCCUACAAAUACGAAGUGGAGUUAUGGCUUCCCAUAACUCUAUUUUCUAAGAAUUUAGUAAUGAUAAUCCCUUUGAACUUAAUAGCUGAACCAGCCAAGUACUAUGCAUAUGACACAGAUUGACUAGGAAUGAAUAUAUUUACAUAUCUUAAAGUUCUCCCUAUUUUCUGUUUUGAUGGUCUUUCUUGCUUUUCAUUUCAGUUCAUUAACAUUGGGAGCUUGGAAUCGCGAACUGUGUUUGUUAGACGUUGCUUGUGUUACUUGAUGACUGAUAGGGCAGAAGAAGCUCUUAAAGACAGUAUGAAUGCUCUAGGACUACACCAUGUAUGGCCGACUGCCUUCUAUCUUCAAGCUGCUGCCCUAAAGUUCCUAGGGAUGGAUAAUGAUGCGCAGGAAAUUCUGAAAGAGGGAGCAUCAUUGGAAGCCAUGAAAAUAAAAAAUGCUCCAAGUGUAUAGGUCUAAAUUCCCCCUUCUUUUCCUUCAAUAGUAUUUAGUUUUGCCAAUUCUCUCUCUAAUAUAUGUAGAACAGAUUCCAAGUACUUGUUUUGUUUCCACUUGUAUAUUCACAUAACAUAUGAUUUAGGUUUGUAAGUUUCUCAUAUGUCCUAUAGAUCGUAUCAGUUUUUGAACUAUAGAUUUGAUUCAUCAAUAUAUCCGUUAGUGUUUACUUAUCAAGUUAUGCCAAGAAUGAUGAACACAAAGAGAUGAAAAUUUUUAUUAUUGUUAAUUAAGUUUGUAUGUCUCAGUAGCUAAUUAGCAUGCUAGAGAUCGGUGUGCAGCUUUAGAUGGAAGAGGAAAGCAUAGGCAACUAUACCUUUUUCAUUUUAAAUUUCAACAUCGUGUAUAUGGCACAAGAAACUCAUGGAGAUGCUGUGAAUGCCCAAACUAGGUAGUAGGUACUACAGCACCCACCUGAGUGGCCGGGCUACUGCCUUCUGUAGUUCUGUUGCUGACUUAUUUCGAUGGUGAUAGUGAUUGGUAUAUCUAGGAUCAUUAUAUUGACAAUGUAAUUUGUUAACUCUUCAAACAAUUCGAUUUUUCGAGUAUUUGUUUCCUGAGUAAUGAAACUAGCUGCACAGUGUUGAACUGGAUCAGCCGGCUGGCAGAUAAUCUUUUCUUUUCCCGCCAGUGAGGCUGAUAGAUACUCCUCACUGCAAGACAAAGCCUUGGUGUGAUCAUAGUUGUCUCCAAAGCUCCAGCCAUACAAACUUACAUAGCCUGUUAACGUAGUAUUAAACUAUGAAAUUCACAAGAAGACGUUAGCCUCUCUUCCACGGCCAAAACAAGAAAACCUCGAAAGCAUGAAAAACAUCGGACUUCAUUUCCCUAUAAAUUUCUACAUCGAUCUUUAUCGUUUGACAUCACAAACCGACGAAGUACACAGAAGUGUGCAUACCAAAGAUGUCGAAGGCAGAGGUUACUCUUUUGGACUGUUGGGUUAGCCCUUUCUGCAUGAGGGUGAAAAUUGCUUUGGAAGAAAAGGGUGUUGCAUACGAAAGCCAGGCUGAGGAUUUGUUUGGAGGCAAGAGUGAACUUCUACUUACAUCAAACCCUCAUGGCAAGGUGCCUGUGUUGCUCCACAAUGAGAAACCUGUGUCCGAGUCCGCCAUCAUAGUGGCCUACAUUGAUGAAACCUGGACAGCUUCCUCAUUUCUCCCACCUUGCGCUUACGGCCGAGCUCAGGCAAGGUUUUGGGCGGACUACAUUGACAAAAAGGUUCGUUUCAUUUUUCAAUACAACGUGAAUGGUCCCUAACAUGCAUGUUUGACAAGUCUAGAAGUGCUCUAAAAUGUAACCAAAUUCAGCUUUUGUAUUAAUCUGGUACUAUUCCUGAGGUCAUUAACUUGUAGUGCUCUUGGGAGAAGUGCCUAACAAGUGCUAGAUUAUAGUCCUAGAGUAUUUGUUUCAUAGUUGUGUGUCUAACUUCAACAAGUGUACUUGUAUACACAAAGGUGUUUGAUGCAGGCAAAGGCAUCUGUUUGGGCAAAGGAGAAGAAGUAGAGGUCGCUAAGAAGGACUUCAUUGAGGUUAUAAAGACUCUAGAGAAGACUUUGGGGGAUAAGGAUUUCUUCGGAGGCGAUACCUUUGGUUUCGUCGACAUCAUAGGCAUUGCCAUGACGAGUUGGUUCCCUGCAUAUGAGAAAUACGGUAGCUUCAAGCUUGAAGAUGACUGCCCCAAAUUCUCAGCUUGGAUCAAGAGGAGCUCGGAGAGGGAGAGUGUAGCCAAGGUCAUUCCAGAGGCCGAGAAGGUCCUCGGAUUUAUGGCCAUGUUUAGGAAGAUGAUGGGAGUAGAAGAGUGAUCGAAAGGCUUGGUUCUUUAUGGUUUCAACACUAGCUCACUAGUACUAUCACUUCAAUAGUACUAUGUCUCCUUUUCUCUUCCAGUAUUUGCUAGAAUAAGGAUCAACAAUCGUUUUCCUUGAUCUACAAUUGAUAUUUCAAAGUGUAGGGAAAUGAUUUUUUUCUCAAGAGUACGUGUUUUCAUGACUUUGUUCCCAGCUAAAAUAAAAUUGCAAUAUGGGACGAUGAUAUUGUAAUUUCUGGUCUAUCUAUUGCAAGGUUGCAAAUUUCCGAUUUCUACAAAAACCAGCUAUAACAUACCAAAGUUUUCCAGAUUGAAGGCUUCAAAAUAGGAAAGAAACCUUAACCUGAUGCCUAAUACCAAAAUGAAAAUAUGAAGGCAAGUUUUGUUUUUUACCUAUUCAGUAUGCCCAGCUGCACAGAUUUGAUUACAUCGAAUCCUUGGAAGCCAUCACAUGACUAAGGGUCUGAGAUAAAUGGGAGAACCAUACAAAAAGUAUGUUGGUAUCUUACUAGCACUAAAGUAUUAUGAUGGUUAUGAACUACAAACUUGGCCUAGCAGAGUUGAACCAUUAACAGUUCAGAUAUAAUUCUAGGUACUACUUUAUUGCUGCCAAAAUAGUAGCAGCAUCAAAACACUUCAAGGUGCAACAGGACAGUCACAGACAAUGACAAUUGUUCCAGAACAGCAGCAUAUAUCAAAAACUGCCCCAACAACAAAAGAGACGUAAGAAGAGAACAAUUACAGUCCCACAUCCCCAAUCCCACAACAAAUAUCGAAUGGAGAGUGAAUCUCAAGUAGGCUAGGCCGAAAUCUUACAUUCCUGGCUUACCGGCCCCAAGCAGCUGGCCAACUAGAUUAGUCACCUGUAAAACAUCACAAUUUUUCUUUUAGACACAACAGAGAUUCUCAGAGUUGUGCAAACAUACAGAUACAGCACCAAAAAGUGUGAAGUGUAUGAAGUUAAUAUAUGCAGGGUGCUCAUUACUUUCUUUUGAGGCUGAAUUCUCAAUCAAAAGAAUCACUGAUUGAAUGAAAACCAAAAAAAAUAAAUAGUAACAGUCACAUGUAAGACAUUAUUAUGACAAUAAAUGGCGAUCACAAGAGUCCUGCAAUUCGAUGAUAACAAAAAGUUCUGAAAAGAAAUUUCAAUAGAAAGGAUGAAUGAAGAAAUACAAGUACUUGAAGGGCAAGUAUGAUAUUGUUGUGACUUAACCAAAUUCAAAUCAUAACACUACAUCCAUAAGACAACAUUUUUCAAUAGCUUACCUGCCAGUACUUUGAGACACAGCGAUCAAUGCAACUGUUUUCACCCAUAUUUAGCUCACCCUCCUUGUACCUGGUUGUAUAAAGCAAUUUAUUUAUCAAUGUCAGUGUAAACCAAUUAUCCGGAACAAGAUAUGAUGAAACCUUUCAGAAAGGUCAAUAAAAUCAGGAGAAAAGAACAAAGGUCACAUACUUCUUCUCUACACACUUGUUGAAGCAUGUGUGAGUGAGCCUGAAACAAAGCAAAUAAGCAAACACAUAAGCAAAGCCUGGUUAACAGCAGGAGCAAAAGCCAGAAGCAAUUGAAAAUUUGCAUAACCCAGAUGAACAAUAAAAAAGUAAUAGAUACGCUUAGAACAAGUAACAGAACAGCAAAAAAGGACUUCAAUGCUCACAGAUUGAACCAAUGGAGGUCAAACUGUAGGUACAUAGUAUUAUAUUGAACCAAUGAAGGUCAAACUGUAGGUACAUAGUAUUAUAUUGAACCAAUGAAGGUCAAACUGUAGGUACAUAGUAUUAUAUUGAACCAAUGCAGGUCAAACUGUAGGUAAAUAGUAUUAUAAAGCACAUUGUGUUGUAGAAUGAUCAGAUAUGCCUUGUCAAAUUAAACAUGAGAUCUAAUGGAAAGAGAAGGAAGCAAAAGUUAAAGCCAAAAUGAAUGAAUGAAUGGAAAAAAUUGUGCAUAGCAAAGAAGCACCCGGACUAAUUGCUCAAACUAUUGGAGCUGAAAAAACUGAAUUCAAAAACUACCCUACAAAGAAACCCAUUACUAUUUUGUGACAUCAACUAAAAUACAAUGCAGAACACUUACUUGUUAAACAACUCAACCCUGUACUCCAUCUCCUUCUCAGCCAUACCAAAAAUCUGCACACAAUUAGUUUAGAAAGCAUGAGUUCAAGGAAAACUAUUCAACACCAAAAGAGUACCAAUCCUCUACAUGAGUAAAAAAUGAACUAUCUUGCCGCCUACUAAUACCUUCUCUCAUCAAGAUCAAGCCCCACUCAUUACUGACCAAUUACGCAAUAUGAACAAAAUUGAUUGCACCCAAAUUCACAGAUUCCAAAUACCCACUAAGAAUCUCAAUCACAAAAUCCCAAAACUUGACCAAAACCCAAUCUUUGGCACACAUAACAAACCAAUCUUUGGUACACCAGAAUCCCUUUUCACAUUCAAACAUGUACAAUCUAUAAGCAAUGAAGAAAAGGGCAAGUACCUGUUCCUUGUCCAUACCCGCUGGAGCAGCCAUUAGACCCUGAAAAAGAAAAAAGAAAAGCCCAAAUUAAUUUACACACAGUCCUUCAAAACAAAACCAAAUUGAACAGAAUGGCAGAGAAGGGUAUUAACAGACUUACUGGGUGAGAUGGAAUACGGAGAGCUGUGAUUGGUGUUUGUGGGUUUAGAGGGGUUUAGAUUUCUGAUAUGGAGCCGAUAGUGUGGUCUAUGCGCGAUUUAGGGUUUUAGGAGUGAGAGUCUAGUGUGUAUAUGAGAUAGACGGGAAAGCAAGUCAUUGAUAUUUUGAUUUUUUUUUUGUUCUUUCUUUUUUUUUAUCAUUUUUGCCUUUUGGUACAAUGCUAAUGACUAAUUGCACAGAAGCCCUAAUGAAAUACCACUUUCUGUUUUCUACUCUCAUAAACAGACUGAUGACGGUAGAUAAAGUUACGAACUUAUGACACUAGAUUAAAUUAUUACAUCGUUGCUCAGUUUUACAUAACUUUAUAAAAAUCCACUUAAAAAUGUCACAAAGUUGUGAAGAAUAAUAUCUUGUGAACUAUCGAAUAAUAGGGGAUGAAUAUAGUAUAUAACGCACAUAUGAUUAAUUGUUCAUCACUAAUGACAUGAAAAGUUGUGAGAGAUUCUUCUGAUUGAUGAGUAACUCAAGGAAUUUGAUAAAUUCAUUCACUUUUGAAAUCAAUGAAGGGUUUAUUGGAAUUUUUGAUGUGAUAUUUUAAAAUAUAAAAAUUAUUUAUUGAGGUUAAUUGUAGUCAAUUAAUUGGUGCUUUGAUUUCUAACAUAACCUUCGUUCCAUAAAUAUGUCUGUUAUAAUUGUAACACAUAUUAACUCUUUCUUGUCCGUUACAAAGACUAAAGUUAUGAUUAAUUAAUGCUCAGUAUCAUGACUUAUAACCAAUCUUCCUUGUUAAGCUAUAUAUAUAUCCAUAUCUUCAUGACCAUGACAUAUACAUAUAUAACAGUUGUACAUUAUCACUAAAAUAUUCUUCUCAUUGGUCUUCUCAUUCUACUUGAUCAUAUGCUCUUUUAUUCAUCUUUCAAGUGCCAAAGAAAGUUAUCAAGCGGUUCUAGGAUCCGAGUAUUGCGAGUGUACGCUUACGAGGAUCAACGGUUGUUGUACCCUGGAUGGUAGACGCCAUAAACCUAUUACACCGAGACAUUGUCUCUGAGGGGCGAAAUCUACUCAUAAGGGCAGUGUUUACACGCCUCAACCUUAAACAUUUUCCUGAACAAGUAUUUGAUGCAGACUUCAUAAUCAAAGAUAAGUAUUUAUAUUUUGUUAUUUUAUUGUUAUUUUGGCAUCAUUAUAAGUAUUAUUAUUUGUUAAUAAUUUUGAGUAUUCAUGUGAUUUUGUAGGUGACAAAAUCUAGUGGCGUUAUUAACAUCCAUCGACCCAAAUCUUCCAACAAUCUUAAGAGUAGAAUUCGUUGGUGGAUGUUUCCUUGUGGUAGAAACUUUGAUAUAAAUAUAAGUCUUCUACUACUAGUCUACUAUAUUACUUUAUUUUUUUUUACGAGGUUACUAUCAUUUAGAAGAGCUUUGAGAGUUUUUCUUCUGAACCCAAAAUGGUUGCUUUUAAUUUAUUUACUGAUGAAUUAUAUUGGGCUCUCAUAUUAUAUAAUUGUCAUCAUGUAUGCAUGAUUAUUAUAUUAUUUGCUUAGUAUCAUUUUAUCUGUUGAUACCGCUUACUCUACAUGGUUACAAUAACAUGUGUGAUAUUGUGAUGAUUGAACAACUUGUAACAUAUCGCAUAUGUUACAAUGUAAAUGUGCUUAUAGUCUAAAUGUUUUAUGAGUAAGUAUUACAACGGGGAAUUAUUUCUUAGUAAUGCAUGCGGUAAUUAUAACUUAUGGUGUGUGUUAUUAUUACACUGCACUGACAUUGGUUGUUAUGAUUGAAGGAAAAUAAAUAUGAUCGCCUUGAGGACAUGGUAGUUCAGUUGCCUAAUUAUAUAUUCUGGGUUACUCUGAAUAUGCUCAGUUAAUUGGCUCGGUACGUUGCCAUAAAGAUUUCUAGUUGCCUUUUGAAUUAGUGUAGGCUUUCGAAAUUGAUGGUUACAAAUGUGGGGGUGACUAAUGUCAUCUAAAGGUACAAAUUGGUACAUGCCAAGAUAGUUACCUAAACAAAUGUGAGUGAUAUUGUCACGUCAGUAUAUAUGAGUUUAUGGCUAUCAAUCAUACCAAAAAAUGUGGGGGUCAAAGAAAAACCAGGAAAGGUUGGCUCUUAUGGUCUAAUAAUAUUGGAUAACUGAGAAUCCAAUUGUGAUUACUUAUUCUCGAGAAUAUUCAAUAAGUUUUAUAUGUGAGAGUUGGUUUUGGCAGAUACUCUUACAACCAUUACGCUAAAGACCAAAGCUAGUGGUUAGUACAUCGAGGGGGAUGAGACUUAUGCCUAUAAUAAAGGUCAAGAGUGAUGGUAACCCAACCUAUGUGAUUGGAGAUCCCAUGAAGUAGGUUCAUAUGGGUAAUAACAAGUCACUUGUUGAUCGGUGGUGCACUAUCAAGUUAAAANNNNNNNNNNNNNNNNNNNNNNNNNNNNNNNNNNNNNNNNNNNNNNNNNNNNNNNNNNNNNNNNNNNNNNNNNNNNNNNNNNNNNNNNNNNNNNNNNNNNNNNNNNNNNNNNNNNNNNNNNNNNNNNNNNNNNNNNNNNNNNNNNNNNNNNNNNNNNNNNNNNNNNNNNNNNNNNNNNNNNNNNNNNNNNNNNNNNNNNNNNNNNNNNNNNNNNNNNNNNNNNNNNNNNNNNNNNNNNNNNNNNNNNNNNNNNNNNNNNNNNNNNNNNNNNNNNNNNNNNNNNNNNNNNNNNNNNNNNNNNNNNNNNNNNNNNNNNNNNNNNNNNNNNNNNNNNNNNNNNNNNNNNNNNNNNNNNNNNNNNNNNNNNNNNNNNNNNNNNNNNNNNNNNNNNNNNNNNNNNNNNNNNNNNNNNNNNNNNNNNNNNNNNNNNNNNNNNNNNNNNNNNNNNNNNNNNNNNNNNNNNNNNNNNNNNNNNNNNNNNNNNNNNNNNNNNNNNNNNNNNNNNNNNNNNNNNNNNNNNNNNNNNNNNNNNNNNNNNNNNNCACCUAUAUGAGUGUGGAAUGGGGCCGCUUCCUAUGAGACUUGGGCAAGUCUUCUAGAGCACUCAUGAAUAUCUAGGUAGGGGCGCAUGGCCUAUCCGUGCCCACCCGCAGGACAAGCUUGAUAGAGGUUCAAUGUGGAUAGUAGCUCUCUGAUGCACAUCAAGAAAUUAUGGUUCAUAGAAAAUUUCAUUUUCACCAAAUUUCUGUGUGUCAUGGCUAUCUUAUCCUAUGGCUGGUUCAUAGUCGAAAAGACACCAGUUCAGAUGCAUUGUACUCUUAACUUACCUUUGGCACUCUUCUGUUUCUCUUAUUUUAUUUGAAUUUUUGCAUUUUGAAAUAUGUGGGGGAUUAUUGAAAUUUUUGAUGUGAUAUUUCAAAAUACAAAAAUUAUUUAUUGAGGUUAAUUGUAGUCAAUUAAUUGGUGCUUUGAUUUCCAACAUAACCUUCGUUCCAUAAAUAUGUCUGUUACAAUUGUAACACAUAUUAACUCUUUCUUGUCCGUUACAAAGACUAAAGUUAUGAUUAAUUAAUGCUCAGUAUCAUGACUUGUAACCAAUCUUCCUUGUUAAGCUAUAUAUAUAUCCCUAUCUUCAUGACCAUGACAUAUACAUAUAUAACAGUUGUACAUUAUCACUAAAAUAUUCUUCUCAUUGGUCUUCUCAUUCUACUUGAUCAUAUGCUCUUUUAUUCAUCUUUCAAGUGCCAAAGAAAGUUAUCAAGCGGUUCUAGGAUCCGAGUAUUGCGAGUGUACGCUUACGAGGAUCAACGGUUGUUGUACCCUGGAUGGUAGACGCCAUAAACCUAUUACACCGAGACAUUGUCUCUGAGGGGCGAAAUCUACUCAUAAGGGCAGUGUUUACACGCCUCAACCUUAAAUAUUUUCCUGAACAAGUAUUUGAUGCAUGCUUCAUAAUCAAAUAUAAGUAUUUAUAUUUUGUUAUUUUAUUGUUAUUUUGGCAUCAUUAUAAGUAUUAUUAUUUGUUAAUAAUUUUGAGUAUUCAUGUGAUUUUGUAGGUGACAAAAUCUGGUGGCGUUAUUAACAUCCAUCGACCCAAAUCUUCCAACAGGGUUCACCUGCACAUACAAGAUUAACAUUACAUGCACAAACUAUUUGCUAGAUAAUAAUUCCUGAGUUCAUCAUGGGGUGAAUGAAGAUGGAAAACACAAGUUCUUAUCCUCUUAUCCAAAAAUAUAUAAAUUGUUAUUAGAUAGUCAAGCAGAACCCUUUACAUUACAGAUGACAACCUACAGAUUUGGAACCGACCCUCAAGACAUGAAUGUACGGCCAAGUAGGAAGGGGUACAGAGACAAAGUAGAAGUACAAGCACCAAGAGAUAUAGAGCAAUAACUUAUACAGAAAAGGCCUUUCUUUUCUUUAGUGGUGUUCAUUAUAGUACUUUGAAGUGGAACAGCCAUGAGAUUACAAAAGCAACGAUCAUGCAAGCAAGCAGGAAAUUCAUAAUGCGGCGGCCAUGCCACAUGGUUUGAGUUUCCACCAUGAUCACAGAUGCUGCUGCCGGUGAAGGGGACGUCGGAGCGGUGGCUCCAUUUCCCUCAUUGGUCUGCUCACCAUGUAUGUUGAAUGCAACGACGCCACAGAUCUCACAGAUACUGGAAAAUAAAAUUAUUUCUAUCAACAAUAGAAGCUAAACUAUGUAGAAUAUGAAUUCAAUGGAGGCAGGUAUACAAUGUAGCAAGGUUUAUGGAUUCAUUGGACUCAGGUAUGCAAUAGCAAUUUUUCUUUACCUAUCAAAAUAAGACCAACUGAGAUAAGAAGCAAGCUAGUUUUAGGAGAUAUGUGUUGGUGAGUUGUACACUGGGCAAGGUCACAAGCAAUAGUAGAUUGUAUAGAAACAACACAAACUCAACAGUAAAAAUAAAAAUGUUACAAGUGAUCCAACAUAACAAAACUAUCAAUGUGCUGUCAUCAACAUGUUAGUCCAUUAGCAUUCUGGAGGGAAAAAAUGAACAAUUAUUGGCAUGCCUUCUCUGCAUAUAUAUAGCAGAUAUAAUGCAUGAUAAAGCAUACGUCUUAACCCUCUCCAUUUGAAGGUUCCCCUUAUGGUGUUUCCAAGUCAUUCGAGCUAACUAUACUGCAUUUCUUGUCAUUACAAUUUGGAUAUUUUCUCACCUAGUAACUCGGCACAUUAAAAGUAGUAUUAUCAGUUCAUGUUAAGUGAUCUUCAGUUUGGUUCCUUUACCAAAUAGUGCCUCCCUCUCUUCUGAGAGAAGGUAUAGUAGGCAAGAUCUAACUAUCUAAGCAUUUCAGCAAAGUUAUCACUUCCCAAGUUAUAAUUAAGAAGGGGAACUCCAUACAUAGCUAUAUCUUCAGUCAUUUGCAAACAGAACUUCUGAACUUCUAUACAUCAUGACAUUUAGUUCUUAAUAAGAACCCUGGAUAGACUAGUAAAAGGCAGCUUUUAAACCCUGGCACAGAGUUGAGUGAACAACGAAUUCUUGACUAUAUGCAUUGGACAAGUAUAGACAAGUCAAUUAGUAUGCAUCGGACCCCAUAUUCUCCAGUCUCCAGUGCACUAAAACUAAACCCACAUCACACGUGACUACGAAAACUACUCAUAAUGAUCCAUAUCUUUAAAGCUAUGAUAGUGGCCACAAGAUUCUUCUUCUUCUUCUGCAUAGCUAUGAUAUACCUUCUAUAGUUCUAUUCUACAUGUGUUCCAUCUCAUUCAGCUUGCUAGUAAGAACCAAAAGAACAUGAACAACUAUUACAUGGAAGGAAAGAAAAUAUUUAACUAGUAUGCAUUUGAAUAAGCUAAACUCAGAGAAGACUAACAAACUUCUGACCUAAUAUGGUAUUGUUCUAAAGGGUUCUUAUAGUAAGAUGAUUAUUUUAGCAAGUAAUUGCACAAUGCAGAGACUACUGAGGAUUCAGCUAAAGAAAGCUAAAUUUAAAAUCCUAGAGUUCAUGAGCAAAGUAAAAUUCCAAUAGGAGCAAAUGAGUGUCAAGAAUUUGCAACAAAAACACCAAAAACCAAGAAUUUAAAAUAAAGACAAGAACUAUACUCACGUAUCACCCUUGAUCUUGAACCAAGUCUCAGCACAUUGCUUAUGAGCAGCACCCAAGUCACCUUUGCAAGCGCACCCCAAGUCAAUUGGGACCCCAGAAGAGUCCAACCCUCCACCCUCAUAACCCAAGUGGCAUAUCCUGCAAAUCCUCUCAACCUUACUCAACUCCACCAGCUUCUGCUUCAGCUCCAAAACCCCACUCUCCAAAUCCACACCCUCCAAAGAGCAACAAUCCGACCCACAAGAAUCAAACGUGGACUCAUCCGAGACCGACACGUCACUCACAGAAUGCCUAUGACUUUCAACAACAGCCAACAUCAUUGGUGAAAACCCAGACAGAAAAUCUCAGUGGAGAAGAAGAAGAGGAAGAAGAAGAAGAAGAAGAAGAAGAAGAAGAAGAGCAUUUGGGGUUUUGAAGAGAAUAAUGUGGGUGGGGUUAAGGAGUAGGUGGCAUUUGGUUUCUGUGUUUUAAUGUUAAAAAUCAAUGUCUCUGUGUCUAAAGUGGUCUCGAUCUCAAACCUCGAUCGUUGUCUUUGUGUGUGUUUAUGUGUGUCAGUUUCCGAGCAAUGUUUGUUGUUGUUGUUGAAAAAGAAGAAUGCAAAGAAAGAGAAGAGAGAAAAGAAGAGGUGACUAGUUAGCAGAAAAGAGAAGAGAGAGGCCAGGAUGAAAGGCGAGUUAUGAGGAGGCUGGUAGGGCAGAGCUCAGGAUGAUGCAGUAUAAGGCUUGGAAGGUCUUUAAUGGCUACCAGUUGUGGGCACAGUGAUUGAGACACAAGGAAAGAAAGAGGUUUCUGUUACUUCCAAAACAUUCACUUACCACUCUUGGUUACAUGAUUUUGUAGCACUUUCCUCUACGGUUAAGACAUUUCUCUCGUGUUCGAGUUCUACAAAAUUUCGAUCCAAAGAACUUCACUUCAAUGAAAAUUUGAAAUACAGAAUGAAAAUAUGAGUAAUUUCUUUCUUCUUCUUUUUAAAGUUGAUUUUUAUUUUAUUCAUGUGGAUCGGAAAAUUCACAUAAACAACAAUGCAGAAGAAGACGACUCCAUAUGGUGUGGUUAUAGACCAAAGGGAUAACCAAUGUGAACCUUGGGGCACAACAUUUUUAUAAGCUAUGAGCUUACAUCUCUUUGAUUCAGUUAUACAAACAAGAUAAUGAUAUAUCUUUAAGUGCUCAAAUUAGCAAGAAUACACCUACAUAAAACAAGAACCAGAGGAAGAAACUUCAAUGAUUUUGUCUAUUUGACAUGAUAGAACUGGAAUUUUAGCAUUUGGAACAGAACCUCUAUCUUUCCUUCUUCUUUUUUCUUCUAACAGUUCUGGUUUUAUAAGCAUUAUUAGGUUAUUACAGAUGAUAAUGAUCUUCAAGUUGUAAUCAUAGUAACAAUGAGUACCAUCUUCCACUAUUGAAUGUUUCUUUGAAUGCUUUUAUAGGCGUUGGAUAAAAUGGCAUCAAUGCCACACGGGUUGGUCUGCUUUCAAGUUUUAUAGGUAAACAGAGACCAAAUAAAUCUGCAGAGAUUUAAAUGAGAACCUAUCGAGUAUUGAAGUCCGUUAAAAUGAAGCUCAUCAGAGAAGGAAAUACAUUAUAAUCGCAGCAGAAACAUUAUCCAUCACCAAAUAACAGACUUCUCUUAUGAGGGUUACGAAUCUUUUAGGCGUAUAUGCCUUCAAUUUCAUUUGGUUAUAUAUAUGUCAAAACAUGCACAUAAAACCUGAAUUAUCAUAACACAAUAAGAGGGUUAGCCCACAUGAAGGAUAGAAAGCAUGUCAUGAUCAGUACUAGGCACUUCUGCUUAGAAAGAUUUUCAAGCAAAUUAUCAGUUGCACAGAGCAACUAGGAGUGAGUAACAAACCUUCUUAGUAUUGCCACAGCAUGAAAAUGACAGUAUUUGAACUUUUAACAUAAAAAGUUGCUAUUUAGAACUGCAGCCACCCAGAACACAGCCGUCCUACACAUGCUCAUCCAAAAUCCGAAAACGACAGUACUCAAACUUAACAGAAAGAGCCAAUACUCAAAGUUACUAUCCAGCAUAAGCAGCCACCCUGGAUAGAAUCAUCUUACAUAUGCAUAUCUGAAAUCCUACAAGGAAGCUCCUCAUUGUGGAAGAUGGAAAGCAACAGAAUCCAACAUGAUUGCAGCAAAGAACUGAAAUUCUGAUUCUGUUAACUCAUACCCAUCAUUCAACAUCAGCAACAAUACUAUCCGAAAUUGAAACUUAACAAACUGAGAAGACUGGUGUCCAUGUCAUUUUGAUGUUUGGAUGUUGAAAGCUGGAUGCAAGUUAAGGUAAUCAAUUUCUGCUUCUUCAAAACUCAAAAGUAUCAUCAAAGUUACAAGAGACACGUGAUGAAAAUGCAACAAAGCUUCAAAUAGAAUUGAGUUGCUGUAUCUUAUACAGGAGACUGCAAGCUAUUGUCACAUGACUCACAUCACACAACACCAUUAUCUUUCCACGGCAAUCUUAUACAUGAACAAAACCACCAAUACAAAAAAAGCUUCAAUUUCAACAGAUCUAGUUAGACACCAUCAUUGUUGAAUACAUAUCAUAAGAUUGAUUUUUCCCCCAUUAAGAAAGGGGCUGUGUGGAGGACAGCUAAAAAGAAAACUUCCAAAAUCAAAGUUGCUACUAUGGUUUUUUUACAAAACAACCAUACCAUCUGAAAUGCAAGCGGAAUUCUCAAAUACUAUGCAAGAAGAAUAUGACAGGGAAAACAGAAAGCAAACUCAGUGAUGAUCAUUCUUUUUCUUGAUAAAAUAUUCCAUUUGAAUUCCUGAAAGCCAAAAACCCAUUAAUUUAUUCGGACUUCAAUACAAAAGAUGUUACAAUGGCCUAUCAAUUCUAUCAAAACUGAUUUUGAGAAUAAGAACUGCCAUAUCUGAGCAAAAUUCUCCUAAUGGUGGUACAACUAAAACUUCAAAAUAACAUCAGAGAAUUACAAAUCAGGCGAUACAAUCCCUAAAAAGGAGGAGAUGCAUCAAGCUGGUUGAACUUCAGGUGUUGCUUGAGCAGUUUCUGUUGGUUUAGUCAUACUUGGAACACUUUCAGUUGAUUUAGAUAAGCUUGGAAUGUACCUCCAACAACGCUUGUGGACUCCACUUAUUUUCUUGGGGGUGUCUGCAGCUGGCAAGCCUGCAACAAAUUCUACUAUAUUAACUUCAUAGCAAAGCCUAACCCAGAAACACACAAUACAACAAUUUUUGAGCAGUUCUGAAUUGUCACAACUACAAGUCUACACUGAGUUUAAAAAACUAGCCAUCACUAAAUGUAAAUGACAAAAUAGAGAACCAAGACUCUAACCAGAAGGAACCUCUUAUCCAUGUAUAUUUGCAUUACAUCUAAAUGUUCAAUCACUUUGAGGAAGUUAAAAGAGUGUUUACUCUAUAACUUUCUCUUCUCAUCAAUUGGCUGGUACUUAAUAACUCUCUCUUAGUCUCUUUCACUUACAUCAAUUACAAAUAAGUUCUCGCCUAUUAUACAAGCUAGGUUGAAUGCAAACAAUCAGACUUUAAUAUAAUCUGACCAGGAAGAUGCAUGUUCAGUCUCUUAUGCAAGUCUUUGUAACCAGUUUCGUAUACAAUUCUAUGGAAGAAAACCUAAACGCAUCAAUUCCCAACCAUUCAAGACAUGUUCCAAAUAAACAUAAAUAAGUCAAUUAACACGACAUAUCACACACGAAUUAUCAAAAUUCGGCUAGCACCAAAGUACACAAACUGUACAUAAAGGAUCAAAUUGACAUCAACAACCCAUCAAAACAAACAUUGAUCAGAAUACUUUAGCCUAGACCCUGGUUCUUUGACUAACAGAACCAACCAACUGGCAAUCAGUCUUCAAUCUUUUAAGUCACUUCUUCACACUAAAAACAUUUAAUGGAAUUGAAACCAAUCCUAUCUAAUAAUGCAAAAUAAAACUAAAAUGGAGCACAUAAAAUAAAAACGCCAAUUCCAUGAAAUGUAAAAACUGACCUUCCUUAUGAACAACUCCCCAUGCCUUUCCAUGCCUUCCAUCCUGUCAAAAACCAAAGAAAACCAUAAACCCUAAACCCUAUGACAAUCAAGAACAUCCAAAACGAACUCACAUUACACACAAAGCAAUCAAAUUUCAAAAUCAGAACAUCCAGAACAAUCUCAAAUCCCAAAUCAUUUCUCAAACCUUGUAAAGAUUGAUCUUGGUGAUCUCAUACGACACGCCGACCCAGUGGCUCUUAGCCAUGUGGUACCCAAGUCCCCAAUUGGGCAGAUACUGUGCCACCUCGAACAGGUUCUUCUUCUUUCUCUUCUUCGGUUUAGUAGCCGCCGGCGAAGAGGCGCCGGCGGCGGCGUCGGUAGGGUUUGGGGAAGCGGAGCUGAAGGUUCUGACGAAGCUCAACGUGAGCCUCAAUAAGCCUCGAUCGGCUAUCGCUCUGUGUGAGAGACUGCUCGCCAUUUUCGAGUUGGGCUCGUCGCUCUGUGAUUGAUACGGCUCCGAUUUGAGGGUUUAAGAGGUUUCUGUAUUAUUUCGGAAUGAACCCGUGAAUUUUCUUAUAUUGGUGUUGGCCCCCUAUGGUAUUCUGUUUGUGCAAAACUGUCCCUAAUCAAGAUAUUUGCAUUUGCAAACUUGAUGAUUGAUAGUGAUUACAAAAUGUGGGACCAAUAUGUUUAUUCUUUGUGUCACGUCUUUGUUCUUGAUUACUUUUGGCUAUUUCCAAUAAUUUCCUUUCAUUAGAUUUCAUUAGAAUCUCCUUUCAAAAGAAUUACUAGGAAAAACAUUUAUGAGAGGAUGUGCAUGUGAAAAACGUUUAUGUUUAAAUUUUAACACAGAAGUAAAAGUGUAUCGUAUGUUUUGUCGAAAUACUUCAAUGUUAUAUUUACUCUUUUUAUGACACAUUCAUAUUUUAGUUGUCGAGAAUUAAAAGAAUAAUUGUAUACUAUCCGGAAUCAUUUUCUGAUAACCCUUAUCUUGAUUACUAAGGGCGAACGUUUAGAAGUGAUUCUCAUACCAAUUAUUUCUUUCUUCCAUCGUUGUUGUCUUCAAUUCAUGACUUUCUAUUACAAGAAAAAUAUGUACCGUUAUUCACCAACAAGAAAAAUGUACCGUAUAUUAGAAAGUGAUAAUAUCGUUUAAGCAAAAGACAGAUGAGAGAAGAGAGAGCCUAGAGGCCCAAACCAAAGGAAAACCGAAAACUACAAGAAGGCAACUUUUCAGAUUAGAAUUAAUCGAAAUACUUUUCAGGUUAGAAAGAAAAAGAAAAGACAAUUACGGUAGGUCGGUAGCCAUCAACUUUGGAGUUCAAAGUACCGGGCACUCGUUCACGGUUCACCCACCCAAUGUUAGAUCUAACCUAGAGAUUGGGGUGAUUGCUGUUAUCUAGGGCAAGCUAUUUGAUUAUAAUCCGAAACAAGCAGCAAGCAAACCACAACUCUUUCUCGUCACAUUAGAUGUUUAGAACCAGACGCAAGAAACAAAGUUGAGAUGUAAUUUCAUUAGAAGCAGGAGGACAAAUCAAAGAAAUGAGAGAAUAUAUGCAAGCAAGCUAAGCAAACACAGAACGAGCAAACAAUUCAUAUCAAAGGGCAGAGAGACGCGAAUAGCACACAAUCCACAAUACUACUUAUCCAAAUGAGGAACAAACCAAUAAAGAUCAUAUCAAAGCUACUAGAUAAGCAAAUCUCAAUACCACAAUGUCGAAAUAAGCAAGUUACAGCAAAAGCAGCAACUGGAAGUUGAUGUUUCAGUACCCUCAACUCAACCAGCGUUCAUUCGCAUACUAAACAAAAGAUUACUACUAGAAGUUUGAUAUUUAAAAGAAGGGCCUUGACAGAAUCACAUCUCCUCCUCAUACUCUCCCUGUUCAUCUUCAUACUCGUCCUCAUCAGCGGUGGCAUCCUGGUACUGCUGAUACUCUGACACCAGAUCGUUCAUGUUGCUCUCAGCCUCAGUGAACUCCAUCUCGUCCAUGCCUUCACCAGUGUACCAAUGCAAGAAAGCCUUCCUCCUGAACAUAGCAGUGAACUGCUCACUCACCCUCCUGAACAUCUCUUGGAUGGAUGUGGAGUUCCCAAUGAAAGUUGAAGCCAUCUUGAGACCAGUUGGUGGGAUGUCACAGACUGUUGACUUGACAUUGUUGGGGAUCCACUCAACAAAGUAGGAAGAGUUCUUGUUCUGAACAUUCAUCAUCUGGUCAUCCACUUCCUUGGUGCUCAUCUUACCACGGAACAUGGCUGAUGCUGUGAGGUACCUUCCAUGUCGGGGAUCAGCAGCACACAUCAUGUUCUUGGAAUCCCACAUUUGCUGUGUGAGUUCUGGAACAGUCAAAGCUCUGUACUGCUGAGACCCUCUUGAGGUCAGAGGAGCAAAACCAACCAUGAAAAAGUGGAGACGAGGGAAGGGGAUGAGGUUAACAGCAAGCUUGCGCAAAUCAGAGUUGAGCUGUCCAGGGAACCUUAGGCAGCAUGUAACUCCAGACAUUGUUGCGGAGAUCAAGUGAUUCAAAUCACCAACUGUAAAUGACAUUAGAAAGAAAUAGUCAGCUUCUAUAUUCCUUUCAAAACAUCAACACAAAAGCUUCAACUGAAACUUAUACAACAAUGAUCAUACACACAUUCUUCUCUCAAGUAUUCAUGCUUCCAGAACACAACAGAACAAACAAUUUAUAGUUUAAGCUUGGAAAGAUGUACUAUGACCACAAGAUCAACCAGAGUUAUUUAGGAUCACUAGAAAGUAAGAACAAAAGACCAGCCAUCACCACAGGACCACAUAAACAACUAUUUAGACCAUUCAUUGCACGCAAAAGAUUGUUUUGACUUGGAAAGAAGACAACAGUUUCAGCUUCAGGAGAAACAGAGGACAUAAGUAUUUGGACUCAAAGACACAUAACCAUCACUUAAUAGAUCCUACAUGCAACUUUUAAUAGACUAAUGUAAAAUCAAUAGCAAGUAACCAUCACUUCAAUCCAAGUUCAAUUAGGCAUAUCAUCACUCUAGUACAGAGUCAAUCAAGCAAACCUAUAGUUUCACAACUUCACAUAUACAGUUACUCACACAAUUAGUUUUCACAGUAAAGAAACACAAGUAAAGAUUGAGAAUAAACUUACAACUGGGGGUGGUGAGUUUAAGUGUGCGGAAGCAAAUAUCAUAGAGAGCCUCGUUGUCAAGAACCAUGCACUCAUCGGCGUUCUCCACAAGCUGAUGAACAGACAAAGUAGCAUUGUAAGGCUCCACAACAGUGUCUGAGACCUUGGGAGAUGGGAACACAGAGAAAGUCAUCAUCAUCCGAUCUGGGUACUCCUCCCUAAUCUUUGAAAUCAAUAGCGUUCCCAUUCCAGAUCCAGUACCACCACCCAAAGAAUGGCACACCUGAAACCCUGCACAAAAUAACCAAACACUAAAAUCGUCAGAUCCGCAAAUUAUCACUUCAUUUCCACUUCAAAUCCAUCGAAACUAACAACAACUAAACCCUAGAACACUUAAAAUACACAGAUCGCCAAAGUUACACUUCAUUUUUACUGCAAAAUACACAGAUCCCCAAAGUUACAUUCAUUUUUACUGCACAUAAAUGUAAAUUAAGUAUUUCCACUUCAUUUAGAUGAAAACAAACUACAACCAACAACGAAAUAACUUAAAUGAACAGCUCUCCAAAGUUUCGCCGCAUUUCAAAUUCAUUUCUACUUCAUUUCACUGAAAUUAGGGUUUCUAUUCACCAGAACGCUCUAAUAUACCAAAUCUAUAUAGUAAAAACUCGAUUUACAAGUAAACAAAGAAGAAUUAGGGUUCGGUUAAACCGGAUUCAUACCUUGCAAGCAGUCACAGUUCUCGGCCUCCUUCCUCACCACAUCAAGAACCGAAUCGAUCAACUCAGCCCCCUCGGUGUAGUGACCUUUCGCCCAGUUGUUUCCGGCGCCGGACUGACCGAAGACGAAGUUAUCAGGACGGAAGAUCUGACCGUAGAGUCCAGAUCUGACGCUGUCCAUGGUCCCAGGCUCCAGAUCCAUGAGCACGGCGCGUGGAACAUACCUCCCGCCGCUGGCCUCGUUGUAGUAGACGUUGACCCUCUCAAGCUGAAGCUCGGAGUCUCCGGUGUACCUUCCGGUGGGGUCGAUGCCGUGCUCGGCGCAGACGACCUCCCAGAACUUGGCUCCGAUCUGGUUGCCGCAUUGGCCUCCCUGAAUGUGAAGAAUCUCACGCAUUUUUGGUCGAGAUCGGAAAACCUAGAGAGAGAAGAUGGGAGGUUUUUAGAGAGAGAAAGGAAACUAGGGCGGAAAAUGUGAGACUGAGUAGGGUAGAGAAAUAAGAGGGGGCUUUAUAUAGGGAGGGACUGAGCUGUAACCCUAUAACGGCUCCAUUUGAAUUUUCUAAUUUUAAGGGUUUUGUUUCUCUGUUUAAUUUUGAAAAUAGCCAGGGGAUUAUGGACGGUUCUGAUGAGAGACACGUCAGAGGGAACGGACGGUUUGUUGGGGUGGGAUUUUGAAAUGUUUGGAAUUAAACGGAGACAGCUGGACUCAAUUUGACCCACUGGUCUACGAUCCGGAUUGGGGAUGGGGGAGAAAGACGGAAAUGCCCCUCCGUCGAUCUGGUUUUUGCGGAAAUUGAAAAAGCCUGCACGGGCCUCGUGCUCCGUGGGGGAAAAAGCGAGACUUGUGAUCUGGUACAGCGCAGCAGGACAGGGGCUUGCGUACAGGUCGCAUUCUAUAAAAGAUUCUAAAAUCCAACUUGUAAAAACUAAUUUCCAUCCUUAUCAUGGUAAAAAUUAGGGCAGCUGAUAUUCAUCCAGGUAAAAAUUAGGUCUACAAGGUGGUCAAAUUUAGACUAUAUUGGCUCUAGAUGCAGAAUGGGGAAAAGAAUGUGUGAUUUUCGAACAGAGUAACGGUCACAUGUUCAGGAACCGAUCAUAUGUUCAGGAACCGAUCAUAUUAGUUAUAGCUGUUUUUUUAUUAUGUCCACAUAAUGGUCAUAUUUAGACUAUAUUAGCUCUAGAUGCAAAAUGGGGAAAAUAAUGUGUGACGAACAAAGUAACGGUCUCAUAUGGUCUGUAACUAAUCAUAUAAGUUAUGUUUGUUACCGUACUUUUAAACCUACUAGUGGACAAUAAUAUAACUCUACUAAAUUAUCGGAGUAACAUUUAAGAGUUGUUGAACAUAAUCAGGUGAACGAACGUCACUAUUCAUCUCAAGAAAAAUCUGCACGCUCAUUGUUUGCAAUUUAGAUAAGAGUAUGCAUACAUAAAAAAUUUGCAAUAAUGCAUUUGGUUAAAGAUUUUUUUUCCUCUCAAAUACCUACCAAACGGUUUGGACUCGUUGUCAGGAUCAUUACUACACAACCAAAAUAGAUCCCGAAUGAGUCACUCUCACCACACACUUGACUAGUUGACUCAACAAGAGUAUCUAACAUGAGAUACGAUAGUGCCUCCCCCCAAUCGUUUCACUUCAAUUCCAAGCCGGCAAGAGCACGUUGUACUUGUUAAAUUAGUAGAGACUAAUUAGAUUAUUAAGCCACUAAAGCUACAAAUCACAUGUAAUGUGGAGCUCUAGUGUACCAGUGACUAAGCAAAUUGGAGGGUAAAAGGCAGUUCCUGCCACCUCUUUUGUGUAAAAAGUAAAAAGGUAAUUCACACUGCAGAAAAAAUUAACUUUAUUUAUUCAUCCAUAGGCCAGUAUAUACAAGCACAAGGCAACAAUUACAUCGUUCUCAAGGUGUUCUCAAACAUGCAAAGAGAUACAAAUCACAGAAUGACUGAAAUAAAGCUGCAGCUGACCAGCGGGCCUCAAUUUGAAAGGGAUUAGUGUUGAAGGUAAGAGACAACCACAGCUGAACCUUCUCAUUACAGCUCGCCGAGACCCACAGACACCCUUGAAGAUUAAGCUAGCACACUUACAAAAACAGUAAGCAAUCUAUGCAUAGACGUUAACAGGAAGCAAUCAAUCACUCACUAUUAUCCACCCAACCCAAUCCGUGUCAACCAUGCUAUCAGCUACUGCAUCACUAUGUAGUCUUUAUAAAACUUAACUCAUCUUCUUUCUUUGUUGACAAUAAUUUUCUAGUAAGAGGUUUGAACCUGAGAUCUCUACCCUUAACCCUCGUGCAACUUCAUCUAGUGUUCACCACACUCUUUUCCUUCAGAAUUGUUCUUAAGAGAGUGAUCAUAAAAUAGUGUUCCUCUCAUUUUGGACUAUUGAACGGCCUCUCGUUAUGACCCAUCAAGUAUUUUAUUAUCCAUGAGGCUUGUCACCUAUACCAACAUUAUUUUAAAAAUGUAUUAAUUGGGAUACUAGGACUCUUUUCUUUUCGAUUACAGUUGAUGAAACAUUCACAGGUCUACAAAUAAACACCAUUCAAUGAUAAUAAUAUUAAUCAAUAGAUAAAUUAUAAUAAUAAUAACAAUAAUAAUGAAAAAAAAUAAAGGAACCAAGGCUACAAACCCAUUAAACCAAAUAUCAUAAUUAGAGUUUCAGAAUUUCCAUCCAACAUCAAGCCCUCAUAAUCACACAAUAUGAACAUUUGAAAAGAAAAAUUCAGCAUCAAGACGAUUAAUAUUUAUAACAAGCAGCCAGGAAAGGUUUCAAACCGAGAUUGUAUUGAUAGAUCAGAUCUAGAGAUUCUACACUUAAAUUUGAGAUAUAUUGAUAUGUAUCACCCUAUGAUAAGUGAUUCUUGUAAGACUCCAAGGCAAAGUUUAUAACCAUUAUCAUUAUUAUCAUGUGAUUUGAAGCAAAUUACCUUCUUAUAUAUUAGAAACAAAAGGCUUAAUAAAAAUUUAAGAGUUUUUCAUGAAAUACUUAACAUUGGCGAUCUAAGUUCCAUUACCCAUUCUUUCAUAAUAUCUACGGCAUUGAUAAUCUAGAAUGUAGAAUUGCUCAAACCAAGAUAUUGCACAAACCAACACCAAACCAAUCUGUUUGGUGUUGUUUUAUAUCAUUCAAGAUUUCAAUAUCAAGAAGACAUAUUGCAUAAUCCAAGAUAGUGAAUUUGCAAUCAAAGGGAAAGAACAGAAGAUUGUAGGUCAACUUAUAAAACCGUCAUAGAGACGUCAUCCAAGCAACAAAAACAAUGGAAUGGAACUAAUCCAAAAAAAAAUGGCUUUCAAACACUCACUACAUAUAUCUUGAUUCCUAACCAUCAAAGACAUCUUAGGAAACAAACUAUCACUUCUCAAAGCUACUAUCUAGUAUAUCCAGUGAUGAGAGACAGCCAAGUUAAAAGCCUACUGGGUUUCAAGAUUAUCCUAGGGCCGGAAGGAAGCAGGAUACUCAAUCAUAAAUAUGUAGAAACAAACAGAAUCCCUAACAUAUCACCAAAUUAAUAGUAAAAUCAAUACUCAGAAGCAUACUUUGAAGAAACAAAUUCUAUACAUUGAAAACAGUCUUACCACAUAAAAAACAGAUGACAGAGUAAACCUUUCUGCUAACUUUCAGCCCUUACGAAGUCUGCUUCGCCGAAAGAAGACAGGUCGAAUUGAAAAGAUCUAUUAAUAAAAAAAAAAGUGCACCAAAAAAAUAAAUUAAGCAUAAAAUCGAUGAUGGGAGCUUAAUCAUGAUAUGAUAGUGUUAUGAAAUUAAUGCUCAAGUCAGCAGGAAAGGCAAUUACCAUUAACAUAAAAAUAGAACACCAUAUGAAAACUAUUAUAGGACGUCUUUCACCGUAAGCAGGCCUAAUAGUGUCCCAUGAACGAGUACGAAGCAGGAGGAUCUACAAGGAGCAGCUAAAAAACUUUGCGUAGGUUUUAGCUAGUGUCGGUUCACUCUUCAGCCGAGUUUUAUUUGUCUUGGUUUAUUUUUAUGUUUUAUGUUAUUGUGCUCCUACUUUGUUUUACGGAUAUUAAGUAAUCCUUAUGGCUAGGAUGCAAGGUUUGCUGUAACCCUAGUAUUUACACAACCGAUUAAGAGAGUUUCUUGAUCCAGACAAAUCAUAUAUUUUUUUUUGAGAAGGAUAAAUCAUAUAUUAUCAGGUUUCUUUGUCAUAAAAUUCUUUUAACAACAGCCUAACUAUGAUCCUAUUGCUUUCUCUCUUUUGUUUAUGCAUCCUUAGGGCUUGGAUACAAGGGCUGCCGUACAUACCCUAUUAAGAGGUUUUUAGUUCCAGAAAAAUCAAAUUGCUAUUAGCCUAUUAUUGGGUUUCUUUGCCCUAUAACUCUUCUGAGCGGCCUAACUUUGAUCCUAUUGCUUCUCUUUCUUGUUUAUGUAUGUAUCACUUUUUUCUAAUUAGUGUGGAUUACAGCAACCAGACAGCAGCACAUAUGUCUGCCCUACAAGAAAUAUAGUUGAUUGGUCCUAUAUUGAAGGCAAUCACAUCAUCAGAGCAACAACUAAGCGAAGUAGAUAAUUCACAGUUUAAAGUUGAAUUGUGUUCACCAUUUCAGACCAGUUGAACCAAUAUUUGUUUUAUAGUGCAAUUUAUGAGCAAAAUGUUGAUUCACAAGCUACUGAUAAAGAUAACAAAAUGGAAUACAAUGCAAAUUAAAUCAGGAAGCUAAUCUGUUACAACAAUAAAAGAGAGGAGAGGGGUGGGGAGACUCCUUUAGCUCUACUCCUUUAGCUCUUCCUAGCUUUUGGCGUGAAAUGACCCCUAAUCUACUUUUACCAUAAUCUACAAUCUACAUAGUUUAGAUGUUCUUCAAAUAUUGCCUUCGCAGCAACUCCUAACUAGAUAUUGCAAUUAUACGUACCUUCACCCACUUUACAGCAUUUCUUUCUGCCCUGAGUUACAAUAAGACAUGACUAACAACUAAUCUACUUUAGAUGGAAAAUGAAAUACCAAAUUUCAAGUUGAUUAAUUAAUUUAUUAAUUAUAUACAUUUCUACCUACGAUAUCCAUGAUAGCAAAUCUGCCACCAUAGACACUUCCAGAACUUGAUAGGGGCAAUGUUGUUAGCAUAAUGUCAAUGAUGGUGAUAUUACAAAGUCAUAUACCAUGAGAAAGAAGCUUAGUCUAUUACAAAAAAAAAAAAAAAACAAGAAGAAGAAGAAGCUUAGUACAUUAGAGGGAGUUUUAUGAUCAGCAAAAUUGCCUAAGCAUCUGCAUAGUUAUCAUGCUGAGUGGUCAUGGAUUCAUGACAGGUUCUACUAUCUUCCAUUGUUACAUACUUCGACUUCUCAUUGAAGUCAAAGGUCCUUAAUAUUCCAGAAUCAACUCAAUCUAAACAUCUUUAGAUUAAGAAGAUUUCCCAACUAAGAAGUACAAAAACUAGGUUUAAAUGGGAUGCCCAUGAAGCUUUGGUUACCCUAAACAAAAACUAAGGAUAAUAAAUAAACAAUGACAUCUUUGGUUGCCCUAAACACCUGAAUGAAUUUAGCAUAUAAGAUGUAAACCAUAGAUCUAAAACACUACAACUCAAGUGCCAUCUCAACCACCAUACAGAAAAUAAAGUAACAGCAAUAUGAAACUUCUGAAUUUAUAAUGCUCACGUGAACAAAAACAAUCCUAGUCAUAAUAGAUAAUGCUUGAAAGUCAAAAACCAACAAACUUAACUGCCAUUGAACUUCAGUUCCAAAUACCAUCUCCAUUAACAUGGCAGCAACCUGAAAGGACAAAGCUAGCAUAAACCACCCCGAAGGAAGAGAAAAGAGGCAUGGAAGGGUGCAUCACCUAUAUUGCUAUCGCAAUAAAACCAAAGAAACUAACUGGACCCCACUCAAAUGCAACCAAAGAGAUCCACGCUGCAACACACCAUCAUCAAUCAAGACUUUUCACUCUGGCUCUCGGAACUGGUAAUCUUUGACUUGUUUGCAUCCUCUAUCGAGGACUGAUCACCAGAGGUUCUGCAAUAUUAAGCAGAACAAAAUCAGAGAGAAAGAGAGAAACGCAAUCGAAAAAGCGGAAAAAAAGAAAAAAAAAAAAAAAAAAAAAGAUGCACAGGAAAGCUUACAGUUUCUGCUUCUUGGCAUUCUGCUUGAUAAUUUGUACCAUUUCCAUAGCCAUUCUCUGGUGUUCCCUUGUUUGUGAAUGCACAUCCAAGCCCUCAACUGUUUCGCAGUUAACUUUACAGAUACGACACCAUCCCAUGCUUGCUGGCUUCCUUUUCCUUGAGUGAUCAAAAGACUCCAGCUCUCCCUGAUGAUAUCAUUGCGUCAAAUUAUUGAAGGGCAACUAAUGACAUUUGAAAUACAUACAAUUUUCUAAUAUAUAUACAUACGUGUAUCAUUUCACAGAAAUAACAUUCAAAACACACCAUUGACUUGAAGUAAAACUUAACUGCAUAAGUGCCAUCAUUUGGAAAUCUCUUAAGUGAAAAGCUGCUCCUAAAUCCAGGCUCACCAAGACGUGGAUGAUUAGCCCUGUUACCAAUAAACGAUUCAAAGCUCCCAGGCCCUGCAUGUCGAGGAUGGACACCAAAACCCACAUGCUCUCGCAUAUGCAAAUGACCAGGCAAGUUAUGAGGACCCAGAUGCUCUCCCCUCUGAAGAUGACCUAAGUGACCAUCUUGACCAAUCAAAUCAUUCCUCAUACGAUCAUCUACUCGCAUAUUACCAGGACCCUCAAACUCUCCCCGCCGAAAAUGUUGAUUAGGAAACCUAUUAUCAUGGAAUUCCCUGCCAAGUGGAUCACCAAAUCGAUGGAAUUCCCUGCCAUCAAAAUCAUCAGGGCCAAAUCCCCUAAAUCGAGAUGGGAUGCCAGGGUAAUCUCUGAUUGGACUUCGUCGGGCCAAACCGUCCAUAAGGCGCCGUCCACCAAAAUCUGGGUGACCAAUUGUAUCAUUGGCAUGAAUUAAUCCAGCGUGACCAUAAGGAGACAGGAACCUUGGAGCAGAGCCAGCCGCAGGAUCUAUAUUUAGACGAGUAUCAUAAUUGACUCCGAAAGGUCUCCUAUCAAAGGCUCGAGAUGAGUAAUUCCCUAGUUUUGGAAGAGGCUCAGAAUCCAGAAAAGAAGGCCUAGGGAAUUGCUUGAGAUCAUCUUCAAACCCUACUCGACUAAUCACACGAGUUGGGUCUCCUGGGAAGGGAUUCAACCUCCCAUCCGGCAAAGCUUUAAAUCUUUCAUCCCUCAACCCCAGAGUUGAUGAGGAUUCGAAGCCUGGAUUUCCAUUCAUCCUGAGCAUGUUUGAGAUGAUACCAGAUGGCUGUCCAGUUGCUCCCUGUUCCAUCUGAAAAGCUGGCCUCUGUAGGCCCAUCUGACCUUCAUGGCCAUAGGGUGCUGCUCGGGCCAUUAUACCUCCAUGAGAAUCAAAAGCACUAGGGGGAGGUGCAAAUGGUGGCCCUCUGGGUGCCCCUGAAUGAGGAGGUGCAUGGCUUUGGUUAUAAGGCCCAUGCUGACUUGCAUUCGCAGAUGAUGCUGCAAAUCCCAGGUUUCCCCUAGGUGAUUGGAAAUGCUCAGAUAGAUGAGAAGGAUGCCCAGGCACAUGUCCAGGUCCCUGAGGCCUUACAUGAGCUAAGGGCUGCCCAGAACCCAGUAUAUGAUGUGGAGGCCCUGAAGAAGGCACUUGUAACAAAGGAGGUGCCCCUGGCUUUUGCUGGAGUAUAGCAGAACCAGGAUGGGAAGGUUGCAUUAGGCCGCCAGCUUGUACCUGACCUAUAGGAGCUGAAGAUAUAGAAACAGUUUGAGAACCCUCCUCAGUGCUACUAACAACUUUUUGCAAUUUUUUAUCCUUUACUCCAUGAAGUUGAGCUUCUUCUGGUGGCAUUUCUUUAUGCUCCCCCAGUUUCAUGCCACUGCUGGGAGCAUCUUUUGCACCUUCAGCUACAAGUUCACCCAGUUUACCAUUGCUUAAAUCCUCCAAAGUACUAUCUACACCCUCUUCCUUCAACGUUGGCUUACUUUCAGACUCUCCAUUCGCCCCCAACAUCCCCUUAGACUCUGGAAUCUCCUUGGUACCCUGAUAACUCCUGUCUUCAGAAGAAGGUUUAUUUCCAUCAUCAGUGGACUUUAUAUCCACCUCAGAUUUUACAGUUUUAGCUUCGGAAUCAGCAACUACAGCAGACGAGACACCCACAUCCUGUGCACCAUUCUUAGCAGAUAACUCAGCUUCUUUCUCUGCUGGCCUUGUGGUCAUUGUUGGUCUUGAAUUUGCUCCCGGUUGCACUUGGUUGUUGGUUCUGCCUAUAUUAUUCUGAUUUGAAGAUUGAUGGUUUAAAGGAGGAUACAUUGGCCUUGGCAGAACUCCUCCAACUGUUUGUGCAUAUGGCUGAGGUAGUACUCCAUGACUUGGCAUCAUAGGCCGUCCCACAAGAUUUGAAGGCUGAAUAUGUUGCAUUCCCUGAGACAAUACAACAUUCUGCUGAGACUGGUUUGAGGCACGUAUAUGUUGUGGGAAUGAAUGAGAUUGGCCCUGGGGACGUAAUUGCGACAAUGUGGCAGGUGUCUGUUGUACAUAGGGCUGAUUCUGGAAAUACUGCUGAGGAUUUAGCUGUUGGACUGGCUGGAUUAGAGGUCGCUGGAGAGGAGGAAUUCCAGGUUGUUGAGCAAAGGAGUGAACUGGAGGCUGUUGUGCAGAGAUCAUGCUAGGUGAAGGCAACAAGGCUGUCUGCGGCUGGUUUGGAAUUGUUGUUUGAAAUGGCGGUGGUCGCAAAAGUGGGGGUUGUAGAGGGAACUGAAUCUGAGUCUGAACAUGGUUUUGUGACUGAGAAUUAGGCGCUCCUUGAGAUUGCAAAUGCACAGUACGUUGUUGGGGGGCUGCUGAGAGCACUGGUUGAUGAGGGUGAGAUUGAGGGAACAGAUGAUGGCCAGCUGAUGCAUUAGAUGAUGGGAGCUGUGUCUGAGACUGGACUGUAGCAUUCAUGGGCUGAGAUGGGUGAAGCUGGGGAUUCUGUUGAAGCUGUGUCUGUGUAAUCUGCUGAACCUGGGGCUGCUGAUAUUGAGUCAUUUGGGCUUGGAAAUAUGCUUGAGGCGGAAGUUGAGCUUGCCCAUGAGCUGAUGGGUAAGUCUGUGCUUGAAUUUGUGAAUGUGGUGCCACAGCAGGCUGAAAUUGAAGCUGUUGGUUGACUGAUGUCUGGUUUUGAGUUUGCACAGCCAUAGGAGCCUGCACAAGUGGAGGCUGAACUACUGGUUGGGGUUGAGCAUGAGAUUGAGAUUGUUGGGUAUGUAGUUGAGGUUGAGAUACGAGAGGAGGUUGCAGGUAUGCCUGUUGUUGAGACUGGACUGUCCCAUAGGGUGGAUUAGCCUGCAAAGGCUGCUGUUGUUGUGGAAUUGCUGGUUGCUGUGGUUGUGGAAUUCCUGGCUGCUGAUAGGGAUAGUACUGCUGAUACUGUUGUUGAUAUGGAUCAUAUCCAGGAUACUGCUGGUAGUACUGCUGAUAUUGUUGCUGAUACCACUGGUCAGCAGUCGGAGCAGCAGCUUGAACGACAGCUUGAGCUUGAGAAUUUGGAUCAGCUCCAGGUAUAGUGGCACUUGCGGUUUGGGAAACCUGUGACUGAGACGUUGCUGUACCUAUCUGAGUGGCAGCCUGGGUCUGAUCAGUAGAAGUAGCUGUGCCAGAGGCUGAGGUGGCACCCUCUGCCUGCUGUGCUUGGGGCUGCACACCCUAUCAUUCAGCAAUAAACAAAAUUUAUAUAAAAAGACCGAACUUUAAGAUAACAACUCAUAUCUUCAAUAAGAAAUUUGAAACAGAAAAGGAAAAGAAGGAAUGCUCACAGGGCAACUUUGUGCAUGUUCCUGCACUUGACAAUGCACAAUUUGGAUUCCGCACCUGUUGCACACUACGGGAGAAUUUCCAAAGGCACAACCAAAACAAUGAGAUGUGCAAUCAGAUAAAGGCCCCUGCCAUGGGCACCCACUCCUGUGAUACAGGCAAUGAACUCCUAUCUUCCCAAUGGUUUCAGCGAGCGUCUUAUUUGAUUCAACAAGGGGCUGCACAAUCAAGUCACAGUAAAAAACAUAUCAACAACCACACAUCAAUUUUCAAAGGAUUUAGCUACGACCACAAUUGUAGUUCACACAACCUUGGCAUCUGCCUCUGUCACUAAGUAGCCAUCGUACGGACACGCUUUGGUAGUGCUCACAACAUAUGUCAAACAAGGCUUACAGUACAGAUGAGUGCACUGUGACUGUAAUGCUUCAUUUGGGUAGACGAGAAGACGACACACCGGGCAAAAGUACUCCCCCGCAAGAGAUUGGAUAUUCAGUAUGCACUCAUUAUCAAACCCCAUGCUUAGUGCAUCAAUGCAAUCCACCUAAGCACUCUGUAAAACAUUUUGAAACAAUCAUUUACAAAUUGGCAUUCAUGAAAACAAUUAACAGGUAAAAGCCACUCUCUUUUUCACUCCAAAAUCAACAAAUCCCCCUAAAAAAAAUUACCAACCGCAUUGAAAAUUACCGACAAACACAUCGAAAUCAAAACCAAUUUUCAUUCUUGAAUUCUGAUUAGUACAAUUCCAAGUUUCCAACUGUCGAAUCAAAUAAACCAAACAUUGCCAGUUUAAGGGGAAAGAUAACAAUUUGGGUACCUGGGAAUUACUCAAUGUCCGCCAAUCCGAUUCAAGACCCUAAACCCUAACCCACCUUGAAACCUGUAAAAAGGUUCAAAAUUUGACAGAAAAUCUUAGGGUUUUGCAGUGAAAGAUUUGAUUUUGACUGAAGACUAACAAGUAUAACAUCUAAAAAUUUAAGAGGGGGUGAUUACAGUUUUGCUGGGAUUGCUGGAGAAACGCAAAGAAUCUCUCGGCCAGAGAGAGAUGCUCAAAGUCUGAACAAACACAACCCAGAAGCAACAAUGGUGCUUAUAUAGCUCGUUGAACAGCAAACGACAGCGUUUUCUGCUAUGACCAAUCUUUGCCUUUUCAAUUUUUUUUUUUAAUUUUUAUUGUUUUUCAUGUUUUUUCUUAAGAAAUUUUAAAUACACUUUUUUUUAUUAUAAACUGACGUCAAUUUUAUUCAGAAAGAUCAACAAUUACAAGCAUUGGCUAAAAAGCCAUACAAACCAUCUGAUAUUGGACCAUACCAUCGACCGGAGAACCCAGAUCCUAAUGUCAAUUUAGCUACUUUAUCAGUUACAGAAUUAGCAUUACGAUAGACAUAAACAAAAGAUGAUGAAAGGAGGUUAGAAAGACAGAAUUUAAUGUCCUCCAUAAUAUCACCAAAAACAGAAUGAUCCAACUCCACUUGCUUGGUAGUCUGAACCAACCUGAGACAAUCUGACUCCAAGAUGAUUGGAUGAAGAUCAUGCUCAACUGCCAACUCGCAAGCAGCUCUACCUGCCAUUGCUUUUAUAAGCUCUGUUGCUGCAAUAUUACUAUACCGAUAGCACACCCCACCAACAAUGAGACCUGUAUGAUCACGGAUAACCAUACCAACACCCCCACUAUUCGUGGUACCAUCAAAAGAACCAUCUAGAUUCACUUUCAACCAUCCAACUGGUGGAGGACACCACAGUUUCAGUACUUUCCCUUGUAUUGUAGCCUUCGAUCGGACAGAAUGGAGUAAUAGCACAUAGCUCCUAGUUUGAUAAACCAAUUGGCUAAGAGAGCGUACCUUGUCAUCCCACAAUCUCAAAUUCCUUUCCUUCCAAAUCAUCCACAAUGAUAUCAACAGUAAUGCGAAUUCCGCCUUACCCAAGCGGCAUGCACACAAAUCUAUACAGUCCACCGUCGACAUAGAAGGAGUACUACCCUGAAAUACUACUCCCAACUCUUGAAAAGACUUUAUGAAAUCCUUAACAAAACAACAAUCUCGGCUUACAUGCUCAAUUGUUUCGUCUCUGAAUUACAAAAGAAGCAUCCAUCACCCCAAAGAUUCUCUUUUUCCUCAAAGAUGCAGCAGUAGGUAAUAUAGAAGCACACACACGCCAAACAUGAACUUUAAUCUUACCUGGCACUGGGCCUACCAAAUCUUCUUCCAAAUUGAAUCUGGAUUCACAACACUUGUCGAUGGAGAAUCAUGCAACAGUGACCGAGCCAAUUGGUAAGCACUUUUUGUUGAGUACCACCCUUUAGGAUCGUAGUGCCAUAUUAGUCGAUCCCCUGCAACCCUAUGGCAUAGCGGAAUAGCCAAGAUUAAAUUGACAUCCUCUGUUUCGCAAUGCUCCUCUAGGCUUGGUACAUCCCAUGUUCUAUCCUGACGAAUAAACUCACUGACUUUAGAUAGUCUACUGCUUCUCCGACCAAUGGGUCUAAAAUCUUUAGGUCUGGCUAGCCAUGGAUCAUUCCAUGCAUGAAUAGACAUCCCAUUUCCAACUCGCCAUCGAGUACCAUUUACCAGAAUCUCUCUAGCUUCAAAGAUUCCUUUCCAACAAGCUGAAGGGCCCGUAGGAGUAGGAGCAUGCCAAAAGUCACAAGUAGGAAAAUAUCUAGCUUUGAAGAGUCUUGACAAUAAAGAAUUAGGGUUAUGCACUAACCUCCAACCUUGUUUAGUGAGAAGUGCUAAAUUAUGAGCAUAUAAAUCGCGAAAUCCCAUACCUCGUUCCUCUUUCGGUCGACACAGUUUUUCCCAUGACAUCCAGUGAAUCUUCCGGUUCUCAUCCUUACUAUCCCACCAAAACUUAGCACACAUCUGAUGCAAAGUACUACAGAAGUUUUCGAAAGAAGAAAACAACUCAUAGUGUAAGAGGGUAGAGUUUGGGCUACUACUCUAAUGAGAAUGUCCUUCCUUGCACCACUCAGUAGCUUCCCUUGCCAACCUUCCAACUUCUGUCGCAACUGUUCCUUAAUAUAGGCAAAGGUUUAUGUACGAUUCCUUCCAACAACUGUAGGCAAACCAAGAUAUUUCUCAUGUUUCGCAACAAUGCCGACACCCAAAAUAGAAGCCAGCUACUGCUAAAGAUCAGGAUAUACCCCUUUACUGAAAACAAUGUCACUCAUUGAGAAGUUAAUCUGUUGCCCCGAAACAGCUUCAUAAUCAGCUAAGACUGAUUUAAUAUGACUACACUCCUCAACAGACGCCUUCCCAAAUAACAAACUAUCAUCCGCAAAUAACAGGUGAUUAAUGAUUGGAGCAUCAGCACAUACCGAAAUUCCCUGAAGCAAACCUUCAUCAACUUUCUUCUAGAGCAAAACUGAAAAGACCUCUGCCCCUAAUAAAAACAAAUAAGGUGAUAGAGGAUCACCUUGUCUGAGGCCUCGAGAUGGAGUUACCAUGCCAUGCGGUUUCCCAUUAACUAGAAACGAGUACCGGACCAUAGAUACACACUGCAUAACAAUGUUUACCCACCUUCUUUCAAACCCUAACCGAAUCAACACUGCUUCAAGAAAAUCCCAUUCCAUACGAUCAUACGCUUUGCUCAUAUCUAGUUUAAGUGACAUUACCCCUUCUGCACCAUUGUUAUCAAUGAAGUGAGAUACCUCAUUAGCAAUCAGCGAGUUAUCAGUAAUCUGACGUCCUGGUAUAAAAGCACUCCGAAACGGUGAAAUAAUUGAUGCCAGAUGCUUCUUCAGCCUAUUAGCAAUGACCUUCGAGCAUAUCUUCUACAAGACAUUGUAUAAAGCUAUCGGUCUCAGUUCUGAAACCUGAGUAGGAUUAGAAACUUUUGGGAUUAAACACACAUGAGUAUAGUUCACCUCUUUUAAGAGCUGCCCUGAUUGGAGAAAAUUCUUAAUCGCUGCACACACAUCCUUCCCAAUUGUAUCCCAAUAUUUUUGAAAGAACUCCGGCGGCAUUCCAUCAGGCCCAGGUGACUUCGUUGGAUACAUUUGGAAUAAUGCCGCCCGAAUCUCCUCAUCUGUGUACUCUGCCCCAAGUUCCAUAUUCAUUUCAGAUGUGACUUUAGGUUGUAAUAAGUUCACAAUCGACCUCAUACAUACCACAUCGAUAUCAGCUGAUGCGUACAUAUUCUGAAAAUACCGCAAUACUACAUCUUCCAUCCCUUCGCUUGCUUUCCUCCAAAUUCCUUCAUUAUCAAACAAUCCUGUAAGCCUGUUCUUAGCACGUCGAUUUGACGCUUUCCGGUGGAAAAAUUUAGUGUUUCUAUCUCCAUCUGAAAGCCACUGAACCUUAGACCUCUGCUUCUAAUAAACAUGCUCCUCCUCCAGAAGCGUCUCCAAUUUCAUGGAUAGCUCAACAUGUUCAGAUUGAUUCGCCUCCGACAAUGGUAGCUGAAGCAGACUCUGAAGUCGGGCUCUAAUCAACUCAAUCUCCCUCUUCCUACCACCAAACACCGAGCAUUGCCAUGUAUUCAAAGCCAUACGGGUGUUCAUAAUCUUCCGAACAAUCUGAAACAUUGGUACUCCCUCUUGACAAGAUGACCACCCAUCUGCAACAACACCACUGCAUUCUGCAUGCAACGUCCACGAAGACUCGAAAUGGAAUCGGUACUUAAAGGGAACUCUCCCCACCUGGUCUUCCAUAAACACCCCAAUCAGCAACGGGACAUGAUCACCAUGGAUAGGUGCCAAAUGCAGAACCCUAGAACUAGGGAAUAACUCAAACCAUGUCGGAGUAGCUACUGCUCUAUCUAGUCGGCAUCAAACCCCACCUCCCUGCCACUUGAAGGGAGCACCAGUGUAACCAACGUCAAUCAAUUCAACAUCAUCUAGCGCCUCACAGAAGUGUCGCAUCUGUGCCUCACCACGAAGCACACCUCCUUCCUUUUCCUCCCAAAUGGCAACUUCAUUGAAAUCGCCAACUACUAACCAUGGCAGAGAAGAUACAGACCCUAGCUCUCGAAUCAUAUCCCAUGAUCUCCAUCUCUCAGAUGCUGAUGGAUGACCAUAAAAGCCAGUCAGACGCCAUCGCACACCAGACCCAUCAACUGCAAAAACCUCAACAUCAAUGUGAGAUUUCGACUUCGACAAAAACCUCACAUCCAAGCCAUCUGCCCAAAAUAGUGCUAGACCACCGGAUUGGCCUUCACUAUACACAGCCUCGCAAUUACGAAACCCAAUCUUCAAUCUGAGAUUGUUUAUGAGUUCCCCAUCAUGGACCUUCGUAUCUGAGAGAAAGAUAAACGUCGGCUUCUUCUGACGAAUCAGAGUCUGCAGUGCUUCAAUGGCCCGAUCGUUGUCUAAACCACGACAGUUCCACGCCAAAACCUCCAUGAUCAGAUCAAAGAGGGUACCAAAAAACCAGCCCUAGCCAAACCCUAGCAGAGCGAAGUUUUUUCUUAUUGUCAAUUGUAGUGGUAUUGAUUGAAAGUAUUACCUUCUAAUAUCCUAAAACAAAACUAAAAUGAAAAUGAUGAAUAAAACCAACAAUCUCUGAAGCAUAAUGAUGGAAACUCGAAUGAAAAAUCUGGACUGCUAGUGGAAGAAUUGGCAAUUGGCAGCUAGGUUUUGAUUUAAAUGCACACCCUUAAUCUCUUAAUACACACUCUUAUUAUUUUAUGUUUCUAUUGAGAUUUUAUAAGUAAGCUACAUGACCAAAACAGACAUCUAUUAUUAAUAAAAAAAUAAUAGCUCUAGAAGUAUUCUUUUCAACGCCUUCUACCCUAAAAUCGUCCAAAGCAUGUCUUCUCCCCUAACCCCAACUCUUCUCCACAAUUCAUUCGGGUUGUCUUUAUUUUUUAAAUUUUUUUUUUUUUGUAUUUGUAUCAGUUUUAGUUUGAUCUUACAUAUCAUAUUGUCGAGUACUGCAUCUUUAUCAUGACAUGUUUUAUCGAAUAACUAGCUAUCUAUGUUUAAUAGUAACUGUACUUCUACAGUUCUACUAGCUUGUGAAUUUUGAAAACUUGUAUUAGUGAUUUGGAGUUGGGAUAUAACAAUAAUCAUUAUGAUAACCAAAAAUUUCUAGUAAAAAUUAGACGAAAUAAUAUGUAAAAAGAGGUACAAAAUAGUAAAUAUGCAUUAAUUAUAUUAAAUAAUGGAAUAUUUCAUAAAUUAAGGGCAUUUUAGGCAGUUUGGGAUGUCUAUUAAGUAUAAUACUGAAAUGAAAAACUUGAUAGAUGAUGUAUUAAGUAAGUGGUAUGUAUUAAGAUAUUAGGGGGUGUGUAUUUUAAAUUUUUUUUCUUUUUUUUUGUGGGUAUCGAAAGAAAAACAUGACAAACCCAAGUGUGAGAGCUAAACUUCUAUGUUCCAAAGUUGCAAACAAUUUUGCUUUUUAAGUACAAGCUGAGUUUGAUACCAACUUGUUAAAGGUUCUAGCUUAUUCAUAUAUUGUAUUUAUGAUCAUUAGAAAAAGUCUGGAGAUUCUUUUAAUGUUGAUCCUGAACAGUGGCAUAAAUUAGACAAUAUUUAAGUUGAAAUAUUAAAAACUGUUCUAGGAUAUUCUCUAUGUGUGCCUUGGCCUUAUGCCAAUAGGAUAUGUAGUUAGACUAGAUCUAUGUAUUCAUAUCCUUACCAUAUUGGUAUUGUGUAAUUCCCUAUAUAAAGGGCUCCUAUCAAUGAAUAAGAUGACUCUCUUGCUAUCUCUUUGUCUCUACACUUUAUUCUUCAUCACGUUAUCAUGCACUUUGUUCUAACCCUAGAGCCAAUAGCCCACCAUUUUUUUUCCAAACCCUAAAAUCGGGCAGCUUUGUUUUUCCCGAUUUCCGACCAAAAUUCCGACUGCCCUCCGCCGGAAUUUUAUAUCCUCAGAAAGCUCUUUCCGUCACGGAUCUAACGCCGCCGGCCUCACCCUGAGAACCGGCCGGAAAGUCUCCGAACCGGCCGCCGGAAAAUUCCAGACCGCCGCCGCUACCGACCACCGGUUCACCACCUUCCCUUGCUCCGAUCAACCUGAAAUUUUGACAGAAGCUUCCCCAUCCAGAGCUGCUCAUCCUGUCAAAUUUUCAGCCCCAAAUUCGAAGCAUAAGUAGGCGAAACGUUAUUUCUCCUCUCGGCAGCCUUUAGAAAGGUAUGUUUUGAAACCUUAAACUCUUCCAAGUUCAAUAACUCGGGGAGGAUAAAAUCCUUUCCUCCCUUCUCCAUCUCUAUUCUAUGCUUGGGAUUUUGUGUGUGCAGGUACCAAAAAUCCCGGAAUUUUAUUCGCGGGUCAAGAGUAUGUUGGAUCACUCUUGUUUCUUUGUCCGGGUUGUGUUUGAUCAACCCCGACCUUUCACCGGAUUGUGUUUGAUCAAUCCGAGGCCUUUUUCCGAAUUGUGUUUGAUCAAUUCGCGGCUUUUCCGGAUUGUGUAUGAUCAAUCCGAAGGACAAACCAUUAAAAGCAUCGUUUGUGACCUCUAUCGAGUCUCAUAACAGCUUGGUUUUGUAUGCAAGAGCAAUGUAACAUUCUGCUCCUUUGAGUUUUGACGUACUAGAUGCCUAAGGCGGAUCUUCACUUGGUAUCUGUGGAACCUUUCAUUGGAAGGAUUAAACCACAUGUUUUGACCCCCAAGCUAACAAACCUAGAUGCCGAGAUUUCACAUCUCAUGCGCUCAAAGUUUUUGAAGCGCCACAUCGACAAAAGCCUUCAAUGGCAACCUGUGCAAAAAGUAAUGACCACAAAGUACUGUGGAAUGCACUCAUGGAGCAUUUCUCGAAACGUUCAUAUAACUCUACUUGUUGAGUUAUUAGUCAAGUGGAUUGCUUACCACCUUAAUUGACUACAUAUUGUCGAUGAUCUUUUGUGGCAUCAUGAUCCAUAAUCUUUAGCGGAUUCGAUCAUCAUCAAGUUCUCUAGGUCCUCCAAGUUGGUGUGGAAUUACCAACAAGACUUGAUUUUGAUCAUACAAACGAGAAUUGUAUAUACGCUAAUGUGAUAAACUUAUUUGGGAUUAUCCCCUAAUGUGGGGACAACAAUAUGGGUCAUGGCAACGGCAGAAAACGUCGUGCCGAUGUCUAGAAAAGAGGGGGAGGUG